rnacentral:lncRNA from 1 species
AGUGAACACCAGUUCUGCUAAAUCUCUCUCCCAAAUAUCUUCCAAUCCGAUCUGAAAAUAAACAGCUGCAAACGUUUUCCGAUGGCCGACGAGAACAAAACCAAUCUGCCCUCUGCCUCUGUUGACGCGAUCCCCAAAGACACCUUGGCCGAUGAGUCUGUGAAGGUCGAGAAGUGGGGUACCACCGAGGUUUUACCUUUUCAAGCCACCGCAAGAGCUCCCAAUCGGUCCGGUGCUCUCAAGACGGUCUCUGAUAUGCUUGAAAGUAGGGGGGUCAAAUUUGUUGACCUGAAGACUGAGAAGAAUGGCUCGAUCUCGAUGAAUUUCGAGUUGCCACAUGUCGGUGAGCCGGAGAUCGUUGUUGCCGAUCAGCAUCAGCCGCUUCCUAAUUCUGAAUGGGAGAUCCAGAAAGUCAUCCGCUUCCUCAACGCUACCAUGGUCAUUGAGUUUCCUGGAGGAGACAAUAAGGUGAUGGUGGUGAAGGUGUUCAAUCUACCGCCUGAGAUUGAGAAAAAGGAUGUGGCGACUAAGGUUGAAAAUGGCAAGCUAGUUAUCGAGCUGAACACUGUGCAGCCUGUGCUUGAAGAGUACGGGAAGAUCAAGAAGUUUGCCGAGUUGCCGGUUGAUGCGACUGGGAGUGCGAUCUCUAGUUUGAUGGAGGGUCAAACCCUCACUGUCACUAUUGCUCUUGAGAAACCGAAGCCGGAGGAGAAGCCCAAGUCAAGCUCAAAGAUUUGGCGAUUUGCAAAAGGAGCCCUGACUAAAGCAGUGCCAGCCUGUUUGGUUAUGUGUGGCAAGGUGGUGUUGGAUGAAACGAAUAAUGAUGAACCCAACGCCGAGCCCGAGGCCGAACCCAACGCCGAGCAAGAAUGAAAGUACGGUGCUAAAUUAGCUUCCAUACGCCUCAUGCUGUUGUGUGUUAACGAUUAGGAGGUUUGAAUAAAUUCUAGAAUAGAUAUAGCUGUUUGUUUGUUUUCUAUAUUAGGAAACUUUUUUAGUGUUUUUUCUUCUUUUCAUUUGAAAGAACUUGUUUUACACAAAAUAGAGAGAACUUGUGUUAAAGAGUCUGGAAACCUGUUUUCUUCAUUGUGUGACAAACUAUUGGCAGGUGCAGAUGUGGGUGGGUGGGGUUUACGUUUACAGCAUUUUUGUAUUUGUUGUGUGAGUGCAGCAUUAAUCGAUGCAACAUCUCUUUUCCAUUUUGUUAAAUGUGCUUUGAUAAAAUUAUAUUCUUCAGCUAACUAAUUUACAUAACAUGGUGAAGCUUAUCCAGAAAAUCUUUCAUUGGAAAUUAAAUAUGGUAGUUACUGUCUGUCAAAUUAUCUUUUUCUUUGGUGAUGUUGUUUAGUAGCUAUAGAUAUUGUACAUUACCUUCAUCCUUGUGCUAGAAAUUGGAUUUCACCAAACAAACGUUACAAAUUUAAUGCAGUACUUUGAUAUAUUCGCUGUUUUGGAAAUGUUGAGAUUAGACAUUAAUCAUGAUUUGAUUUGAUUUGUGGUAGUGAAAACUCAUUUGAAACCAUAAAUAGUUAAAAUGUUUUUGGACUCUGAUACUAGCUCUGUAAUGUCAGUGUGUCAUUUAUUAUUGAUUGAUUGUUUUACUGAAAGAUUGAAGGUAAUAUAGACGUAUAAAGGGCAACAAUGCCAUAACCCUGAAAAAUUUUAUUUUUGCGCCUUGUACUUUGUCUGGCUUAGCUUUGAUUUGGGAGAUUUUGCCUACAGGUGAAAAUAUAGAGAUGAGUGCUGAUAUUCAAACCGAGCUAGACGACCAAAUUUGCUGACAAACAAGCAAAACAGUACCAUUUUUUGCUGGCUCUCAUUCACAACCGAUAUCAGCCAGCCAAAAAAGGGACUGUUUUGCUUGUUUGUCAGCAAAUUCGAUCAACUGACUCGGUUUGAUUAUCAUUUUCCUAUAAAGGUAGUCAUGAUAAUUGCAGUUUGGUGCAUUGAGUAGUCUUACAUAUUAAAGGUGGUCUGCGAACCCGCUGAUAUGAGAGUUUGAGGAUAUAAUGAUAAAGGUUUGCAACGUGCGAUUGGGGUUGCUAGGACAGGUCUGUCAGUGUCUUGAUGGCGAAGGAGCUGUUUAAGGUUUAAGUUGACUUUUGAGGCUCUCGAAGCUUGUAUAAGUGUCAGGUUGGUUGCAAAGGCUUAUAGGCAUGAAAAGCUAUGUCUUUAAGGUAGUUUUGAGAGUGGUGGCUACUGAAAAUUCAUUGGAAAAUUAGCUAAUAUAUGAACCAACGGAUUAUAUUGUUGUACCAGUUUCUUGAAGUCCAUGAGAUUGAAAUUAGGGUUUUUGCAGGUUUGGUCAAGAAUUGAGGGCUGUUUCUUGAUCAAGGACAAGAGUUUUAUAUAUGGUAGAACGCUAAAGGUGGAAGAUGGUUAAGGAAAGUUUUGUGUAAUCGGUGAAAUAUCUGAACGAAAAGGGGGGGAAGACCUUUGUUGAUAGGAAUCAUAUCCCUAUAUGGUAACUCAAAACCUAAUGGCAGUUUUGUGUAAUUGUUGAAAUGUAUGAACUAAUACUGAUGGAAUACCUCCAUUUAUAAGUUUAGGAGAUGAACCUAUAAGAUAGCUUGAAACCUAAUUAAGCUGCAAGAGGUAGGGAUAUGGGCUAGUAAUCAUGAUUUUCAUUUUCUCUAUAAUGUAUGAAAAGAUCACUUUCAUCCAUAAGGUAGGAUUUGUGUUCCCCUAGUAUAUGCUUUGCCGACAGCUAUGGAUGAGAAGAGAAGUUGCAGAUAGAAUUACUGUUUAACUACAGCAUAAAUUAUGUAGAAGUCUAAACUGCAUUCUGCAUGCAUUGAUAUUUUUCUUUGGGAUAUUAUGUAGUAGCUAUAGAUAUUUUGCAUUACCUUUCAUCUUUGUGCUAGAAAUUGGAUUUCAUCGAAUGAAUGCAAUAAGAAAUUAUUGUACUUUGAUAUUCUGUUUUGGAAGGGAUGAGAUUGGACAUUAAUCUUGAUUUGAUUUGCGGUUUGAAAACUGAUUUCAAACGGAAGUAGAAUUAACAUGGCUGGACAGUUUAAUACAUGAAGACAAAUUAUUCUCAUUGCCAAUUGCCCUGACUCUUUUAUCCUUCUGCACUUAUGAGUCUAAAGCCAUGUCAUUACUCUACUGGGUUAAAUUAGAUGAGUUUCGCUGCUGGGUUUCUUUAUUCAGUACAGGAUCGAGAGUGUUUAAUUACCAGUCAAGCUACAUGCAUACAUAUGGUUUGUGUUUUUUAACGUGGAGCCUUCUUUGAAGAUAAUGACAGUACAGUCUUCUUUGACUGAAAGGAAUUGCAUGUUCUUCCACAACUUUGGUGUAUGUUAAACUUUCAAUAUCCAUUGAAGAUAACUACAAAAUUAAACGGGCUGUUUGAAGAGGUACAUAGUACUUGCUAGGAAAGCAUCCAUUUAAACAUCAGCUUGGUCAUACUCUAAAGCUAACUUAAUUAAAGGGUGGGGAUUGACACUACAUAAUCUAAGGGUGUAUUGGACUAUACACUUAUUAGACUCCCUAGCUUGAUCUUGAUUUUGAGUUUUUAAAGAAUCUUACAAUGAUCCAAUAAAUGUAAAAAUCCUAAACAAAGAAAAUAGAAGAAGAAGACGAAGGGUAGAUUAAUUCAAAAAAAAAAAGAAAAAGAAUUGCAUUAGUAAAAUAUUUCCGGCCCUUUAAUCCUAAAGUUUUAUUUAGUUUUAAAUGACUCGCUUGAUUUCUCCAUCAUUUAAAAUCUAUUUGAACCCAAACUAUAAGGAAUAAGGAUAAUUAUUGCAAAAAUGGGCACAUGCGCACAUUCUUUAAAACUUAUUUUAUAUUCAUGUUUCCAAAUUCAAAGUAACGACAAGAAGAAACCAAAACGACGAGGAAGAAAGCAUGCGAAAAUUUUCGGAAAAAACAAGAGAAGAAUGUGCUUAAUGAGUUCAACCGAAAUUUUUUAGGUUCGAUAAAUAUAUUUAUGGUUGUAAAAGACGAAUGUAAAUAUUUAUUUAAUAAGAUUUAGUGGAAGACGGUCUUGAUAUUUACAAGAGUGUGUAGAGGAAGAUAUAAUUUUUAAAAAUUUAUCUCUAUUUUGUAAAGUAAAAGUGUUCAGGCCCCACUAUAAAAAUAUCAAAGUACAAAUUAUUUAUAUCUUAUUUCAGUGAAGCUGACGAUCUCCUGCUCCAUCAAUCAGAAUUCAUAGAAUUAUUGGAUGAUAAUUUAAUUACGUUUAUCUUAAACAAAGCAUAUUUAUAUAUUGGACUCAUAUGAACGCGAGAUUAAAUAUUGAACCAUAGACUGAAAAUUAGAAAAUUCGAAGCAUGUGUAAUACAUAAUCCAAGGAAAAAGAGAUCGACAAUCUCCAGUAAACCUGUGCUCUGACCGUUUACAAUUGUGUGUGUGUGUGUGUAUAUGUUUGUGAAAAUUGACGUAUAUGGGCAUAACUCAUCCGUUAAUUGACGUACAUGACGAGUUAUGAUGAAAGUGACUGAACACUUUUAGUUAAUUGACGUAUAUGGGCGUAACUCAUCUCGUUAAUUGACGUACUCAAAAUAAUUUUAAAAUUUUUAGGAGAGAUGAUGAAAGUGAAAAAUGAUGGUAAUCCAUAAAUUAAGAAUUAAAGACUUAAGGCGAUUUUGGGUGAAAAACUAAAGUUUUUUCAUCCCGAUUAAACUAGGAUUAGAGAAGAAAACCUUCUUUUCUAGUGAUAAAAGGUACUGAGAAAAAAAAGGAUAUUAAAUUUUUUCAGAAAAUGAGAAACAUAAAAGAUAAGUAGAACAACUUCUUAUGAUUCCAAUUUUUCAUUCUGAUUCAAACCCAUUCCAAUUCUAUCUCACUUUAAUUCAUAUUUUGUAAAUGCACCUUUAAUUCCCAACCCUUUAUGGGAAAUAAGUUCUCAUUACUUAAUCUUAAAAAAUAAGGACCCCACAUUUUCCAUUCCCAUUCCGCUUCAAUUUUAAUAAGUAAAUAUCAUCAAUCAUUUUAAUUUUGGAUUAUGAUUCCCUAAUUCCAUAAGUUAACACACCAUAAAGAUGGAGAAUAUGAAAAUAUACAAAAUACCAACCUAACUAAAACGAAAUUUAGGAAGUCCAUUACAUCUUGAGAGAUGUAUUUACGAAUAUCUACGGAUGGCUCUUGCCACCAAAAUAUACACCGUACAAUAUAAGCCCGUAUUAGCAAGACAGUUUGCAGCGCUAUUGUUUUCUCUAUGGGUGUGACAGAAUCCAAUAUGCAUUUAAGAAAAAAAAAGUGGGUGGUUAAAGAGUGAAGUACAACAGAGUUAAUUAGGGGUGGACAUAAACCCACAACCCAUGGGUUUACCCAAACCCAAACCAAAUUAAAUGGUUUGGGUUGGGUAAAUCAUGAAAAUGGGUUAGAUGUGAGUUUUAUAUAGAAAACCAUUUCAUUAUGGGUUGGGUAUGGUUUACCCAUGGACAAAACUCCAACACUCAAAUUUUUCAAAUAAAAUAAAUGAAAACAAAAUAAAUGAACACAAAUAAGUGAAAGGCCACCAUUAAAUUUUUUAUGGCGUGAUCAAUUGUCAACAGUUAGAAAAUGAAAAUAACAUGUAAAAAUAAUGUCAUGUUUGAGGAAUUGUACUUCAAAUUCCUCUUCUAUUAUAAUGUAAAAAUGCCAAUAUUAUCCUCUAAAUAAAAUUAAUUUUUAAAUAAGUUCAAGAUUUAAUUAAUAAUUAAAAAAAAUUAUUGCAAACAAUUUAUAUUUAUUUUAUUAAAUAAUAUGAUAAAACUAUUUGAAAAAAAAAAUGCAGUGCAUUGCAAUUGCCAGAUCGUCACUGAAAUAGUUGCUGGAAUUUCAUCAUAGACACACAUCACAUCGCCACCAUUACCAAUAGCAUCAUUUUGAGCCAAUUUACAACUCUAUGGAGUUAGAAAAUGAAAAUAACUUUGCUUACCAUAUAAUGAAAUUAGAACAUAAAGCAUACACACUAUAUAAUAUCAGAAUGUAAAUAAAAUUAAGCAUAUAAAUAGACAACAUAACGCAAAACUACCAAAACGAUAAAUAAAAAUAAAUAUUGCAUAAUUAAAUAAAUAACAAGUGGCAAAAUUUAUUAUUAGAUUGUUAAUGUCAUGUUUGUGAAAGUUUAUUAUUAAAGUGUACGUUCUUAUUUAUUGAGAAAUAAUAAUUUUUGUGAUUAAACUUUAUUUUGAUUUUCUAGUUUUCUUUAAUUUAAGGAUUAAGUUAUUGUAAAAUUUAUAAUUUUUAUCCACUAUAUUUUUUUAUAUUUUAAUAUCAAUUUAAUAAUGAAUAACAAUUAAUAAUUAUUAUAAUUUUGAUAUAAUUAAAUUUUAUUAAAAUAAAAAUUAUUUUUGCUAAUAAAAUUCAAACCAAACCCAAACCAAACCCAAAUGGUUUGGUUUGGGUUGGGUUAAAAAUAUUUGAGUUGGUUUGGGUUGGAUCCAAAUUUUUAUGGUUCGGUUUGGGUUGACUUAAAAUCCAACCCAAACCAACCCAUGCCCACCCCUAGAGUUAAUCAUUUAUCUUAAACAUAGGGGUGCACUUGUCCUUUUAGUGAAAUUUUGGAGGGCGCGCAUGUCUUUUUUCAAAUAUUUUAUGGUGUGUAUAUUAAUAAAAUAGGUAUUAAAAAAUAAAUUUUAUGAGUUUAAAUAAUCUCACACUUUUUAUUAAAAUAUAAUGUUCAAAGUAAAUAUUAGAAUGAAAAUAUCCCACUAUUUUUUUAUUAUCUUUAAUAAAAAUUACAAAAUUUAACAUCAAAGUGUAAAUGUUUUUGGUAAACUUGUCCAAGACCAUGCAAUUCCUUUCAAUCAAAGAAGGUUGUAUCGUCUUUAUCUUCAAAGAAUGCUGAUUUUUCAAAAACACAAACCAUAUGUAGGGUCAUGCUAUUUUACAUUUGUAUCAUACAUCAACUAAGUCUGUAAGGUAUGUUACAUAUAAUGUAACAAAAUCUCUAUCUCAUUUGUAUUUUACAUUUGUAACAUACAUCAACAUAAGUCUAUGAUGUGUGUUACAUAUAAUGUAACAAAGUCUAACAAAGUCUCUGUCUCAUAUGUAAGCAUAUGGCUUAACCGGCAACUAAAUACUCUUGAUCCUCCACUGAAUAUAAAAACUCAGCUGCAAAACACUAAUGACUUGUUUGGUGGUGAGGUGUUGUGGUUUUUUAUCUAUAGCUACUAUGAGAUAAAAUCUAAAUUUACCAAAAAAAAACUUAUAGAUUAUGAUAAAUAAUAAAUUUUGUAUUAGUUUUAUGUUUAACAAUUGUUACAAAAAUUAUGAAAUAAAAAAGAAAGAAAAAACCACAGCCGGGUUGUGGAGUUUGCACUCGAGGACCAAUCUCUGUCCGGCCCGAGGAAACCUUUGCAUGCCUCCGUUACCUUUUGGGAGGCCUACACCCCAUAAAAACUAUCUACCUGAGACUGACCCUUGGCCCGUAGGUCUUGAUAUAAGGUUAGAAUUCUAUCUCUUCCAGGGUAGUAUCAUACCGAUGGCUUAGGUCCCCCGGUUAUGGCCCAACAUAUUUAAGCAAGCACCCCAGCUGCUGGGCUUUGGGAGUCCAGCUGUUGGAAAUCAGACCCAAACGGGUCCUAAAACUACUCGGAUUUAGAGCAGCAGGGUAACUAGUGACAUGAGUUUAUAAGUGCAGACGGCUACAAGGGUUAGUGCUUUAGGGGGUGAGAAUAAUUAGUGUCUUCACGUAUGUAUCCGUCCCUCUGGGUGCAGUACUACAUCGGUCUAAAAUAAUCUAGUUUUCACUACCACAAAUCAAAUCAAGUUAAUAUCGAAUACUAUCCCCUCCAAAACAGAAUAUCAAAGUGCAUUAAUUUCUUACUGUGUGUUCAUUUGGUGAAAUCCAACUUCUAACACACGGAUGAAAGGUAAUGCAUGAUAUCUAUAGCUACUACAUAAUAUCACCAAAGGAAAAGAUUAAUGCAUGCAGCAUGCAGAAUGCAGCUUAGUACUUCUACAUAAUUUCUAUUGUAGUUAAACAGUAAAUCUAUCAAGUACAUUUUGAUCUCAUCCACAGCCGUAGGCAAAGUACUAAAUGAAUUUCAUUCUUAACCUGUACAAGGACACAAAUCCUAUUUUAUAGAGGAAAGUGAUCUUCUCAUACAUUAUUGAGAAAAGAAUCACGAUUAUUACAUAUUUCUACUUUCUAGCUUAAUUAGAUUUCGAGCUAUCUUAUAGCUAGAUUCACCCCCUAAACCUGUAAAUAGAGGUUUUCUAUCACUAUUCAUUCAUAAAUUCCACCCAGCCCAUCAACUAACCUUAGGUUUCAAACCAUCAUAUAGGGAAAUGAUUCUUUGACUAGGGUUCACCUCCUAGACCGAUUAAUAAAUUUUCCAUCACUCUUCAUUCAGACAUUUCACCCAUUACAUAAACCUGUCCUUAACCAUUGUCCACGUAUCGCUAGCCUUCUGCCAUAAUUCUCCUGUCCCUGAUCAAGAAACAUCCCCCUUGAUCAAACCUGCAGAAACCCUAAUUUCAAUGUCCUUUACUUCAAGAAACUAGUACAACAAUACACGAUCUGUCCAUUCAUGCAUUAAGAAAUUUUCCAUUGAAUUUUCAGUAGCCUCCAAUUAAACAAGCUUAAAGAUAUAGCUUUUCUGCCUAGAGGCUUUUUCAACCUACCUAAACACUUACCCUAGCCUCUAAUGGCAUGUCCGGUUUAAAAAAAAAAAAUAAAUAAAGGAAAGGAGAGAAGAGAAAAAGAAGACAGAAGGGAAAGAAAUAAGAGGAAGAAGGGAUGAUUCUAUGUCAAAUCAAGUAAUAAAUUUGAGAUUGACCCCCUUUUUUUUUCUCAUUUUCUCUUCUCUCUCUCCUUGCCAUUCCCCUCAUUUCCUCUCAUUUCUUUCUCUCUCCUUUCAUCUCAUUUAUUUCAACCAAACAUUGUGUAAAGAGACUCAAAAGCCAACGUAAGCCUUCAACAGUUCCUUUUCCGUCAAUGACACUCACAGACCUAUCCUGGUUGGCAACCCUAGUCACACCUUACAAACCGUUACCAUUGUCCUCGAACUCUCGUAUUGGUUCGAAGACCACCUUACUAGUACUAAAUCUAAGACUACUCAAAGCACCGAACUGCAGUUAUCACACAUAUCGUCACCCUGUAGGCAAAGUCUCCCUAAUAAAUUUUUUCAAGGUUGCAAUGUGGCAACCGUUACACAUAGCCGGAACAUCUGACUUUGUUGCUCUUUAUACAAUACUAGUCUACACUACUUUAAACCAAUAAAUCAAUAAUACAUAUUCACUGAGAUUGCAGAGUCAGUAAAAAGCAGCAAAAACAUUUUAAGUACUUCGGUCUUAAAUGAGUUUUCACUACCACAAAUCAAAUCAAACCAUUAUUAAUGGCUAACAUCAUUCUUUCCAAAACAGAAUGUGAAAGUGCAUUAAAUUUGUACUGUUCCUUUAGUGAGAUCCAAUUUGUACAGUAUCUAUAGCUAGUAAUUAAUAUCAUCAUCAAAAGAAAAAAAAAUAAUUUCACUGACAGUAACAACUACCAUUUAAUCUCACUAACUGUACAUUACUUUUGUCAAAUCACAUUUGAGUAAAAUCUAACAUUGAUUAAUGCUGCAUUUCACAUUUUGAAUCACCAAUCAUAAUGUACUCACAGAACGAAUACAAAAAAGUUCUAAAUGUAAACCCCACCCACCCUCCCUGCACGUGAGGGGAAUGUUACUGACUCCCCCAUAGGACUGCCCUUUGGGGCACUGAACUUAAGGGCACCUGUCAAAUAAGUUUGUUACAUAUUGAAGAAAAUAGCUGGAUUCACAGGCUUUUAAAUCUCUAACAACAUCAGACAAGUUGUCUAUUUUCAGAAAAAAAGGGGAAAAAAAAGCAGCAUUAUAAGGCGAGUCCUUUCAAGCAAAGAGAAGAGCAACACUAGACAAGUUCCCUUAAUAAAAAAGCAAAACCCAUACAAACCCUGGACAAAAUUAUUCAAAACCAGUUAUGUUUAUUCAAAACCCAUACAACUACUCAGUACACCUGAAGCGUAUAGAAAUAUAUACCUAAUUUAAUUUCGCCUUAAUUGGCGUCAUCAUCAGUGAUUGCAUCGAACCCCAUCUUGGCACCUAUAGCCAAACAACCUGGCCAUGCUCUAGCCAGACCUCCUUUAAUCUUUGAGAUCAUUGACUUGGGCUUCUCCGCCGGCUCCGCUUUCUCAAGAGCAACUGUGACGGUGAAGGUUUGAUCCUCCAUCAAAGUCGAGAUCUUACUCACAGUCACGCCAUCUGGCAACUCGGCACGCUUCUCGAUCUUCCCAUAGUCUUCAAGCAUAGUGCUGAGUUCCAUAACAAGGUUACGAUUUUCAACCGCAAUCGCCACAUCUUUUUUCUCAAUCCCGGCCGGAAGACUGACCACCCUGACCACCAUCACCUUAUUGUCUCCUCCAGGAAACUCAGUGAACAUCUUGGCGUUGAGGAAGCGGAUGACUUUCGGAUUCUCGAUCUCCCGAUCAUAAUUACGAAGGGGCUGAUGCUGAUCGGAUUCAACGAUCUCCGGCGCACCGCCAUCCGGCAACUCGAAAUUCAUAGAGACCGAGCCGUUCUUCUCAGUCUUCAUAUCAACUACUUUGUACCCGCUGCUUUCAAGCAUAUCCGAGACCACCUUGAGAGCAUUGAACCGAUUGGGAGUGCUUGUGGUGGCUUGAAAAGAGAAAUCUCCGCUGGUUUUCCCCUUCAGAGCCUUCGCAACCUCAUCGGCCGCGGCGCCAGAGGGCAGAUUGGUCAUUUUUUCGGCGGCCAUAGGAAAAUAUUCUCAGAUGUUUGUUUCAAAAUCGGUUCAGAGAGAUUUAGCAAAAUUUUUGUUCACUUGAGAAAUCAAAUGUAGUAGUAGUAGUAGGUUGGCGCUUUUUAUUUUAUCCAUGCUGAGAGGGUCAUCAUUUUUUUUUUAAAAAAGACUGCUGCCCUGUAAUUUCAUUACAUCUGUUAUUUUUGCCGAUAGUUAUUAUUAUUUUUUUUUACCUCCGAAAAUAUCCUUAUAUUUUACUGCGAUUUUGGAUAGUCAAUUUUGAAAGCAUUUGGAUUUUUGGACAUGAAAAAACAAAAUUUAUCAUGUAAUUUAGUGAUACAUAAAUGGUUAUACGAAAAAAAUGUCUCCAUAAAUAGUAAUACGUGGACAUAUAUUAUUAUAUUUGUAACAAGAAAUUAUAUUUAUCUUUCUGGUAUCAAAUAUCAGUCAUAAUUUUUUUUAUUACAAGAGAAACAUAAUUUAAAAAUUUUGUAGUAAGAAAUUACAUAAAUUCAAUUUUUUUUAAAUGUCUAUGAAAAUUUUAUUAGUCCAUAAAAAAUUGUCCUGAAAAUACAUUAAUUUUGUUCUGUUUUCAUCUCAAACAGAUUAAGUUAUUAUGAAGUUAUUAGAUUUGUUGUAUUCUCAACAAGCAUCAAACUUGCUGUUCAUGUUUUUUUUUUUUCUUUUUUUUUUGUGGGUUAAAUUAGCUGCAUCUGGGGUUUAUUUGUAUUAGACAUACAGUAUGCAUGGGGAUUCUUUUUAUUUUUGUUAUUUAGCAGUCUUUUGUUUUCAAAUAGUGAAAAAAAAUUCGUAUACACAAAUUAAGUUUUAUUAUUUUAUGGCUUUAUUAAAAAAGGAUAUUAUCAUAUUAUUAGCUAAUGUUUUUUGACAUAUCAUUUUACCACCAAAAUUUCUGACAAUUAAGUUUUCUUACUUAUUGUUUCAGCUUUUAUCGUUUUACUACCAAACCAUUAACUUUAUUAAUAUAUUGUUGAUGUCACAAGGUAUUUUAGAAAUUUCACAAGGUAUUUAUCAAUUAAUUAUUUUAUACAUAUUGAAUAAUCAAUUAAUAAAAUAUUAUUUUUUGUAUAUAAUUAAUUUUGUAUUUUUUAAUGUAGAGGAUUAAAUUGCACUUAAACCUUUUAGGGAUAAAAUAGACUUUUACUUUAAUUUCUAUUAAAAAUUCAGUUGGCUUUAAUGGUUCAGUGGUAAAAUAAUAAAAACUAAAAUAUUAAGUGGAAAAAAUUAACUGUUAGAAAAUUGUAGUGGCAAAAUAAUAUGUAAAAAAAUGUUACGUAGUAAAAUGAUAAUAUACUAUUAUAAAAAAAUCCAUAUGAAUUUAUAGGUUUUUUUUUUCAAAUAUUAAAGUUAUUUUAUUUAUUUAUUUAUUUUUAAAGAUUUUAUAGAAAGACAUCUUUCGAUUAUUUUUUCUUUAAUUCUUGUCUGAAUUUUAGGACAAAGCUAUGUUAUAACGGAUCCCAACUUCGGCUUAAUCAGCGUCUGGAGAGUUGAUUUAUAAUUUCGAUAUUUCCCGACGUGCGGUGGUUUUCCGUUAUGUUUGAAACGACGGUGGAACAAUGAUGGCCAUACUUGUGAUUGAUCAUUGGUGCAUUUGAUGUAGGAUUGAUCGGUUGUGAUGAUGGGUAAUGAUGGCGAGUGUGGCGAGGGAGAAAAUCGUGAAAUCGUGGUGAGGGUUUGUUUGAUUGUCCCCUCUCACCGAUCAAUCCGGUUGCCCGUUCAAUAGGUCUUAAUCCACUUUUUCUAAUAGAAGCCAUUGGAUUCGUUUUCCGAAGAUAUUGCUUAUAAAAAGUCAAAGGUCUGGUCCCUGGGGUACAUUGCUCUCGGAAUAACAGAGCCACAUCCUGAAUUUGAUUAGUGAAAGUCAUACGAAGAGAGGGUCUAUUAAAGGUCAAGCUGCAUCAACUCGUCACAAAAAUGCGGGAAAGAAAAAGCAAUUAUUCCUUUAAAAUGUGGGUAUUUAAAGCGUUUUUAUUUAUUUAUGUUGAAUUAGUUAACCUAAAGAGUUUCUUGUUUGACUUUAAAACUUUUACGAAUUGAAAUUUUAGAUUCUCUUAGUUCUCCUUGUUUGAAUUUGGUAAGUGGCAUUCAUGUGAAAAAAUAUUAUAUUUUAAAUGAUUGGAAAAUCUACCUGUUUUGAGAGCCAAUUAUACAAUUUAGUGAAAGUCACUACUAGAAAAAUGAUUUUUACUGAUAUUUGUCUCGUGACACUUUAUUUAAAAGUAUCAGUAUGUACGUGCAUUUGGACCAUUUUCCGCAUUUAACAGAUAUGUAUCACUAAUUACUAAUACUAAAGUAUCAGUAUCUUUAGUAAUAGCGAUCAAUGACACUGAUGUAUUAACAACAAAAAAUUAUCAUUUUAAUUUUGUUUCAAUCCAAAUUAGAACCCAAGACCUCUUGAACCUAAAGCUUAUGCAUUGAAUCAAAAGACCACGAAGCUACGAAUUAUUUUUAGUAUUUUUAAAACAGUGCUUUUUAAGUGGAUAAAAACAAAACAAAUGGACAAAUCUUAUCCAAAAUAUAACAUAAACUUUCAACUCCCUCUACCAAAAUAUUCGUUCCCUCCUAAGCUCCCCAGAUCUAAAAAAUCCCUAACAUCCAAAUUGUCGAAAAGUGCUCAGCCAUGAUCCUGUCAAACCAGCGGCACAGGUCCGCCAUUUGCCUUCAAAAUCCUAACGUCUUCUUUCUUUUCUUAUUUUAUGAUUUUGGGUCUCUAUUAUUUUCAUCAAAUCUUGAGUUUGUAGCAACGCAUAAGAACAGUCAAAAACCCAUUCAGAUUGUUUGUCACUCAACUAGAAAUAGAUUUGGUUCAUACUUUGAAAAAGAAAAACAAACAGCAAAAUAUUGAUAAUGAAAUACAUCGACUCAAUCAAAGAGUAAGGAAGGGAACAAGUAAAGAACGAUGACAAAUUGAGUCCAAGUAAUUAUGUUGAAUUCUUCACUGGUGCAGACUUGUUUCUCUUGAAUUCUGAUUCUCCCCUUCUUUUCCUCUCGAUUUCUUCAAUGUUAACUCACCGCCACCUUUUCAUGUGACGCGCGCUCUUUUUAUAACUUAAAACUAAGGUAAACCUAGAGCACGCAUGAGUCAGAUAAGAAAACUAUAGAUUGCAAUUCUGCAGAUAUCCCGCGCUAAGUUUUCUCUAUAGUUGCUCCAAGAUUGCUACAGCAAUGGUUGCUCCAGCAAUGGCUAUAGCACUACACUGCUCCAGAUUUUAUUUCAAUUAUUUUGUGGCCAUAUUCUUCCUCUUUUUUGCCAGCCUACUGCUUCAACAUUCCUUCCAUGAAUUAUAACCUUCUAGAAACCUACAAUUAUGCACACAAUUUGAGCACGAAUUACUUUAAAUCAAGAAAAAACUUAUUAAGACUAAACAAAAAUGAAUGUUUAUGCAAAAUGUAAUAAAAAUACAUCAUUUACUCUCUAAGUGAUCUUGAUUUAAGUCUAUUAUUGCCAUAAUAACUCUCAUUUCAUAGAGUUAUCAAAGGACACAACAUCUUUUUAGGAUAAUUAUUAUUCUUUUCAGCCAUCUUCACAAAAUUCCAAGUUGCGUUCAUGUAUUCAUAUGUAGCUCUACCCAAUCAAACGCUAAAAGCAUGUUAACAAUAUAUUUACAACACAUUGGGCAAUAGAAAUAUCUUUCAUUACCUAUUUAGAUGUACCCACUCUUUAUUCAUCAUCUUAAUACCAUUGGAUGAUAUCUUUCCUGGUACACAUACUAGUUGUUUUAUGUACCAUCCUCAUGAAAUGAUUUUCAAAAGCAACAUCAUAAUUCUAUAUAUAAGUAAAUAGAAUGGCCAAAAGGAUAUUGGAAAUAGUAAUGUAUGCUAAGAUUACAAGAAUAAUAUGCAAAAUAAAAAAAUACUAAACUAAAUUAAGAGAAAAAAAUACUCAAUGAUAUAUUCUGGGCAACUACCAUAACUAAAAAAUAACUCAGUAAAAAAUUCAGAAUUCAAAAAAGAAAAAUAAAAAAUUUAGCAAAAUAAAAAAUACUAAAACUAAAUUAAAAGAAAAAAUAACUCAAUGAUAUAUUAUAGGCAACUACUAUAACUAAAAAAUAACUCAGUAAAAAAUUUUAGAAUUUUAAAAAGAAAAAUAAAAAAGUUCAACAAAAUAAAAAAAAUACUAAAACUAAAUUAAAAGAAUAUAUAACUCAAUGAUAUGUUUUGGGCAACUGUUAUAAUUAAAAAAUAACUCAGUAAAAAAAUUUAGAAUUUUAAAAAGAUAGCAAACAAAAAGCAAAUAAGCAAAUAAUAAUAAUAAUUUGACAAGAAAAUGUCGAAACACUCACCUUUGGCAAGGUUACAAAACUAGUUCAGUAUGCAAUUGGCCAAAAGUUACAGGAGUAGGAGCUGUGUCUUCUUCAAUUGGGAGGCAUCAUUUUAUCAUAUCAAAUCCUAGGAAAAAUAAUAGUCGGACGGUUAAUUUUUUACAAAACCCAGAUUCACAAUUCAAUACAAAAGUUAAAUUAAUGAUAUAAAAAAUUUUAAGAGAGAAAUUGGAAAAAAAUUAUAACAAAACUUUAAAAAUCCAAAAGGAAAACUUGUGAAUUACCUUCAUCAAACCAUUUUCAAGAACAAAAUCCAUCAAUUACUUUUGUCAAGCUCAAGCCGUUUGGAAAUUCAGUUGCUCAACAAAUUAAUGGAUCAUUAGAUGAUAUAAUUUCUAAGGAAAUUUUGAGGGAUUAAGAUUUUAGGCCUUUAGUUACUUUGGUGUGUGGGCAAUGACGACUUGAGGAAAGAAGAAAACAAAGGCUUUGACUUUUGGGUGGGUGUUAACGUGGAAGUUGAGAAAGAGGCAAAAGGAUGCUAGAAUUAAGUUUCAUUUUUCUUUUUUUAUUUGGCGGUAGUCUUAGAUUCUAGCUAUAUUUUUCGCUCGUUUUUGGUAGCAUUUAUUAUGUGCUACAAAAUUAAUGUUUAUAUUGUAGCUUUUAUAAAAUGCUAUAUUAUUAUAUGGUAUACAUAGCUCUUUUAAAAUGCUACUAUAUGAUUUUUUUUAAGUGUAACAUAAAUUUGUAACAUUUACAAAGUGCUACAUUAUUAAAAAUUUAUGGUAGCAUUUACUAUAUGUUACAAAUUAAAUGUUAUAUGUAUCAAAAAAAUAAAAUGUAACUAUUGAGUAGUUAACAGUAGCUUUUAUGGACAAAAUGACAUCCAAUUUUAAGGCCACCAAUCUAUUUCUUUUACCCUUGCUAUGCCUAAUCUUAUGGAGGCAUUCGUAAUCAAUAAUCACAUUAUCAGUAAUGAGUCUCUUAGGUAUAAAUGCACUCUGAGUUGGGGAUAUAAUUUGGGAGAGAACCGGUUUCAAUCUGAUUGCUAUAGCUUUUGCAAUUAUCCUGCAACUAACAUUGCACAAGCUGAUUGGCAUGUACUCAACUACUUUUCUAGGCUUAGCUACUUUGGGAAUAAGGGCAAUGUGAGUAUGAUUUAGGUCUGCAGGGUUACCUUGUGCAUUGAGGAUGUAGAGAGCAGUCUCUAUCACACCUUCUUGAACUGACUUCCAAUGUUUCUGAUAAAAUGCAGCAAGUAAUCCAUUUGGACCUGGGGCCUUUGUGGGGUACAUUUGGUUCAAAGCUUCUGCUAUGUCUUUUGGUGUAAAUGGCUCGUCCAAAUAAGCAUUCAUCUCUAGGGUGACUUUCGUUGGCAAAUCUUUCAACACCAUUUGGAUUGAGUUCUGGUCUGGGCUGGAUGUUGUGAAUAAGUUCUGAAAAUAUCCACAAAACUUAGUAUAUAUCUUGUUUUAUCCAAGAGAAUCUUGUUUCUCCAUUUAAUUACACUAUUGUAUCAUAGUGUUCAUUGACAACUAAAUAGUGCUUGAAUUCUCCAUAGAGAUAUUCUUUGUUUUGAUCAUAUCGAAGUUCUUUUAUGUUCCUGUCUAAUUGCUUCUGUCUUAUCCACGUACUCUUUUGAAUUUCAAAAGCAAUGGAAUCAUGACGCAUUUAUACAAACAUAAAUAAAAUGAAUAUUCAUUAACAAGAUUGAUAGAAUACUCAUAACCUCUUAUAACAUGUAAACUGAUUAGUCUGUAUACAUUUGUAUGCGCUAAAUCAUCAAAUACAAUGAUAUGCUUUUAGCUCUAAACGAGCAUCCUCAUCAUAUUACUUUUCUAAAUAAGAUUUGUAGAGUUACAAUGAUCAAUCUUAAUAGGCCAACAAGUCUAUUAUUAAUCAUUUUCUUAAAAUAUUAUUAUAGUUUAUAUGACUUAAGCAUAAAUAUCAGAGGUCAUUUUGGUUUGAAGAAACAUUUCUUUUCUUAGAUAAAUGCAUAUACUCUUUAUCAUUAUAUCUUGCUUUGAAUAGAUCAAUAGACUUAUAUGAUAUAAAUUGUCUUUAUAAAUAACCAAACUAAGUAAUAAAUAGAGGAUAAAAAAAUAACAGUGUACUCCUGUUUAUUAAAACAAGUCACCAAAAUUAAAUUCCUCUAAUAUUUGGAAAAAUAAAGACAAAUAUCAAAACUUUAAGUCUUGUAAAAUUGAUCUAGCCUUUCAAUUGAUAUAAACUAGCAUGUCCUCAACUGCUGUUUGAAGCUUUCUUCACUUAAUCUCUUGGUUUUACAAAUAAGAUUAGUUAUCUCAGAAUUCAUUAUUGUAUGAAUCAAUAGAAAUCUGAACUAAUUAGGAAGCUUAAAGAUUUCCUAUACCCGAUUUUAAUAAUCUUAGGACAAUCUUUCUUCCAGCGACCCUUCUGUCCACAUUUGUAACACUUGCCUUUUGGCUUGCCACUUCUUUUAGUGGACAGUUUGCCGAUCCCAACUUUUGCUUGCUCAUUCUUGUCUUUCGACUUAAGCCUUGAAGAGAAUCAUUUUUCAGAAAGUUUUCUGCUAUGAUAAAAUUCUUCUAUAGCAUGUAGUUCGUGCAUUAAUUCAAUUAAGGUCAUAUCUUUAUUGUUUAAGAUAUAGCUGACCUUAAACUCUUUGAAUGUAUCAGGUAAAGAUUCAAUCACCAUGUUAAUCUUUGAUUUAUCAUUGAUUUGAACACCAUGAAUCUCUACCUCAUUCAAAUAGUCCAUCAUUUUGAAGAUAUGAUCACGAACUCUUGUGCCCUCUUCCAUCUUAGUAUCUGUAAUACGUUUUAAUGCUGCUUCUCUGGAAAAAUGGGUAUUUUGCCCAAACAUCUGAUGAAGACUAACCAUUAUUUUAGUGGCUAUUUCCAUGCUCUGAUGUUUCUUAUGCAGUUUGACAGAAAUCGAAGCCAAUAUAUAGCGCUUAGCCAUUUUGUUAGCUUCGCACCAUUUCUCAUAAGGCUCCCUCUCAUUUCUAUAAUCGUAUAACGAUGGUUCAGGAGGGCAAGACUGGAUCAACACAUAUUUUCAGCCCUUAGCAGCGAGAAUAUUAAAUAGAUUGCGUUUCCAAUCUAAAUAAUUUUCGCCAGUGAGUUCAUUUUUAACAAGGAUAAUUAAUAAUGGGUUGAUGGAAGACAUUUUCUGAAAAAAAAUAAAAAUAAACAUGCAUAAAUACUUUGAAACAAUAUUCACAAUAAAUGACAAAAAUGCAAAAAAUCAUAAAUGCAUUUUAAUUUAUUGUAACGAUAAUCUAGUACUGCUUUGACAAGCUAUUCGUUGGGGAAGUCAUGUCUACACUUACUAGACCCAAUUAUCCAUUAGAUUAUUUACUUUCAUGUAGAGACAUGAUAAAUAAUUAUCGUUAUCCAUUUGGGCCUAAAUUUGUUAACAGAGCUUCGUUGGGAAGGUUAAUUGACACGACUCAAAAGUGUAUUACUCUCAAGUAUAAGAGUGUCUAGUUAUAAUCUAACCCGGUGAGACCGGGGUCGAACCACAUGGAGUUUUAAAUCUAGUAAAACUAAGAAAAUUAAUUGUGGGGAAAAGAAAUUAUUUGAAAUCAAUUUAAAAAUAAGCUAAGGUUUAGGAUCCACUCUCUGUAUUUAAACUAUAAUUUUAAUACUCUCUCAUUUAUAUUUUGCUUCACUUUUACCAAUUAAUUAUUAUAUCAUUUAAUUAUAUGUGUAUGGAUAAAUAUAGAAUAAAGUACCUAAUGUGCCACACUAUAUUAAUGUGUCGACAUUAUGUCAAACUACCAUAAAAUCUAGUGAGAUUUAUAAAUUAACAUGAUAUAAAAAUAAUUAGAAAAGAAUUAAAUAAACUUAAAAACUCAUUUGAGAAAAUAAUAAUAAUUAAUAGUUUGAAACAUUGAGCUUCACUAUUCAACUCAGCUUAAUAAAAUUAGCUACUCAUAUUGAAAGAAAACACAAUACUCUUUUUAUUUGAUAAAUUUUUUGAAAUAUAUUACAAAGAAAAUUGAUACAAAUGGAAACAAGAAAAGAAAAGAAAAGAAACAAAGAAAGAAAGAAAUUCUUCAGCUGCACUCUAUUCUCUCUCGGCUUAAGCUCUCAAAAUAGCUCUCCAGAUUCUUCUCAAUCGCUUGCCACCCCUUUGCCUUUUAUAGGCAAAGUAAAUCAUCUUCUUUUCUUUUCUUUUAUUAAUAUUAAUAUUUUAUUUUAUUUUUAUAUUAUAUAUAUAUAUAUUGAAUUAUAAAGCAACACUUUUUGACCAAUUUCAAAUGUUUUCCGAAAAAUUCUUUUGUCAUGAAAAAAUUUGGUUCUUGCCUUAAUAAUUCUGUAAUUCUCAUAUGCAUCAUUCCUUAAUUCCUCAAGUUCAUUUAUUUGCAAUUUACGCAUAUUGCUAGCAUCAUCAAGAUUUGAAUUAAAAGCUUUAAUGGCCCAAAAUGAUUUAUGUUCAAGUUCUAUUGGUAAGUGGCAAGAUUUUCCAUAAACAAGCCGAUAGGGUGACAUUCCUAGAGAUGUUUUAAAAGCAGUACGAUAUGCCCAAAGUGCAUCAAUUAGUCGAAGAGACCAAUCUUUACGGUUUGAAUUAAUUGUCUUUUCUAAAAUUUGUUUUAUCUCCCUAUUUGCUAAUUCAACUUGACCACUUGUUUGAGGGUGAUAAGGGGUAGCAACCUUAUGUGUAAUUCCAUAUUUUUUCAUUAAAGACUCAAAUGGCUUAUUACAAAAAUGCUUACCUCCAUCACUGAUAAUGGCUUGAGGUAUUCCAAAUUUGCUCAAAAUAUUUUCUUUUAGAAAGCGGAUCACAAUCUUGUGAUCAUUGUGCCGACAAGGAAUCGCCUCGAUCCAUUUUGAAACAUAAUCAACAGCAACUAAAAUAUAUACAAAUCCAAAUGAUGAUGGAAAAGGGCCCAUAAAAUCAAUUCACCAAUAAUUAAAUAUUUCAAUGACAAGGAUGGGGUUUAAAGGCAUCAUGUUCCGCUUUGAAAUAGACCCUAUCAUUUGACAAUUCUUACACAUUUUACAGAAUGCAUGUGAAUCUUUAAAUAAUGUAGGCCAAUAAAAUCCACACUGUAAUAUUUUUACAGCUGUCUUUUUUGAAGAAAAAUGGCCACUGCAUGCUUCAGAAUGACAAAAUUGAAUGACCCUACUUACCGCGUCGUCUGGUACGCAUCUUUAAAAAAUUUGCUCGGAGCAAUACUUGAACAGGUAUGGUUCAUCCCAGUAAAAGCUUUUUACUUCUGUUAAGAAUUUCUUCUUAUCUUGGGAACUCUAGUCACAUGGCAUUUCACCUGUUGCAAGAUAAUUAACAAUAUUAGCAUACCAAGGCAUUUUAUUUAUAGAAAACAAAAAUUUUUCAGGGAAAGAAUCAUUGAUGGGUGUUGUUUCAAUUGAAGACUCAUUUGUAAGUCUUGAAAGAUGAUCUGCAACAACAUUUUCAGCGCCUUUUUUGUCCUUGAUUGUCAAAUUAAAUUCUUGAAGUAGCAAAAUCCAUCGUAUCAACCUUGGUUUGGCAUCCUGUUUUGACAUUAAAUAUCUCACAGCAGCAUGAUUAGAAUAAACAACAGUAGAUGAACAAAUUAAAUACGAACGAAAUUUAUCCAAUGCAAAUAUUACAGCAAGUAGUUCUUUCUCAGUUGUAGUGUAAUUCAUUUGAGCACUAUUCAAAGUUCUACUUGCAUAAUAGAUGACAAAGGGCUUACCUUCUUUUCUUUGACCUAGAACAGCGCCAACGGCAUAAUCACUAACAUCACACAUUAGCUCAAAAGGCAAAGACCAAUCAGGGGGUUGCAUUAUUGGGGCUGAUGUUAAAAGAGUAGUUAUUUUUUUAAAAGCUUGUUGACAAUCAUUAGUCCAUUCAAAUUGUGUAUCUUUUAUUAGGAGGUUACAAAUUGGUCUAGAUAAGACACUAAAGUCUUUUAUAAAACUCCUAUAAAAUCCUGCAUGUCCUAAAAAAGAACGAACUUCUCUAAUUGUCUUUGGUGAGGGUAAUUUCGAAAUGACUUCAAUUUUGGCUUUAUCAACUUCAAUUCCUGUUGAAGACACAAUAUGACCUAAGACAAUUCCAGAAGUGGUCAUGAAAUGGCAUUUUUCCCAAUUUAAAACUAGUCAUUUUCUUUGCACAUUUUCAAAACGUUUUCUAGAUUAUCAAGACAUGUAUCAAAAGAAUUAUCAAAAUACAGUUAAAUCAUCCAUAAAAACCUCUAGAAAAUUUUCAACCAUGUCACUAAAAAUGAUUAGCAUGCACCUUUGAAAUGUUGCAGGAGCAUUACAAAGUCCAAAGGGCAUUCUCCUAAAUGCAAAUGUUCCAAAUGAGCAUGUGAAUGUGGUCUUUUCCUGGUCUUCUAAGGCUAUAAGGAUUUGAUAAUAACCAGAGUAGCCAUUAAGAAAGCAGUAGUAGGGAUGUCCAGCUACUCUUUCGAGAAUUUGGUCUAGAAAUGGAAGGGGAAAAUGAUCUUUUCUAGUGGCAUCAUUUAAUUUUCUGUAAUCAAUGCACAUGCACCAACUAGAUGGAAUUCGUGUUGGGAUUGGUUCACCUUUUUCAUUUUUUACAACAGUUAUUCCAGAUUUCUUUGGUACUACUUGAGUUGGACUUACCCAUUUACUAUCAGAGAUAGGGUAAAUAAUUCCUACAUCUAGUAGUUUAAGGACCUCAUUCUUUACCACUUCUUUCAUAUGAGGGUUUAGUCUUCUUUGUGGUUGACGGGUUGUUUUGACAUUUUCUUCUAAGUGUAUUCGGUGUGUGCAAAUUAAAGGAUUAAUGCCUUUUAUGUCUUUUAAGGUCCAACCAAAUGCAAUUUUAUGCCUUUUCAGUACAGAUAACAACUUAUUUUCUUGAUCAUGCGUGAGUUGAGAAGAAAUUACCACCGGAUAUGUCUGCUGCUUUCCAAGAUAGGCAUACUUCAAUUUUUCUGGUAAGGGCUUUAAUUCGAGCUCUGGUGCUUCCUCUUCGUUUGGUUCUUCAGGUUGCACCGUAUCUUCAAAGUUUGAUUGGUCAUCGUCGCCUAUAGGUACAUGCAUAGAAUCAAGUGUAGGGCAUGUGUUAGCAGUAUCACAAUCUAAUUCUUUACUUGAUUCAAAAGAAUCAGCAAAACAAAUUUCAGCAGAGUUUGUAAAAUUCUCAUCCUGAAUGUGUUCCUCAAUGAUUGGCUCGAUGAGAUCAAUUUCCUCAUUCUCAUUAUCAUCAUCUUCUUGGUGCUGAGGUUGUUUACACAUGUUGAACACAUUGAGUUCCAGUGUCAUGUUGCCGAAAGAUAAAUUCAUUAAUCCAUUCCUGCAAUUUAUCAAAGCAUUAGCAGUAGCUAAAAAUGGUCAACCCAAAAUAACAGGAAUUUGUUUGCAUUCAUUAGCAAUUGGUUCCGUUUCUAGAACAAUAAAAUCCACAGGAUAUAUGAAUUUAUCGACCUGCACUAAUAUAUCUUCAAUUAUUCCUUUUGGAACCUUAAUCGAUCUAUCAGCAAGUAAAAGAGUGGUAGAAGUUGGUUUAAACUCACCGAGAUUGAGUUGUUGGUACACUGAGUAAGGAGGCAAAUUAACACUGGCACCAAGAUCAAGUAAAGCAUGUCCAAUUUUAUGAUCCCCAAUAGUGCAAGAAAUAGUUGGACAACCAGGAUCCUUGUAUUUCAAAGCACUAUUGGUUGAGAGAAUAGAACUUACCUGUUCUGCUAAAAAAGCUCUCUUUUGCACCUUAUGUUUCCUUUUCACCGUGCACAGAUCUUUCAGAAAUUUAGCAUAAGAAGACACCUGUUUAAUGACAUCCAGCAGAGGAAUGUUGACCUUAACUUGUUUAAAAACUUCAUAAAUUUUUGGACUGUGGUUUGAUUUCUUUGGCUUGAUUAGUGCUUGAGGAAAUGGGGGUAUAAGAGGAGAGUUGGUUAUUUCUUCAUGGGUUAAAGGUUCGACAGACUCUUCCCUAUUUUCUGAAAUUGAAUCUUUACUAGUUUCACGAGGGUCCACAAUGUGUUUUUCGACCACUUUACCACCACGAAGGGUUAAACCGAUUUGACUUGACUCAUAUUUUGGUUUCCUGAAUUUCCCAUUUGAGGAUGUUGAUGACUCUUGGGGUUUGGUUCAGGUUGAGAAGGAAACUUUCUUUUUUCAUGUAUGGUCAGAGCAGAUGUGAGUUUGGAGAUAGUUUCUGUCAAAUUGGUUAAGGUUUGCAUCGUUUGGUUAUUGAUCGACUAUUGUUUUUCAAUAAACGAAUGCAAUGUGUCUUCCAGAGUUUUUCUUGGUGGUGGGACAUAUGGUGGGUAACUCUGGGAGUUUUGAAAAUUUUGAUGUGGAGGAACUAGUUGUGAAGGUUGUGCAUGAUUGUCAUUUCUCCAACUGAAAUUUGGGUGGUUUCUCCAACCAGAGUUGUAAGUUUGAGAGUAUGGAUUUGGAUUUGGCCUUUUGAAAUUGUCAACGACAUUUACUUGUUCAUGCAAGCUUUCUCUCAGAGCUGGCAAAGUUGGACAGUCCUGCGUAGAAUGGUUAGUAGAAUCGCAAAUAUAACAUGAAAUAUUUUGAACAGACUUUACAUGAUCAUUCUUUUUCGACUCUAAUGCUUCGAAUUUUCUAUCUAAUGAUGCAAAUUUGGCUUGAAAAUCAUGGUCUUCCCUAAGGUUAUGCAUGCCUCCACCAGAUGGAGAUGAUUGAGGUUUACUUGAUGACUCAUAAGACCCAACUGUAUCCCAGUGUUGUUUAUUUUCUACUAUAUAGUCAAGAGAGUCUAAUGCAUCUUCAGGACUUUUAUCCCUAAACUCACCAUUACACAUCAUUUCAACGACUUGUCUACCUUGGGAUGUUAAUCCCUUGUAGAAAUAAGAUACUAAUCUUCAUGUUUCAAAACCGUGAUGUGGGCAAAUGUUAAGUAGUUCUUUAAACCUAUCCCAACAUUGGUAGAGAGUUUCUCCUGGUUUUUGAGUGAAAAUGGUGAUUUGUCUUUUGAAAGAAUUUGUUCUGUGGGGUGGGAAGAAAUUUUUCAAAAAUUGUGCUUGCAUUUCAUCCCAAGUUCUGAUGGAUUCUGACAUAAGAUUUUAUAGCCAAGUUUUAGCUUUAUCCUUAAGUAAGAAAGGAAAAAACUUAAGCCUAAUUAUAUUCAUGCUACAAUUUUGAUCAGUACAUGUGUUACAAACUUCCUCAAAUUCCCUUAAAUGCAAAUAUGGAUUUUCAUACUCAAAACCAUGAAAAGUAUGAAGAAGUUGAAUGAUACCAGGUUUGAAAUUAAAACGUGAUGCAUCAGGAGGGAAAACUAUGCAUGAUGGUGACCCUGUUCUAGUAGGAUGCAUGAAGUCUCUAAGAGUCCUAGGUUGUUCAUGAAGAUUUUGCAAGGCUUGGUCAUUUUCGUGCUCCGAAAAAUUUUCAGCUCCUAUGUCAGCCAUAUUUAAGGGUGGUGAAGGUGAUUUUCUAAUCAAUCUACCACUUUUUGUACGAGACCAACGACGCAUGCAAUGCUAAUGAUGUGUGCUAAACUAAUGAUGCAAAAACGCUAAAUGAAAAUUGCAAAAAUAAACUGAAAAUUAAAUAAGCAAAAAAAUGCGAAAUAAAAAUAAACAAACUGAAAAAUAAAUAAAUAAAUUAGGUGGUGAAACCAGCCAUUAAAUGAAAUAGUUUAGGCGGUAUUUUAAAACCAGCCAUAUAAUAAAACAUAAAAUUAAAUAAAUUAAUGCACAAAAAUAAAUAAAUUGAAUUUAAAAUGCUAGGGGGUAGAACCAACCACUUAAACAAAAAUACAUAAAUUAACAAAAUUUAAAUAACAGUCAGGCGGUAGAACCGACCAUUUAAAAUAAAUGCGGAAAGUAAAUUGCAGAAAUUUAAAAAAAUAAAUUUGAUUUGGGGACUGAUUUGUAAAGGUUUCUGGGCUAAGAUGACGUUUCUCAUAAAUUUUAUGGAUAAUGUUAAGGUUUGAAAAGAAGAGGGGUGCUAACUGAAGUUUUACAAAAAGAGAAUAAAAUAGAAAAACGGAAAGAUGGUAAAGACAAAACAAAAAAUAAAUAAAAAUAAAAAUAAAAAUAAAAAUAAAGUAAAGACAAACUAACACCAAAUUUAGAAAACUCUCCGGCAACAGCGCCAAAAAUUUGACACGACUCAAAAGUGUCUUACUCUAAAGUAUAAGAGUGUCUAGUUAUAAUAUAACCCGGUGAGAUCGGGGUCAAACCACAUGGAGUUUUAAAUCUAGUAAAACUAAGAAAAUUAAUUAUGGGGAAAAGAAAUUAUUUGAAAUCAAUUUAAAAAUAAGCUAAGGUUUAUGAUCCACUCUCUGUAUUUAAACUAUAAUUUUAAUACUCUCUCAUUUAUAUUUUGCCUCAUUUUUACCAAUUAAUUAUUAUAUCAUUUAAUUAUAUGUGUAUGGAUAAAUAUAGAAUAAAGUACCUAAUGUGCCACACUAUAUUAAUGUGUCGAAAUUAUGUCAAAAUACCAUAAAAUCCAGUGAGAUUUAUAAAUUAACAUGAUAUAAAAAUAAUUAGAAAAGAAUUAAAUAAACUUAAAAACUCAUUUAAGAAAAUAAUAAUAAUUAAUAGUUUGAAACAUUGAGCUUCACCAUUCACCUCAGCUUAAUAAAAUUAGCUACUCAUAUUGAAAGAAAACACAAUACUCUUUUUAUUUGAUAAAUUUUUUGAAAUAUAUUACAAAGAAAAUUAAUACAAAUGGAAACAAGAAAAGAAAAGAAAAGAAACAAAGAAAGAAAGAAAUUCUUCAGCUGCACUCUAUUCUCUCUCGGCUUAAGCUCUCAAAAUAGCUCUCCAGAUUCUUCUCAAUCGCUUGCCACCCCUUUGCCUUUUAUAGGCAAAGUAAGUCAUCUUCUUUUCUUUUCUUUUAUUAAUAUUAAUAUUUUAUUUUAUUUUUAUAUUAUAUAUAUAUAUUGAAUUGUGUGAUGGUCAGGAGGCGUAAUGGCCUCCUGACCAUCACCAACAUGUUUUUGCUCUUUUGUUCUUUUUUUUUUAAUUUUAUUUAAUUUAAUUUAUUAUUUAUUAUUACAUCUCUUCAAUUUUGUUUCAGUAGUUCUUCUUUGUUCCUGCUUUCAAUUCUAAUUCCAUCUUUAUUCUUGAAAAAUAUUUACAAGAUAAAAAUUAACAAAUUACGAAUUAAUUUAACAUAAAAUAUAUUAGGGGAGUAUUAAAAUAAUUUAGAAAUAAUGAAUGCAUUAAUCGACACAAUAAGUGAAAAACUAAUAAUUUUAUCCUUAUUAAAUGUACACUUUUUAGUGUCAAUCAUUAAUAACAAAUUUUAGUUGAGUGUAUAACCAUUGUUUCAAUCUACAUAUUUUUCAUAUCAAUAGUCACCGUUGGGGCGAACAAUCGAUUGAAAAAUAUAAGAUGGCGCUGAUACCAAUGAUCUUCCAGGUUAUGACUUAGGUUUGAUCUGCACUUGACGUGUGGGCGCUUUUAUCACUACCAAAGCAACUAGCACGAGAAAAUUUUUCUCUCAACAAUAGAGAGAAAAAUCUUUUUCUUUGAUCUGUAUAAAGUGGCUGCACACUUUUUUUUUUAGAGAAAAUAAGCCUUUUAUAUCUCCUUUUAGUGAAAACCCUAGGCUCCAAAUAAUGAAAAACAAAACUCACGUUACUUGCUUUUUCUAUAGGGGACCCACCUUGUAAAAUAACAUAAGGCCAUUUACACACAAGCUAAUUAAAUGGAACCUCCCACUAAAUGAUAUAUUUAGGCUUUUGACCCAAAUAGCUAGUUAUCUUGCUUAUUAAUCCAGUAGUGGUGCAGUCAAUUAAAUGAGCUAACCCGGGGAUCAUUUGAGAACAUACAAUAGUGGCUACAGUAAUUAGGCCUGUAAUUAAACUAGCCCAAUUAUUUAAUUCCAAAUCUACUCCAUUAAAAGAUUGGAACUGACUUCCAUAAUUGUAUGCUCGAAUAAUAAUUCGUCCCAAGCCACAUUGAUUUCUUUACUGCACAAUCCUUUGUACCACAUCGUUAAUUAAAUUGAUAUCUCAACUGUCCAAUCAAUUUAAUAACAUCUUAUUCCUUGAUACUUACUGGUUUUCUCUAAUGAUUAUUUUCAACAUACUAAAUAUGUUGACACACUCUGGCCAGAGAAUUCUAUGAUCAAGUGCCGAAAACCCAUCAAGAGAUGUAUUGUACAAAUUCUAUAUUGUUAAUCUAUAACUCCAAUACUCAUAAAUGCUCCCACCAAGAUACCGGGUAAUCUAGACUACAAGUAUGUGUUAUGCCCAUUGGUAACUCAAAUGGAAUAACAAUUACAAUCAUGAAAUCAUAAUUAACGCAAGAUUAAGAUUACAGUAAAAUCAAUGCCUAUGAGAUUUAAUAAGUCUGACAGUUAUUACAAAGUUAAUUAAAUCUCAUAUGUGAUCCUGUUCAAUGUAGUCGUACUACAUCAAUAAAUUCAUACAUGGUUAAGACAAAUCAUUCAAUGAAUUUAUUACAGUCUAUAUCUAAAUAAAGUGCCCAACUUUAUUUAUUAACUGCGAACUAAAUUUAUUUAAUCAUAAGAUAACUUGUAUUUAUGUCUUCUGUGAAUCCACAUGGUGAUCACAUAAAUACAUAUAAUAUGAUUAAAUGGACUUUAAUAAAAAUAUUAAUGCAAUUAAGAUAUUUGAAUAAAAUACCUCAUUAAUUUUAUUAAUCAGAAAAUAUAUUUAUUACAAUUAAAUAAACACAUAUGCUUUUAAAGAGCAUAUUUUCCCAACAAUCUCCCACUAGCUCUUAGAGCAUAUCUGACAUAUUGCACAUGCUCUAGCGCUCUAAGUGCAGGUUAUAAAUGUUUCCCACUAAUGGCCAUUGUAAUAAGAUCUGCCAUUUAGCAUCUAAUGCCAUUUGGGGUACUGUUAUAUAACCUUUCUACAUUAUUCUCUUAUAAGAUGAUACUUCCUCUCAAUAUGUUUUUGUUUCUUGUGGUUCCUUGGUUCCGUAGAUUGAGCUACCGUACCAUUUCUCAUAAGGCUCCCUCUGGUUUCUAUAAUCGUAUAACGUUGUUUCUAGAGGGCAUGGCUGGGUCAACACAUAAUUUUCACCAGUGAGUUCAUUUUUAACAAGGAUAAUUAAUAAUGGGUUGAUGGAAGAUAUUUUCUGAAAAAACAAAAUAGACAUGCACAAAUACUUUGAAACAAUAUUCACAAUAAAUGACAAAAAUGAAAAAAACCAUAAAUGCAUUUUAAUUUAUUGUAACGAUAAUCUAGUACUGCUUUGACAAGCUAUCCGUUGGGGAAGUCAUGUUUACACUUACUAGACCCAAUUAUCCAUUAGAUUAUUUACUUUCAUGUAGAGACAUGAUAAAUAAUUAUCGUUCUCCCUUUGGGCCUAAAUUUGUUAACAGAGCUUCGUUGGGAAGGUUAAUAACAAAUUUUAGUUGAGUGUAUAACCAUUGUUUCAAUCUACGUAUUUUUCAUAUCAAUAGUCACCGUUGGGGCGAACAAUCGAUUGAAAAAUAUUUCAAUUUUAUCUUUGAAGAAGUUCGUCAAAUAAAAUAUCUAAUAUAUAUACCCUCCGUAGGGAGCAUCACCGUAUCAUGAAGUCGAGGUAUAUAUAUAAUUUUAUUAUUGAACUAACAAUGGAGCCCGUGGGAAAAAUUAUCUUGAAUUUUCCCUCUCCCACUCAAUAUUUUAAAAUUGAUUUUUCCUUUUUAAAACCUACAUAUUGUUAAUUGCAUGCUUCCUAUAAUAUUAUCUAGAUGAUAUCCAAUAUUAUUAAGCAUAGGCAAAUUUCAAACAAUAUAAUGAAAUUCAUAAUUAAUGAAUGACAUGUAUCAUUAUGCAUAGAGUGGCACUACCUAUUCUAUAUGACAUGUUAUCAUGGCAAGUUAUCAUCCAAAACAUAACAUAUAGAAAAACAAUUAAAUAAUCUUAAUUCAUGGCUUUCCUAAUAAUGAAAAAUACAUUAAACCUAAGCCUAAUCUUCAUUGAGCUUCUUGUCAAUGUCCAUAUUCCAUAAUCUUGUCUUUGUUAAUGGACUAGGGGAAAUUGGGCUUUUAAAUUUAUAAUUGGUCCAAUUUUAAUUUUUAGAAGGAAAUAAAUAAAUAAUUAAUUUUUUUUAUUAAAAUAAAACUUUUGGACCAAAAAUAAAUUUAAUGUGUUCAAUUUUAUCUAUGCAUUUUAAUCCAUUAAGCCCAACUUUCAAUUGGGCCUAAAACUAGGAUUCUUUAAGCCCAAAAUUAUUUUUAGACUUAAAUGCAAAAAAAAUUAAAACUUAUCAGCCCAAAGAGAAAAUCUAUAGAACUAUAGGGAUCGUAAUGAUAAAAACCAUUAGAACCCUAAAUCUAUCUUUUUCUCUCCCCAGCCGCCAUCACCACAAAGGGCAGCCACUGUUCACAAUUUCCAGCCAUCUCCGACGCCGAGUUUGCUACCGCCGUCACACCGGAAACGUACCAAACACCUCCCUCGCGUUGCACGGAAAGCUCCUGCUCGCGCUGCUUGCUGCGUGUGCUGGCUGUUGCACGCGAGCGUGCGCUAGCUGCUGCAUGCACAACGUGCGUUGCUGGCUGCGCGAGCAGCAUGUGCUGGCUGCUGGCAGCGUAUGCUGCAAGCCGCGCGCUGCUGCCGCUGCGCGUGCAGCACGUUGCUGUUGCUGCGCGUGCAGCGCGCUGGUUGCUGCUGCUGCACGUGCAGCGCGCUGGUUGUUGCUGGUUGCCGCUGUCAAAAUUUUCGACCUUCGUCGCUCCGAUAUGCUAUCCAUGAUUAAUUUACAAAUUUCCUAGGCCAAUUUUGGCUUACAAAAGUUCUAUAACAGUAAAAUAAAUCAAGAGGGAAACAUAGUGAUAAAAAACCACCCCUCUUGUUACAGAUCGAAACGAAAAAUAGAAUAGAAAAUCUAACCAUGGAUUAAGACAAACUAAAACAUGCUUUAUUCAUAUAUUAAACAAAUAAUGUAUAUCUGAAUAAAUUGUGCCACUCUAAUACAUAAAUUUCAAGAUUAAUUUCAUACGAAAUUCUUAUAUAUUAAUAUGAGGAGGCUUUGAUACCAAUUGUUGGGGAAAAAUUAGGUUUUUAAAUUUUUUAUACAACCUUUUGAAGAUCGCUCUCAUAUAAUAUAUAAGAAUUUGUAAUCUAGAAAUCGUACCUUGAAAAUCCGAUUUGGCUUUUUCCGUUGAAGUGAUUUAGGCUCCUAGAUCACGAUCUGCCACCACCACUCCUUUUGGAUCACGAUCCGUCACCACCACGCUUGUUAGAUCAUGAACUGUCACCAACGAUCUUCCAGGUUAUGACUCAGGUUCGAUCUGCACUUGACGUGUGGGUGCCUUUAUCAUUACCAAAGCAACUAGCACGAGAAAAUUUGUCUCUCAACAAUAGAGAGAAAAAUCUUUUUCUCUUAUCUAUAUAAAGUGGCUGCUCUACUUUUCUUUAGAGAAAAUAAGCCUUUUAUAUCUCCCUUUAGUGAAAACCCUAGGCUCCAAAUAAUCUAAAAACAAAACUUACGUUACUUGCUUUUUCUAUAGGGGACCCACCUUGUAAAAUAACAUAAGGCCCCUUACACACAAGAUAAUUAAAUGGAGCCUCCCACUAAAAGAUAUAUUUAGGCUUUUGACCCAAAAAACUAGUUAUCUUACUUAUUAGUCCAGUAGUGGUGCAGUUAAUUAAAUGAGCUAACAUGUGGAUCAUUUGGGAACAUACAAUAGUGGCUAUAACAAUUAGGCCUGUAAUUAAACUAGCCUAAUUAUUUAAUUCUAAAUCUACUCCACUAAAAGAUUGGAAUUGACUUCCAUAAUUGUAUGCUCGAAUAAUAAUUCGUCCCAAGCCACAUUGAUUUCUUUACUGCACAAUCCUUUGUACCACAUCGUUAAUUAAAUUGAUAUCUCAACUGUCCAAUCAAUUUAAUAACAUCUUGUUCCUUGAUACUUAUUGGUUUUCUCUAAUGAUCAUUUUCAACAUACUAAAUAUGUUGACACACUCUGGCCAGAGAAUUCUAUGAACAAAUGCCGAAAACCCAUCAAGAGAUGUGUUGUACAAAUUCUAUAUUGUUAAUCCAUAACUCCAAUACUCAUAAUUGCUCCCACCAAGAUACCGGGUAAUCUUGACCACAAGAAUGUGUCGUGCCCAUUGGUAACUCAAAUGGAAUAACAAUUACAAUCAUGAAAUCAUAAUUAACUCAAGAUUAAGAUUACAGUAAAAUCAAUGCCUAUGAGAUUUAAUAAGUCUGACAGUCAUUUCAAUGUUAAUUAAAUCUCAUAUGUGAUCCUUUUCAAUGUAGUCGUACUACAUUAAUAAAUUCAUACAUGAUUAAGACAAAUCAUUCAAUGAAUUCAUUACAGUCUAUACCUAAAUAAAGUGCGCAACUUUAUUUAUUAACUGCGAACUAAAUUUAUUUAAUCAUAAGAUAACUUAUAUUUAUUUCUUCUAUGAAUCCACAUGGUGAUCACAUAAAUACAUAUAAUAUGAUUAAAUGGACUUUGAUCAAAAUAUUAAUGCAAUUAAGAUAUUUGAAUAAAAUACCUCAUUCAUUUUAUUAAUCAGAAAAAAUGUUUAUUACAAUUAAAUAAACACAUAUGCUUUUAAAGAGUAUAUUUUCCCAACAAAUUAAUCAUGCGAAGACAGAUCAAAGGAACAUUAAAGAAACGAAGGCUGGAUUUUUCAGCGGCAGUCACCAACAUGCAGCGCGCACUGGCGCACGCAGCUCAUGCAGUUCGCGCAGUUGCAGCGUGUGCGGCGCGUUCUGGUGCAGCGCGAGGGAGGUGUGGUUUGGUGCGUUUCCGGCGUGACGGUGGCAGUAACCUCGGUGUCGAAGAUGGCUGGAAAUUGUGACCAGUGGCUGUUUUUGUAGAGAUGGCGGCUGGGGAAGAAAGAAAAGAAAAAUAUGGGUUUUAGGGUUUCGUGAUUUUUAUCAUUAAGGUCCCUAUGGUUCCGUAAUUUUUCUUUUGGGCAAAUACGUUUCAAUUGUUUGCAUUUAAGUCCAAAAACAGUUUUGGACUUUAUGAAUUCUAGUUUUAGGCCCAAUUCAAAUUGGGUUUAAUGGAUUAAAAUACAUGGAUAAAAUUGAACAUAUUAAAUUUAUUUUGGUCCAAAAGUUUUAUUUAAAAAAAAAGGGUUUUAAUUUAUUUUUUUUCAAAAAUUAAAAUUGGACCAACAAUAAAUUUAAAAGUCCAAUUUUCCCUAGUCCAUUAACAAAGACAAGCUUAUCGAAGAUGGACAUUGACAAGAAGCCCAAUGAAGAUUAGGCUUAGGGUUAAUGUAUUUUUCAUUUUAGGAAAGCCAUGAAUUAAGAUUAUUUAAUUAUUUUUUAAUAUGUUGUGUUUUGGAUGAUAACAUGUUAUAUAGAAUAGGUAGUGACACUCUAUGCAUAAUGAUACAUGUCAUUCAUUAAUAAUGAAUCUCAUUAUAUUGUUUGAAAUUUGCAUAUGUUUAAUAAUAUUUGAUAUCAUCUAGAUAAUAUUAUAAGAAGCAUGCAAUUAACAAUAUGUAUGUUUUAAAAAAGGAAAAACUAAUUUUAAAAUAUUGAGUAGGAGAGGGAAAAUUCGAGAUAAUUUUUCCCAUGGGCUCCAUUGUUAGUUCAAUAAUAAAAUUAUAUAUAUACCUCGACUUCAUGAUACGGUGAUGCUCCCUACGGAGGGUAUAUAUAUUAAAUAUUUUAUUUGAUGAACUUCUUCAAAGAUAAAAUUGAAAUAUUUUUCAAUCGAUUGUUCACCCCAACGGUGACUAUUGAUAUGAAAAAUAUGUAGAUUAAAACAAUGGUUAUACACUCAAGUAAAAUUUGUUAUUAACCUUCCCAACGAAACUCUGUUAACAAAUUUAGGCCCAAAGGGAUAACGAUAAUUAUUUAUCAUGUCUCUACAUGAAAGUAAAUAAUCCAAUGGAUAAUUGGGUCUAGUAAGUGUAGGCAUGACUUCCCCAACGGAUAGCUUGUCAAAGCGGUACUAGAUUAUCGUUACAAUAAAUUAAAAUGCAUUUAUGGUUUUUUGCAUUUUUUUCAUUUAUUGUGAAUAUUGUUUCAAAGUAUUCAUGUAUGUCUAUUUUAUUUUUUUUUUUCCAGAAAAUGUCUUCCAUCAACCCAUUAGUAAUUAUCCUUGUUAAAAAUGAACUCACUGGCAAAAAUAAUUUAGAUUGGAAAUGCAAUCUAUUUAAUAUUCUCACUGCUAAAGGCUGCAAAUAUGUGUUGACCCAUCAUUGCCCUCCAGAACCAUCGUUAUACGAUUAUAGAAAUCAGAGGGAGUCUUAUGAGAAAUGGUGCGAAGCUAAUAAAAUGGCUAAACGCUAUAUAUUGGCUUCAAUUUCUGUGGAACUGCAUAAGAAAUAUCGGAGCAUGGAAAUAGGCACUGAAAUAAUGGCUAGUCUUCAUCAGAUGUUUGGGAAAAAUACUCAUUUUGCCAGAGAAGCAGCAUUAAAACAUAUUACGGAUACUAAGAUGGAAGAGGGCACAAGAGUUUGUAAUCAUGUCCUCAAAAUGAUGGACUAUUUGAAUGAAGUAGAGAUUCAUGGAGUUCAAAUCAAUGAUAAAAUAAAGAUUAACAUGGUGAUUGAAUCUUUACCUGAUACAUUCAAAGAGUUUAAGGUUAGCUAUAUCUUAAACAAUAAAGAUAUGACCUUAAUUGAAUUAAUGCACGAACUACAUGAUAUUAAAGAAUUUUAUCAUAGCAGAAAACUUCCUGAAAAAGGAUUCCCUUCAAGGCUUAAGUUGAAAGAGAGGAAUAAACAAGAAAGAGAUGGGAUCGGCAAACUGUCCACUAAAAGAAGUGGCAAGCCAAAAGGCAAGUGUUACAAAUGUGGACAGAAGGGUCACUAAAAGAAAUAUUGUCCUAAGAUUAUUAAAAUCAGGUAUAGGAAAUCUUUAAGCUUCCUAAUUAGUUCAAAUAUCUAUUGAUUCAUGCAAUAGUGAAUUAUGAGAUAACUAAUCUUAUUUGUAAUUCAUUUAUUUAGUUUUCAGGAAACCAAGAGAUUAAGUGAAGAAAGCUUCAAACAGUAGUUGAGGGGAUGCUAGUUUAUAUCAAUUGAAAGGCUAGAUCAAUUUUACAAGACUUUAGUUUUGAUAUUUAUCUUUAUUUUUCCAAAUAUUGGAGGAAUUUAAUUUCGGUGGCUAGUUUUAAUAAACAGGAGUACACUGUUAUUUUUGGAUUCUCUAUUUAUUACUUAUUUUGGUUAUUUAUAAAGACAAUUUAUAUCAUAGAAGACCAUUGAUCUAUUCAAAGUAAGAUAUAAUGAUAAAGAGUAUAUGCAUUUAUCUAAGAAAAGAAAUGUUUCUUCUAACCAAUAUCACCUCUGAUAUUUAUGCUUAAGUCAUAUAAACUAUAAUAAGAUUUUAAGAAAAUGAUUAAUGAUAAGCUUAUUGGCCUAUUAAGAUUGAUCAUUGUAACUCUAUAAAUCUUAUUUAGAAAAGUAAUAUGAUGAAGAUGCUCUUUUUGAGCUAAAAGCAUAACAUUGUAUUACAUGAUUUAGCGUAUACAAAUGUAUACGGACUAAUCAAUUUACAUGUUAUAAGAGGUUAUGAGUAUUUUAUCAAUCUUGUUGAUAAAUAUUCAUUUUAUUUAUAUUUGUCUACAUGCGUCAUGAUUCCAUCGCUUUUGAAAUUCAAAAGAGUACGUGGAUAAAACAGAAGCAAUUAGACAGGAAUAUAAAAGAACUUUGAUAUGAUCGAAACAAAGAAUAACUCUAUGGAGAAUUCAAGCUCUAUUUGGUUGUCAAAUGGGAUAAACUCCCACAUAUAAUUAACACUAUGAUAUAAUAGUGUAAUUAAAUGGAGAAACAAGAUUCUUUUGGAUAAGACAAGAUAUAUACUAAGUAGUUUAUCAUUUACCUUUUUUAUUCAAAAUACUAGUAUUUAAAACUGCAAAGUUUAUUGAACUUAGUUUCACCUACCUCGGUGUCUACUACUCCAAAAAAUUAUGAAAAAGUCACAAACAUGGUUUGAGACACAUUCGUAUUUGGAGUUUACUAGUAUUUGUACUAGAAUCAGAGGUAGAGAAGAUAGAUUCGUGUUCAUAAGCUUGCAUGUUUUAGGUAUCUUAAAGGAAUAAGGGAAAGUCUGAAUUAUAGUCCUCAAAAUAAGAAUGUAUUUAUAGACAUAUUCUUUACUUUCUUUGAGGAAGACUAUAUAAUGACUUAUAAACUAAGAGUAAGGUAAAACUAGAGAAAUAAAAGAGAUCAGGUUGAUACUCAGCUUUCAACACCUGUUAUAGAACAGGAAGAACAACAACAACCAGCUGAUCAGCACAGGAUUAUCCCUGAACAACCAUCACUUUUACAAUCUCGUCGUAGUGGGAGGGUAACUAGGUUACCUACGAGAUACAUGUUAUUGAGAGAAACCUAUACGGCGAUCUCAGUUGAACAUGUACAAGAUCCCACUAGCUACAACGAAGCUCUAAUAGACAGAGAUGUUGAAUUUUGGAAAAAGGUCAUGAAUCAAGAAAUGGAAUCUAUGUAUUCCAAUAAAGUAUGGGAACUUGUAGAGGCACCAAAUGGGGUAAAACAUAUAAAGUGUAAGUGAAUUUAUAAGAGAAAAAGAGGAGUAAAGGGAAGGGUGGAAACAUUUAAAGUAAGAUUAGUAGCCAAAGAGUUUUACUCAGAAAGAGAAAUCGAUUAUGAGGAAACCUUUUCUCCGGUUACUAUGCUUAAAUCCAUCAGGAUUCUGCUCUCCAUUGUUGCAUUGCUAGAUUAUGAAAUUUGGCAAAUGGAUGUCAAGACUGCCUUUCUUAAUGGGCAUCUUGAAGAAGACAUUUAUGUGCAGUAUCCAAAUGGAUUCAUAUAGAAAGGCCAAGAACACAUGGUAUGUAAGUUGCAGAGAUCCAUUUAUGGAACAUCAGAUUUGAUCAAGCGAUUAAAUCGUUUGGAUUCAUUCAGAACAUUGAUGAACCGUGUGUGCACUAGAAAAUUCAAGUAAAAUCUGUAGCCUUCCUAAUUCUUUAUGUAGACGAUAUUCUCCUAAUUGGAAACGAUAUAGAAGUAUUGACUACAAUAAAAAGUUGAUUAGCAAAACAAUUUGAUAUGAAAGACCUGGGAGAGGCAAGUUAAAUUCUUGGUAUCAAAUUACUACGAGACCAAAAGAAUAAAAAUUUAGCCUUGUCUCAAGCGGUCUAUAUCGACAAGAUAUUGGCUAGAUUUAGCAUGAAAAAUUCCAAGACUGGCUUAUUACCAUUCAGACAUGGAAUUGUAUUCUCUAAGGAUCAAUCACAUAAAACAUCUGAAGAGAUAGAGAGAAUGAGACGAGUUCCCUAUGCAGAAGUAGUGGGAAGUCUCAUGUAUGUCAUGCUUUACACUAGGCCAGACAUCUGUUUUGUGGUAUGGAUGGUUAGCAGAUAUCAAAUCCUGGACCUGAACACUGGACUGCAGUCAAGCAUAUAAUGAAGCAUCUGAAAAGAACUAUAAAUUAUAUGCUUGUGUAUUCUGGUGAUGAACUCAUUCCAGUGGAUUAUACUAAUUCUGACUUUAUGUCAGAUAAGGAUUCUAGAAAAUCAACUUCUGGCUAUGUGUUUACAUUAGGAAGUGGAGCUAUUAGUUGGAGGAGUGUGAAACAAUCUUAUAUCACAGACUCCACAACUAAAGCUGCAUAUGUGGCUGCAUCUGAAGCUGCAAAAGAAGCUAUAUGGCUCCGCAAGUUCCUAUAAGAUCUUGAGGUGAUACCUAUUGUAACUGCACCCUUAAACUAUUUUGUGAUAAUGGUGAUGCGGUAGCUCAAUCUAAGGAACCAAAAAACCACAAGAAACAAAACAUAUUGAGAGGAAGUAUCUCUUAUAAGGGAAUAGUAUAGAAAUGUUAUAUGACAGUACCCCAAAUGGCAUUAGAUGCUAUAUGGCAGAUCUUAUUUCAAUGGCCAUUAGUGGGAAACCUUUAUAAACUUGCACUUAGAGCCCUAGAGCAUGUGCAAUAUGCUAGAUAUGCUUUAAGAGUUAGUGGGAGAUUGUUGGGAUUAUAUGCUCUUUUAAAGCAUAUUAAUUUAUUUUCUGAUUAAUAAAAUAUUUGAGAUAUUUUCAAUUGCAUAAAUAUUUUGAAUAAGGUCCGUUUAAUCAUAUUAUAUGUAUUUAUGUGAUCAUCAUAUGGAUUCACAAAAGAUAUAAAUACAAGUUAUCUUAUGAUUAAAUAAAUUAAGUUCGCAGUUGAUAAAUAGAGUUGGGCGCUCUAUUUAUGUUUAGACUGUAGUAAAUUCAUUGAAUGAUUUGUCUUAAUCAUGUAUUAAUUUACUGAUGUAGUUUGACUACAUUGAGCUGGAUCACAUAUGAAAUUUAAUUAACCUUGAAAUGAUUGUCAGACUUAUUAAAUCUCGUAGGCAUUGAUUUUACUGUAAUCUUAAUCUUGAGUUAAUUAUGAUUUCAUGAUUGUAAUUGUUAUUCCAUUUGAGUUACUAAUGGGCACGACACACACUUGUAGUCAAGAUUACCUGGUAUCUUGGUGGGAGCAAUUAUGAAUAUUGGAAUUAUAGAUUGACAAUAUCGAAUUUAUACAACACAUCUCUUGAUGGGUUUUCGGCAGUUAAUCAUAGAAUUCUCUGGCCAGAGUGUGUCAACAUAUUUAGUAUGUUGAAAAUGAUCAUUAGAGAAAACCAGUAAGAAUCAAAUAACAAGAUGUAAUUAAAUUGAUUGGACAAUUGAGAUAUCGAUUUAAUUAAUGAUGUGGUACAAAGGAUUGUGCAGUAAAGAAAUCAAUGGGGCUUGAGACGAAUUAUUAUUCGAGCAUACAAUUAUGGAGGUCAGUUCCAAUCGUUUAGUGGAGUAGAUUUGGAAUUAAAUAAUUGGGCUAGUUUAAUUACAUGCCUAAUUAUUGUAGACACUGUUGUAUGUCCCCAAAUGAUCUCCGGGUUAGCUCAUUUAAUUGACUGCGCCACUACUGGAUUAAUAAGAAAGAUAACUAGCUAUUUGGGUUAAAAGCCUAAAUAUAUUAUUUAGUGGGAGACUCCAUGUAAUGUACUUGUGUCUAAGGGGCCUUGUGUUAUUUUACAAGGUGGGCCCCUAUGACAAGAAAGAAGUAACGUUAGUUUUGAUUUAUUAUUUUUAAUUUAAAUCAAACUUGAUUUAAUAGAAUAAAAUAAUAUAAAAAUGGAGUCUAGGGUUUCCACUAGAUAGAAAUAUGAAAGGACUUAUUUUCUCCAAAAAAAAAAGAGUAGUCACUUUAUACAGAUCAGAGAAAAAGAUUUUUUCUCUCUAUUGUUGAGAAAAUUUUUUUCUCGUGCUAGUUGCUUUAGUGGUGAUAAAGGCGUCCACACGUUAAGUGCAGAUCAAACUUAAGUCAUAGCCUGGAAGAUUAUUUAGUGGCAGAUCGUGAUCUAGAAGGGGUGGUGGUGACGGAUCGUGAUCUAACAAGAGUGGUGGUGACGGAUCGUGAUCUAGAAUCCUAAAUCAUUUCAGCGGAAAAAAUCAAAUCAGAUUUUCAAGGUACGAUUUAUAAAUUACAAAUUCUUAUAUAUUAUAUGAGAGCGAUUCUAAAAGUUUUUAUAAAAAAUUAAAAAGUUGAUUUUUCUCCAACAAAAAAUGUAUUAAAUAAAUUAAUAUUAAUUAAUCAAAUUAUAUUUUGCAACAUUAGUCCUAAAUCAAUACGGAUAAAAAAACACUGUUUAAAGAAUGUAUCUCAAUUUAUUAAUUAAUUAUUAAUUUAUCGAAAUUAUACUUGUACAUAUAUACAUACCAACCAUAUAUUCGUAUACGUUAAUCACAUGAUUCAUGAACAUGUCAAGUGUUGUUUUCAAGAGUUAGCCAUGACCCAUGAGUCACGACACACCAUACAUUAUUCCCCACGAAUCAAGAUUUUAAUACCCAAAAUUUAUUAAAGGAUCCUUUUAGGUUUUUUUUUUUCCUUUUCUAUUUAUUCACAAUUUGUAAGUUAGUUCCCAUGGUCCCCAAAAAAUAAAUGAAUAAAUAUCUCAAAUGUCAAUCCUUUCUCCAAUAGAAACCCUUUCAAUUUGAAACUACAAAUAUGAAUUUUAAAGUUUCCGUAAAAUGAAUUUGAGUCGGGGGAAAAAAAAAUUGAUGUAUCUUAAUGUUUGACUAUAUAUAAUCAAAUUAUAUAUUCCUAAUUUUUUUUUCUUACUGGAUUUCUCCCUUGCAUGAUUUGUUCAUAAUGUGUACAAAAUAACAACUGGAUUUAGGCUGUCAAAGCUAUCAGCAUAGCCUUUAAUUAAUUGAACUUUUUAGCAUAUAUAUAAAAAAAAAGAAAAAAAGAUAACAACAAAUAACAAGCAUUUCUUAAAAUAGCUGCCCAAAUAUUUUGGUACAGUGCAUCUGUUCAUUUGUGGAAACUAUUAAAAAGGUCACCUUCUCCCAAGUAUUAUUAUUUUAUAGACAAUUUUUGAGAAGUUGAAUUAUUUUAUAGACAAGUUGAAUUAAUUAAAAAGAUUUUUUUUACUAUUUGCUAUCUUUACGAAUUUGUCUUCAACGUGCAAAUACUCAUGCCAUUAGAGUAUUAUUAAAAGAUUCUUUUAAUUUUAUUUUCAAAUGUUCUUUUAACUUAUCCUAUUAUUUAUGUAGUAAAUAGAAGAGUGAAAAAAUAAUUUUUUUCUUUUUAAAGAUUUUUGAAAUAAAAAUAAAUUUUAUAUUAUUUUUACUAAAUCUUUUCAUCCACAAAAAUAAAGAAAUAGCAGUUGUAGGCGUAUAGCACUCAUCUUUCUUUAAUAAUUAUGACAUAAAAAAUAAUAUAAUAUAGAUUAAAGUGUGAGAAAUUACUCUGUAUUAUUAAAAAGAGAGAAACAUUGUUCCAUUUGAAAAAUCUUUUAGUGAUACUUUUAGUUCUCAAGACGUGAUAAUACAUGUAAAAGUCAUUUUUUUAAUUAACAAAAUAUAAAAGAAAUAGAAUUUUUUUUAUAUUAAAUUUUCUUUCUAUUUUUUUUUUAAUUUGGUGUGCUAUUCGAAGUAAUUUUACAAACAUCUAAUUAUAAAUUUUUUGAGUUCGAUUUUACUAGUUAUCAUGCUUAUUGUCGGAGGCCAAUUUGACCUAAUAAGGAGAAGACACGUGUCGAGUAUAAGAAUGAAUAAAAUAAUGAAGUAAACAUGAGCACAAUCCUAUAAGAGAAAGGGAGGUGAUCUAAUUAAAAUCAGAAACAGACUGUUGAGGGGGCAAAACAAAAAAGAAAAGGUACAGAAGGAAUAAAACAAAGAGAGGACACUAGGAUUGCCCUAGAAUGUCUUCUUAGGAUUCAGAAGCUGACUCCUUGUAUCCCUCAUGGCAGCUGGUUUUAUUAUCCUAUGAGUCACCUCUGCACAUUGAAAUGGAGAUUGCCUUCAUUUUCAAAAUUAAUUAGGAGUGCCACCGUUAGAAGGGUCUGUCUGGCACCCCUGAUUUUUUCUAUCAAUAUAAUUAUAGAGGAUCAACUACUCUACAAAAGGACUAAAAAGGCGUAUUAAUUAGUUUUUCUUCUUUUUUAUCAUUCAAAUAUUCAUGCAUUUACUCACUACAUGUGUGAUUCUAAUGCCAACCCAAAACUACUUAUAUCAUUGUCUUUGGGCCAGUUUGGGAUUGCGGAGGUUGAUAAAAUAAGUUGCUUGUGCUGUGCAGAUAAAAUAAGCUGCUGAUUAAAAAAGUAAUUUGGCGUUUGGUAAACUGUAUUGUUACAGUUGCUGUGAAUUUGAAAAAUAGAGUGUAUGUGUUUGGUAAAUUUUAUUACGAAAGUGUUGUUUUAUUGUAUAAUAACCAAAAUAGAUAUAAGUUUUAAUUACUUUUUAUUUUAGAAUAUGUUUAAUAAAAUUAUUUAGACUUAUCUUUUUUCUUAAAUAUUAGACAUCUUUUUUCUUAAAUAUGUAAAAUUAUAUUAAAAACUCAAUUAAAAAAUCUAAAGAAUUUUAUAAUCUGUUACAUAAAAUAUGAUAAAGAUAAAGGUAUGAUUUAUAUAUUAAGGUUUAUUGAUAAAUAAGAUAUAAUUAUCUUUUUAUUAAAAUCUAGGGUUAUAAUAGGAAUUUUAAAAAGGUAUGGUAGCUUAUGAAAAACAACCCCCUACAUGCUUUUAAAAGUUUCUGAUAAAAUGGAGAAAAUUAUUAAAUAAGUUGCUUUUAUAAAAUUUACCAAACACUAUUUUUAUCAAAAAUUAUGAAAUAAGCAGCUUAUUGAAUUUCAACCGCAAUCCCAAACUGGCCCUUUGUCUACAACUAAUUAAUUAAUUUAAGUAAUGACUUAAUUUUCUUGUCAAAUUGCACAUAAUGUGUUGAUUGCUAAAUUUUAUGAGUUAGAUACAUGCACAUUACAAUCAAAAUCAAGCAUAUGUAGACUUAGGUAGUAAUUGACUUUAAAUAAAAAUAUUAUUACAUUACUCCAAAUGCAAAAUUUAAUCAAAUUUAAUAUAAUGAAUUUUUUUUUAAAAGAUAAGAAAAUAAAUUAGAUCGUUUAGAAAGUUGAUUCUGUUAGUUGAUCUCGUAUUUGUUGCAUGAAGAUUUGAUCCAUUGGUCCAAAUAAGUUGCUUGCAUUUGUCAAUUGAUUCAAAUUUGCACUGCUAUUUUCCAACUCAACUUUUUCAUUGUCGAACUCUAAAAGUAGUGCAUUAGUAAUAGAUAAUUUCUGAAAAAAAUUGUGUAUUGUAAUGCAUGUGAUAACAAUCUUUUAUGUGUAUCGCAAUGCAUGCGAUAACAAUCUUUGUAUGAGCAUCAAAUGGAUAUGGCAGCUUCCCCUUUAAAAUUGGAAAGCGAGCACCAAAAGUACAUUUAAUAACAUUCCUUAAUUUUAUAUGACUAUGGUUGAACAUCUCUUGUUUCCCUCUAGCCCGACCGCCGUUAUAAAAAUUAUUCAAGAAAUAAUGUACAUGAUGAUAUAGUGCCAUAAAUCCCUGAGCAUGUAUAUAUGCUACAUCAACUAAAUAGCAUUUUUCUAGGUUCAGUAAUUACUAAAAGUCAAUUAUUAGAAAAAACAUGUUUGAUAAUUAUAUAAAGGAAAAAGAUUACCUGGUGGUGGCGUUGGAAAAUUAUGUCUUGAAUAACGAAUUGUUUAUGUCAAGACUCUUGAAUUAUGUGUUAUUCUUCACAUCCAACAACAAUGUAUUUAAAUAUCAUGUCUAAGUCACAGAUUGCCACGACAUUUUGUGAACAUUCCCUUCUUCCACGACCUCUCACUACAACAGAAUAGGCUUUUCAUGGCAUGGGAAAUAUGCUGUCAAUGGGAUAUGACGGCAAAAACAUGCAUGCCGUUGAUCCAUGAGCCGUGGAAAGCUAUGGGUUUUAACGGCCAACAUUCAAUGCUAUUAACUAUGCUAUAGAAGGUAUUACACGGUGAAGGGUAUCCACCGUUGAUAAUUUCAUCAAUAGCCAUCAUUACUCCCUGUUAUAUCUUUGGCGCCAAUCUUGUUUUAACCAUCCACAGCAAUAAUAACCAGCUGUGGAUUGUUUCAUCAACGGCCAAUACUACUCCCCGUCUUUUUUUUUUGGCGCUAAACAUAGUUCAACAUUUAACGAGAAAAAGAAACUGCUGUGAUAAAAUGUGAUAGCAUGGUUAGUACAUGUCGUUGUAACAAGUUUUAACAGUGAUAAUAAAAUUUUGCUGUGGAAUAUUUAUAUAACAGUCAUUACUAUUGAAAAAAUCAAUUUUACCAUAUAAUUAACCUGUUGCAAUUUAAAUUAACUUACUAUUUAAUUCCUCGAUAGAUUCCUAAUUUCAUUUAUAUAAAUAAUACAUUCAAAUUUUCUAAAUAAAUAAAGUAAACAUACACACGAUUGUCCAAACAAAAUUGUAUUCAAUAAUUAACCUGUUGCAAUUUAAAUUAACUUACUAUUUAAUUCCUCGAUAGAUUCCUAAUUUCAUUUAUAUAAAUAAUACAUUCAAAUUUUCUAAAUAAAUAAAGUAAACAUACACACGAUUGUCCAAACAAAAUUGUAUUCAAUAAUUAACCUGUUGCAAUUUAAAUUAACUUACUAUUUAAUUCCUCGAUAGAUUCCUAAUUUCAUUUAUAUAAAUAAUACAUUCAAAUUUUCUAAAUAAAUAAAGUAAACAUACACACGAUUGUCCAAACAAAAUUGUAUUCAAAUUUGUGUACACAUGGUGUCCAAACAAAAUUGUAUUAAAAAAAGAAAAAAAAAUCUGUAAUGAACAAAAAAAAAUCUGUAAUGAACAAAAAAAAAUCUGUAAUGAACAAUCUGAUAUAAAGAACUCAUUGUCAAGAAAAGAUGGAAAAUAUAGCCAUUGUUUGAAAAGAAACUACUGAGUACCAAAAAUAGUAUCCUUAACAUGAACUUAAAUUAAGCAACUUGAUCAAGUCCUCUAUGAUGAAAACAUUCAUUAUUGCGAAAUAAUCCUUACCCAAGAACUUCAAAUUCCUGCAACAAUGAGAAUUAAAAUAUUAUAUUCUAGUUUAUAAACUCCCAACUUUUAUUUUUUACGUAUAUAUACAUAUGACAUUCUAUAGGUAAAAUAUAAUUUAAAUUAUAGCAUUACCUUUACUUGAGUUAAUCCAAGGUGAUGUACUUUAUAGGCCAUGCAAUUGUGCUCCCUUUUGCAUCACCUAAGUUAAAGAACUCUUGAGUUGGUCGAACCAGAGAUAAUGAUGGCUUAUUCACUUCAUCAACCCAUACUUUGUAGUAAUCUGGUCCAAGUUGAACAUGGUGGAACAAUGCCUCAGGAUUUGUUGCAGCUAUCAUUCCUUUUGCAACCACUUCCCCAGUACCCAACCAAUUUAAGAGUUUACAAAUAUCACCAUUAGUUGGAGUAUUUGGAAUAGCUGUGCUAUCUUCAAAGGACUGUCAGAAAACAAAAAAUUAUAUAUCAAAACAAAGUAAAAAUUUGUUUUUGGAAAAUCAUAAAUUUAUAUAUAAAGCAUAUGAAACCAAUAAAACCUGGGGAGUUGGUGCAAGAUUAUUGUCCAAGUUGUCAUCAAUGUUAACAUGGUCCUGUUAAUAUAUAAAAAUCAAAAUAAUAUUAUAUGAAAAAAGUAAAUAUGAUGGUACAAUUAAUUAUUAAUUUAAAUAACUUACCUUACUAAAUCUUCUCCUAGACAUGAAAAAAUUUUGAAAUUCAGUAAAUCGAUCACUUAGUUCUUUCAAAUCAUUCUCAAGCUUCUUUACUUUGCGGUUGCCUUGGACCUGUGCAGCUACUUUUGAAGGUGUUACACCAAAUCCCAUACCUUUGACACAGCCAGGACGCUCAUCACCUUUUAGUUUUGCAAUUCCAUCAUUCUUUAAGGAGGUUUGAUCCUCUUCAGUUGACAUUGCAGAAAUUUCUUCAAGCUUUUUCUAAAUGAACAUAUAUUACAAGAUACUAAGACUAUAUUAAUGGAAUUUCAUAUCAUAUUAUUGUUAUAUAAACCAAGCAAUUGUAUUUAUUAGUACCAUUGAUUCAGCAGCAGCCGCAUUAAUUGGUUGUCCAUUUUUUUGUGCACGUGAUUUAAGCCAAACGUUUACUCUAGUACCUGAAGAUGGAUCCUUUUUUAUCUACCAAUAAAACAGAAGAUAAUAAGAAAAAAACCUCAUCUAAAAAGAUAGCACAUAUUCCACAAUCAAGUUUGAAGUAGAUAAAACCAUUUCAUCCCGUGUCCGUGCCAUGCCUUUUUGACUCGUUGUGUGAGGCUCUGUUUGUGUUGCUCUCAAUUGUUGGAAUUUUUCACUUCUCUCCUAUAAGACAUAGGAUAUAUUGAAUGUAGUAACAUGAAAUAUAAAUAAUAUAUUGACAUACAUACUUUCCAAUCUUUGCUUAAUCUGUGGGCAACAAAUUUCUUCCAUUCUUCAUCAGUCACAUCUUCAGGUUUUAGCAACUUCAGUUUCCUAGUUGCAUCAGGCAUUUGAAAUGCUUCCCUUAUACUAAUUGACAAUCUGGAUUUGUAAUCUGUCCAUAACUUUCUCAUUCGAGCAAGUAUGUUUUCUUUUUGAUGGUCAUCAAUGAUAAACUUUUGCUGCAAUGAUAUUAAAAUAAACAACAUUGUUAGUUGCUUUAAAGUAUUAUUAUUUAUAAAUGAAAUUAAUAAAAAGGCUAUCAUACCUUAACAAUUGUCCAAAGUACUUCUUUAGUUUCUGAAUCAACAGUGGUCCAAUAAUCUGGAAGUAUUGAUACCGUCUCUCGAACAAAUACUCCCAUGGCCGAACUCAACAUUACGGAGGCUGGUCUGAUUGGUUGGUCAUAUUCAUUAAACUCUACCACUAGGCGCUCAUUUUUUUAGUUGCCACCACAGUCAUCCUUGAUGGGCCUCUUUUCUUCUUCUCUGUUAACGUUUUAAAAUUUUCAAACUUCCAACAUUACUAUUUAUUACAAAACAACCAAAUUAAAAAAUAUACAAUAAAUAAAAUAUUAUUAUGUUAAAGAGACAAAAAGAGAAUCAUGAGAAAAACAUAUAAUUAAAUAAAUAUUUCAUGACUAAAUAAAAUAAAGACCUGGUUUUGUUGGCUCAGAUGGUUCACUGAAACUUUGUGGGUUGGACUGACUAUCUAAUCUUCGUCUUAUCUCAUGCUUCUCUCUUGCAACAGUAUUUGAUGCUAGGAAUGGUCUUUUUCCUUUGCUCUUAUCCUUUAGGAAGUUGGAAACAUUUAUAAGUUCAACAAAAAGUAUUUCUUAAUGUUCUAAUCAAUGAAUUAUAUCAAAACACUUCUAAAACUUACCUUUCCACCGUUGCCCAUAGUCAUUUUCUCUAAUUAAGUGUUCAUGAUAAAAAUGAAUCUUUAUGCUAGCUACAACAUGUUAAGAGUAAGUGAACAUGAUAUAUCAUUAGGAAAAGAAAAAGAUAAAAUGCAGCUGUUACUACAAAUAUAACAACAUUAUUAGCAUAUGUUCAUUAUUCAUACUACAGUAAAUCAAAUAUGCAUUCACACUAUAAAAAAUAAUAAACAAUGAAUUCCAAAUUCAAAAUGAAUAAUAAUAUUGUAAAUUUCAAUUUCAAUUUCCUGAGAAUCCUUCCUUACAUGAGGAUCAUUACCAUCCACAUCAUUAGGCUCCAGCCUAGAACCAUCGAUAGGCAUAUUAGUUGAAUUUACAUUCUCAUCAUACAUAUUAAGGUUGUGAUAGCCCCUUGGUGUUGCUUUAAGUACAACAUACCAAUUCGAUGUAUCACUUUCUCGAGAGUAAAAAACUUGUUUCGCUUGCGACGCCGAUAUGAAAGGAUUUAUUUGCCAUUGAUUUUGUCCUUGAUGGAGAUUCACCAAUGUGAAACCAUCAUCUUGCUUGACUCCAUUUAUAGUGUUAACCCAAUCACAAUGAAAUAUGGGCAUUUGAAAUGUACGAUAGUCAAGCAAAAUGAUAUCUUUUAUAACCCCAUAGUAGGAUACAUUUCCAACAACUGCAGCAUUAUCCUUCGCACUAGAUCUACAUACAGUUUCUGCUUCAAUAAAGACACCACUAUCUUGAGUUGACCUUUCUACUUCCCUUGUAUGAAAUCUUUGACCAUUAACAAUGAAACCAACAAAAGACAUUGCAUGCAUCCUAGGCCCUUUUGCUAGUGACUUUAAUGUGUCAGAUACAUUAGCCAUACUUUCUUGGAUCUUUAUCUAUUCACCAAUAAACCAAACAAUAGGUCAGCAUAUACAUUGAAAAGUUUAUUUCAUUUGAUUUUUUUUAAUGUUAACUUAGAUGGACUAAAUGAUUAGCUUACCUUUUCUGCUAACCAUUGGGAAAAAGUUUCAGUGUGCAUUUUAUGUAGCUCUUGAAUAUCACACCUACGUCUUCUAAAUGAUCUCUGCAAUUCCUCCAUAUGCGUUCUAAGAUCAAACUAAGUUAAUUACAAGACUAAAUACAUAAAUUAAAUAAUAUACAUGAUCGAUAAAUACUCACUCUCGAAAUCGCUCCGCUUCUAUUGUAUUUAAUAAUACAUAACAAUGUGCGAUUUUUAACAUAGCUUCAGACAUUUUCAAUGGUCGACCUUUUAAGAUUGGCCGCCCUGCUAUAAUUAUCUCGUCACUACUUUCCUCGUUACGCAUAGGAAGUGCACCUAUAUUUUUUGCUUUUUUCAUAUAUCCGCUACAAAAUCUUACACACUCCUCAGCUAGACAACACUCUGCUAUACACCCUUCAGGCCUUGCACGAUUUCUAAUGUAUCCCUUAAGUGUUUUCAUACAUCUAUAUAAAAGUAAAAGAAAUAUUAACUAUUUAAAGAGUGAAUUUAAAAAGAAAAAAGAUAAGAAAAGAGAUAAUUAUUACCUCUCAAAUGGGAACAUCCAACGAUAGUGAGCUGGCCCACAUAAUCGAACCUCUCGCCCUAAAUGAAUUGUCAAGUGAAUCAUAAUAUCGAAAAAUGCUGGUAGGUAGUACAUCUCCAACAUGCACACAGUCUCAUACAUAUCUGACUCUAAUUUUUCCAAUGCAUUUCUAUCUAUUACUCUUUGACAUAAUUGAUUGAAAAAUGCACAUAUUCGAAAUAUUGCUGUCCUAGGUCCACUAGGUAAAAGAUUUCUCAAUGCUACUGGUAGUAAUUGCUGCAUUAACACAUGACAAUCAUGUGACUUUAGACCUGUUAUUUUACACUCUUCUACUGAAACACAAUUAGCAAUAUUAGAGCUAUAACCAUCAGGUACUUUUAGCUCAGAAAGACGCUUACAAAAUAUUACUUUCUCCUCUUUUGACAAUGUGAAUGAUGCUGCUGGCAAUGUAAGUUUAUUUUCUUUUAAAUUAGGCUGCAAGUCUUGUCUAAUGCCCAUUGUCACUAAAUCUCUACGAGAUUCAAUUCCGUCUUUUGUUUUUCCUUUUAUGUUCAGUAAUGUUCCAAUGAUACUAUCACAAACAUUCUUCUCAAUAUGCAUCACAUCCAAGUUGUGACGCAAGUCUAACUCCUGCACACAAUAAAGUUUUUUAAUUCAUAAUUUAGCUCAAGAAAAAAAUUAAAAGAAACUAAAAUACUAUUUAGUAUCCAUUUUUCAAUUAUCUUUAAAAAUGUCUAUCAUUAGCAAAUUGCUUCAAAUACAUAUAAACAAAAAACCAAUUUAAAAAUGACUAAAAACAACUCUUAGACAAAUAAAAGAAAUGAAGUAUUAAACAAUGAUAAGAGAUUACCUUCCAAUAAGGUAAGUUAAAAAAAAUUGACUUCUUCUUCCACAUACUUUUUGGUUCAUUUUGCCUCCUGCUUCUCUUUUUCUUAUAUUUACCCCAAUUGUUUUGAAUAUUGCUUAAGGCAAGUACAAUGUCUUCACCCGUCAAAGGUUUAGGAGGCCGUCUUGUUUCUUCCUUUCCAUCAAACCAAUCUUUUUUCUCAAUACGUCAUUCAUGUCUCGGAUGUAAAAAUCGUCUAUGACCUCUAUAUACCAUCUUUUUACUAUUUGCUAACCAUUCAUAACAUACGUUUGGACCACAUAUAGGACAUGCUAACUCUCCUUUUGUAGUACAUCCAGCUAAAUUACCAUAAGCCGGAAAAUCAUUAAUUGUCCACAUUAAAAUAGCUUUUAGUUUAAAAGCAGAUUUAUUCAAAGAAUCAUAAACUUGAACACCAUUGUUCCACAAUUCAAUCAAAUCAUCUAUUAAUGGCUCCAAGAAUACAUCAAUGUCAUUCCCUGGUUGUUUUGGCCCUGGUAUUAACAAUGUCAACAUUAUGUUCUCCUCAGACAUACAUACCCUUGGAGGGAGGUUAUAUGUUACUAGGAAAAUAGGCCAACAACUGUAUACAGAGCUAAAAUUACUAAAAGGGUUAAACCCAUCAGCAGCAAGCCCAAACCUGAUAUUUCUUGGAUCAGAUGCAAAAUUAGACCAUUUCUUAUUGAUGUUAUCCCAUGCCACUGAAUCAACUGGGUGUCUCAUUUUUCCAUCUGAACUUUUGUUAAUUGAGUGCCAUUUCAAUUGUUCUACUUUUUCACAUGACAUAAACAUCUUUCUAAGUCUAGGUAUUAUAGGGAAAUAACGCAGCACUUUUGCUGGUACUCCUGUCCUAAUCUUCUUAGUUCGAGAAUUUACUUGCCAUCUAGAGGUGUUACACUUAGGACAUGUAUCUAAAUUUUCUUUCUCCUUGGUGAAGAGACAACAAUCAUUAACACAAGCAUGGAUUUUUUUGUAACCACUGUCAAAAUCCUUAAGCAGUUUCUUCACUAAGUGUAGAGAACCAGGUAAAACAUUAUCUUCAGGUAACAUAUCACAAAUAAUCUAAAGAAGUUCAUUAAAACCAUUAUCAGAUAAUCCAUGUGCAAUCUUGUGUUUAUAUAAGGCAACAGUUGCUGACAUUUUUGUAUAUUUUGAACAUCCUAGGUAUAAAGAAGUCUCAGCAGCUUUCACCUUUUCAGUAAACUCAUUUUCUUCUAACCUAGGUGUGGUAUCAUCAAUGUAGUCAUUUGGGUUAUCUAUGACACCAUAGUUUUGAAGAUAAGCAUCAUUAUACAUUUCGUAAGCGUCUGUCAUCUUCACAUCUUUAUCUUGCCUAGAAGUAUUUGGAGCUUCUCCAUGAAAAACCCAAUUAUCAUAAGUGGGAUCCAUCCCACUUAUCACUAAAUGUUCAUAUACCGUGUCUACAUGUUGACGACAAUAACAGGCACAUUUUAUGCAUGGACAUAUAAUCCUAUCAGAAUUUCCAGCAUUUUUUCUAGCCAAGUUGACAAAUUUUUAGGCUCCAUCUUGAAAUUCUUUAGUAUAUCUACAUAUAAAAAAAGUUAAAAAAAAAUAAAACUUUAAAUCCAUUAGCAUAAAAUAUUUAAAUACUGCAGUUAUUCAAAUACUAACCUAUUAAGCUUCACCCAUUUUUUAUCCAUCAACAUGACAUCAAGUGCUUGCUUGUAACCUCUUUGAUCUGUUGUUUAAAUAUAAAACAUAUUUUUUUAAUUAUUUGUCUAGCAAAGAAUCAGAUUGCUCAAUCUGCUAUACAUAACCAAUUCUUUUUCUUACUCUUUUUUUUAACAAACAGUUACGAAUAAAAAUAAUCAAAAUUCUUUUUCAACCCAAACUUGCAAAUAAGACAUCACGACUAGAUGGCAUUAUUUGGCAAAAGUACUAGCUCAUAAACAAGCAUAUAUACAUAUAUUAUACAACUAAGGUUUUUAAAAGAUAAAGAUAAUCAAACAAGUUAUUUGCAUUAUUGGCAAAAGAACUUAUCUGUGAUUGCAAUUUGCAUUAGUGCUCAAACUUUUGCCAACUACAAAUUUCAGUUGUCCUGAUUUCAGAUAGAUUUGUUCAAGAUAUAAUUUGCUUUGAAAUUCUCCAGAAACAAUUAAAAUGUAUUAUUGAGUUUGUAGACAUGGAAAACCACCAUGGCUUGGGAUUCUCCAAUCAUAGACCUUCCAAUCCUUGGUGAUGGCAAUAUUUGAUUUCAGGUCUUUGGUACUGAUGCCAAUAGAUUUUACCCUAGCUGUUUUUUAUUCCCUUGUGGACCUCUGCUUUACUGUUGUUUCUCUUUUGUAGCGUUAAUAGAAAAGAAAUAGCAAGAUGCCAAGAGAUUGGACUAGCUAGUUAGUUGGCAUUUAUUAACAGUGAUAAGUUAUAAAUCAAUACUAGCAUCUCUUGAUUUAAAAAGAAAGGCAACUGAUCCUUUAUUUCCGAAUAUUUUUAGGAUUCUUUUAUUCAAGCUGCUUGGACGCGGAGGUCUCGGGGUGAACUUGAUAAGAGACCUAACAGGAAAUCAUGGAAGCAGAGGACAGAUAUGUACAUGCGGCCAUUUUUAUUUAAUGUUUUCUUUUCUAAGAAAUUCGUUCAUGCUAAAGUGAUGCACCGCUCAACAAGUAAAGUUAUAUCAGUUGCUACCACAAAUGUUGACGACAGUUACAAAUAAAAAUAAUCAAAAUUCUUUUUCAACCCAAACUUGCAAAUAAGACAUCACGACUAGAUGACAUUAUUUGGCAAAAGUACUAGCUCAUAAACAAGCAUAUAUACAUAUAUUAUACAACUAAGGUUUUUAAAAGAUAAAGAUAAUCAAACAAGUUAUUUGCAUGCUAAAAAAUAAAAUCAUUUAGUAUUAAGCAUAAAAGAACAAAUGAAAAAAAAACCAAAAUUUUAAUGCCAAACAUAUUCACAAUAUGCUAUGUGGGAAAAAGAUCAAGUAUAGGGCAUACCUGAAAUAAUUCUCACCACGAAGUCUGAAAACUGAAGCCGAAAGCUCAGACCAGCAUCCUGGAUUUGAUUUCUCUCUUUUUGCACGUGGAACCAGAAAUUUUGAAACAAAAAUUUUGCUUUUUUUCAAAUCUUUUAAUAAAAUUAUAAUUUAAUUAAUUGAAAGAUAAAUUAGAUUAACUAGAUAACACAAUAACAGUAACACAACCAUUCAAACUUAUGUCCCAACAUAACGAUUUCCAAAUCAAAUGAAAAGAAAAUUACAUAUUAAAUAAAAGUUCUUACCUUUCCUUGUCGCUGAUGGUACAAACGGCGAUAAUCGGAAUUAAAAAGAAGAUUGAGGCCAAACCUUUGUGAAAUUGCAGAGAGGAUGAAAUAAAAUUGCAGAGAGGAUGAAAUACUAAGGUUAAAAGGGUAUAUGAUUCCAAAUAAGAGAGGGAAAAUCUGAAAAACUAGGGCAUUUAGAAGUAUGGGUAUUCUAAAAAUAUGAGAUAAAAUUGGAAAAAAUCGAAAUUUUUUGGAAGAAUUUGAUAACAGCCGAAUCUCCAUAGAGAAUUAACACGGGAGUGUUUUAGAAGAGGUGGGAAAUUUGCAAACUAGAGAGAAAUUAGUAAAGUGUUCCUAUUUUGUUUGUAGUAAGAUUCUAAUUUAAUAGGAUAAGUCAAAGGCCAUCUUUUAUUAUUAAUUAACAGCAAAUAUCACGCGCUAUUGAAAACUAUUUUUACGGGGAUUGAUAUUUUUAUGCUAUUAAAAAUUUAUUAUCCAAGCAAUCAACGACAAUUUUUUAAAAAUAUGCUGUCUUAUUAUAUAGUGGAAUCUUUUAACGGUGAAUAUUUUAAUACCUUCCAUCUUUACAUAUUUUUAACAGCAUGUAAUUAUAAUAUGCCAUUAGAACUCCACCGUAAAAACUCAUUUUUGUUGUAGUGUCUAUAUGACACUUGCUUAUUUAUUGGAAUACAUGCAUGAAUGAGGUUUUCAUCUAUUGCACCAAUAGCACCCUACACAAGCAAAAUUAUUAAUAUGAGAAAUAUAUUUAUCAUUGAAAAAGAUAAUUUACCUUCAAUAUUUCCAGUAGCAUGUGAUUAGUUAUGCCACUUAAAUCAUCAUAGAAUGAAGGAGGACAAAUAAUUUCUUUCGAGAACUUCAUCAUGGCUACUAAGACCUCAUCAAGUAUUUGUGCAUUGUUUGAUGUUGAAAAAUAUCUCUUACAAGCCGAUUACGAAGAUUGUAACUAAUUAUCAUCAAGAUCAUUGCUAUUUUUUGUUCAACAAACACAUGUUUGUUAGGCUAUAGCCAUUUUUACCUUCAAGAAUUGACAUAAUAAAUAAACCCAUUCAUCAUCAUCCAUAUUAAUUCAUAACAUGUAGUAGAUGGUCUGUUUAAAAGCUCUUUAGUAAAAUUUGAACCUAUAAUUUUUUAAGCUAGCACUCUUUCAAUAUUUACCCACAUUAAUAAAUCAAGUAUCAAUAUAAUCAAUCAUUUCCAUAGCAAUUUCUUAACCUUGUAUUUUUUUACCAUCACUUCUUUCACUUAGAGCUUCCACAUAAAUAUCUAAAAAAAGAAAAAAACAACCACAAAUAACAAUAUCUAAUUUUUUUAUACUCCGUCAUCAUUUAACUAUUACAAGAACAUGACAAUUUAUAAAGAAAUAAUAAUAAGCUUGUGAAAAAAGUAAAUAAAUAAAUAAAUAAAAUUAACGUAAUCAUCAAAUCACCAUAUAAUAUGUUUCAAAGGAAACAUAUUGUCAAAAUUCAACAAGCAUAAUAAAAAACUUUAGGUUCAAGAGAUGUCAAUUUAAAUAAAAAAGAUUCCCACCCUAUUUUUCUUAACUUUGAAUCCACCAUAUUCAUUCUUUGUCAUUCUCCAUCUCCAUCUCCAUCUGCGCCUCUCUAUAUUCUUUGUAAUUUCUUUUCUAUGAGUUAAUGUGCCAUAAACUUUGAAUCCACCAGUUUGUGCUUCAGCAUCAAUAUAACAACUGCUGAAAGAAGUAAUAUUGACAUUGAUUUCUAAGUUCCACAUCAAAAUUCCACAUCAAAGGUCAACAUUCUUUUGCUGGACGCCAUUAAACAAAUACCUUCUUAUGCUAAAUUUCUGAAAGAUAUGUGCACGGUGAAAAGGAAACAUAAAGUACAAAAGAAAGCUUUUCUGGCAGAACAUGUAAGUUUCAUUCUCUCAACCAAUAGUGCUUUGAAAUACAAGGAUCCUGGUUGUCCAACUAUUUCUUGCAUUAUUGGGGAUCAUAAAAUUGGACAUGCUCUACUUAAUCUUGGUGCUAGUGUUAAUUUGCUUCCUUACUCAGUGUACCAAUAACUCAAUCUCGGUGAGUUAAAACCAACUUCUACCACUCUUUUACUUACUGAUAGAUCGAUUAAAGUUCCAAGAGAAUAAUUGAAGUUGUAUUAGUCCGAGUUGAUAAAUUCAUAUACUCUGUGAAUUUUAUUGUUUUGGAAACGGAACCAAUUGCCAAUUAAUGCAAACGAAUUCUUGUUAUAUUGGGUCGACCAUUUUUAGCUGCUGCUAAUGCUUUGAUUAAUUGUAAGAAUAGAGUAAUGAAUUUAUCUUUCGGCAACAUGACAUUGGAGCUCAAUGUGUUCAACAUGUGUAAACAACCUCUCCACCAAGAAGAUGAUGAUAAUGAGAAUGAGGAGAUUGACCUCAUCGAGCCAAUCAUUUAGGAACACAUUUAGGAUGAGAAUUUUCAAACUCUGUAGAAAUUUGUUUUGCUGGUUCUUUUGAAUCAAGUAAAGAAUUAAAUUGUGAUACUGUUAACAUAUGUUCUACACUUGAUUCUAUGUGGGUACUUACAGGUGACGAUGACCAAUCGAACUUUGAAGAUAUAGUACAACCUGAAAAACCAAAUGAAGAGGAAGCACCAGAGCUCGAAUUAAAGCCUUUACCAGAAGAAUUGAAGUAUGCCUAUCUUGGAGAGCAGCGGACAUAUCCAGUGGUAAUUUCUUCCCAACUCACGCAUGAUCAAGAAGGUAAGUUGUUAUCUGUGCUAAAAAUGCAUAAAACUGCAUUUGGUUGGACCUUAAAAGACAUAAAAGGCAUUAAUCCUUUAAUUUGCACACAUCGAAUACACUUAGGGGAAAAUGCUAAAACAACUCGUCAACCACAAAGAACACUAAACCCUCAUAUAAAAGAAGUGGUAAAGAGUGAGGUCCUUAAACUACUAGAUGUAGGAAUUAUCUAUCCUAUCUCUGAUAGUAAAUGGGUAAGUCCAACACAAGUAGUACCAAAGAAAUCUAGAAUAACCGUUGUAAAAAAUGAAAAAGGUGAACCAAUCCCAACAAAAAUUCCAUCUAGUUGGCGCAUGUGCAUUGAUUAUAGAAAAUUAAAUGAUGCCACUAGAAAAGAUCAUUUUCCCCUUCCAUUUCUAAACCAAAUUCUCGAAAUAGUAGCUGUACAUCCCUACUACUACUUUCUUGAUGGCUACUUUGGCUAUUAUCAAAUCCCUAUAGCCUUAAAAGAUUAGGAAAAGACCACAUUCACAUACCCAUUUGGAACAUUUGCAUUUAGGAGAAUGUCCUUUGGACUUUGUAAUGUUCCUGCAACAUUUCAAAGGUGCAUGCUAAGCAUUUUUAGUGAUAUGGUUGAAAAUUGUCUAGAGGUUUUUAUGGAUGAUUUAUCUGUAUUUGGUAAUUCUUUUGAUGCAUGUCUUGGUAAUCUAGAAAAAGUUUUGGAAAGGUGCAAAGAAAAAGGACUAGUUUUAAAUUGGGAAAAAUGUCAUUUCAUGACCACUUCUGGAAUUGUCUUAGGCCAUGUUGUGUCUUGAAAAGGAAUUGAAGUUGAGAAAGCCAAAGUUGAAGUCAUUUCAAAAUUACCCUCACCAAAGACAAUUAGAGAAGUCUGUUCCUUUUUAGGACAUGCAGGAUUUUAUAGGAGGUUUAUAAAAGACUUUAGUGCCAUAUCUAGACCACUUUGUAACCUCCUAAUAAAAGACAUACCUUUUGAAUGGACUAAAGAUUGUUGAUAGCUCUAUGAGAUGAGAGUUAUCAUAGCACUUUUAGACUUAAAUUAAUAUUACUUAGAGAGUAAAUGAUGUGAUUCUAUUGCAUUAUUGUUACAUUUUGCAUAAACAUUCAUUUUAGUUUAGUCUUAAUAAGUUUUGCUUGAUUUAAAGUAAUUCGUGCUCAAAUUGUGUGCAUAAUUGUAGGUUUCCAGAAGCUUAUAAUUCAUGGAAGGAAUGCUGAUGCAAUAGGUUGGCAAAAAGGAGGAAGAACAUGACUAUAAAAGAAUUGAAACAAAUCUGGAACAAUACAGUUGCUGUAGCCGUUGCUGUAGCACCCAUUGUUGUAGCCGUUGCUAUAGCAAUCUUGGAACAAUGGAAAAGAAAAUUCCGUGUAGGAUACUUGCAGAAUUGCGAUCUGCAGUUUCCUAAUCUGACUUAUGCGCACCCUAGGCUUUCGUUUACCCUAAUUUUCAACUAUGAAAGAAGCACACAUCAUAAGGAUUAAAGAGGGCCAUCACCCAAGGAGAAAAACACAAAGAAACAAAAGAAAAACAAGAUUCAAGAGAGAGAUUAAGGGCUGCACAAGAGGAAAAUUGCAUAAAUCAAUUGGGAGCUCAAUCAUUCUUAUUCUUCUCUCGCUUUCUCGUUUUCUAUUUAUUUAUGGGGAUGUGUUUCAUGGCUGAAACUUUGAUCUUUAUUUUUCUUUUACAAACCAUGAACUAGAUUUAUUUGUGGUUGAGUGAUAAACAAUCUUGAUGGUUUAUUGACUAGAAAUAUGUGUUGCUGCAUGUUUGCUGUAGCAGUUUGUUUUAAUAGUAUUUAUUUUAUUCGUUAUUUCGGUUGAUCACCCAUCUAAUGAUACUAGCUAAUGAAGAGCUGCAAAAUGGCCUAUCUUAGUAGAACAUAUCAGAACAAUACUUGAUCUUAAAUUGAGUUUCCCGGAUUGAGUUUUACUUGAGUCCCAAAAGGGCCAUGCUUGAUUUAAGAUUAGUGAUGAACUAGACAUAAGGAUUCACCUUGUAGGGUAAAUAGAACCUAAGUGUGUAAUGCUAUAUCUUAUGUUGGCAUAGCAAUUGAUCACUGUUAGGUUGCAUAUAGAUAUAAGAUAUCCAACAUGCAAUGGCUGAGGAUACAUAAGGAUUCUGCCUAGUGCUGUAGCAAAUACUGCAGCAACCGAGCCAACCAUUAGAAAAUAGUCAAGACCAUUAAGAGAGUUUAUUCACUCAACUACUCUAUAUUCUCAUUGUUUUUAUCCUUGAGUUUGACGUGAUAAUCUACUUUGUUGCAUUUUAUUUAUUGUGUUUUUAUUUUAAUUAGUAAAUUAGUUUCAUCAAUUGUUUAUCAUAAUUUAGACACAAAAUCUGCACUGUUAAGAUUGUUGUAGCAAAUCUGAUAACACCAAUCCCUAUGGAGACGAUCUUGAAUACUCAUCACUUUAUUACUUGUUGUGUACACUUGCACAUUGACACCAAUAGCAUGAGUAUUUAUACACCAAUAAGUUUUUAGCGCCGUUGCCGGAGAUUGAUUGUUAAUUGUGAUUUGUGAAAUUAGUUUUAACGGUGCUAAUUUUUAUUUUAUUUUAAUUUGUUUAUUUUAUUGACAUAAGUGAUCUAGCAACCCUUGCAUGCGCAAAUAUAAAUCUGUUGACUUUCAGUUUGAUCCAGAAAUUGAAAGAACUGUAAGGAGAUUGAGAAGAGAGCAUUGGGAAUUACAAGCUGCUGUAGCAAUGGAUGAUUUGCAAGAUUUGAGAAACUUGAACCGUAGAGCGGGGAUACAACUAGUCAAUGUACAUGAAGGUCUGAAUGGACAAUAUGUUCAAAGGCAACCAGGGAACAACAUUAUUCACAUGGCGAACAAUAGAGAUAGAGCCAUUGGAGACUACGCAGUGUUGACUCCUCAAGCCAUACAUCCGGGAAUAGUUAGACCCAACGUUCAAGCUGACGAUUUUGAACUCAAACCCGUAAUGUUUCAGAUGCUUCAAACAGUGGGGCAAUUUAAUGGUUUGCCAUCCGAAGAUCCUCAUCUACACCUUAAGUUAUUUUUUAAAGUAAGUGAUGCUUUCAAGAUUGCUGGAGCAUCGCAAGAAGCAUUGAGACUCAGACUUUUCCCGUUUUCUUUGAGAGAUCGAGCAAGAGCAUGGUUGAAUUCUCUACCACCAGAUUCUAUCACUACAUGGAAUGAUUUGGCUAACAAAUUUUUGAUGAAAUACUUCCCGCCAACUUGACAAUCAUUAUUAGGAAAUUCUAAAAUUUGACCUAUUUGUAACAUUUUAUAACGUUUUGGGCCAUAGUAUAAUUAUAUAAAGUUUUAUGCCAAAGUAUAAUUUUAGUAAACAAUAUUACUGUAGCAAAAUUCAAAAAUAACGGUAAUAUCACUGUUACAAGCGACUAGCCGAAUAAAUCAAGCGACUAACUGCUUGGCUGUUGGAAUUUGCCUAUAACGGCUAGUUUUCGGGCUCUAACUAUUAAAACUUAACUCCAACUUCAUUUAAAAUUUCAAUGCAAGCAAAUAUAAGAUCAUAUAAUAUAUAUUGAGCUUCUAAAACACAAAUCAUCAUAGAUUGAAUUAUUGUUGAGCUAUUAUUUGCAUAUCCACUCUUAAAUAGAGUUUUUGUUGUAAUUUUCAUUUCUUAUCAAAUUGUGAGUGUGCAAGUGUGAGAAACACUUGGGGUCUCACACUUGGGGUGAAGAGAUUGGGGAGAUAAUAUCUUAAUUGUAAAGGUUCAUUGACACCUUGGAAGUCAAUUGUAAGAACUUGAAGCCUUGGGAAGCUUGGAUAGUGAAAUCCUUGAGCUUGGUUGGCUUGGAGGCAUUGACGUAAGCGAGGAUUGCCGAACCACGUAAAUAUUUAUGUGUUUGUUUUUCUCUUCCCUUACUCUUUUAUUUUUAUGCUUGUUUGAAUUUAUUAUUUUCUAUUCCAUUAAGGCGCUAGAUUAAUUUGAUAUGCGAAUUGUAUUGCAUAAUUUUUAAAAACCCAAUUCACCCCCCUCUUGGGUUGAGUAACUUGCAUUUCAUUUGGUAUCAGAGCUUGGUUCUCUUGUUAGGACUUAACCGCCUAGAGUAAAAGAUCCAUGGCAACCUAAAAUGAUUCAACCUUUAGGGAAGGAUAAUCCACAACUAGAUCACCGUUCUUUGACGGAAAUGACUAUCCAUAUUGGAAAACUAGGAUGAGAAUUAAUUUACAAGCACUAGAUUAUGAAAUUUGAGAAGUUGUAUGUGAUGGUCCAUUUAUGCCCUUGACUAAAAAUGAAGACGGGGAAGAUAUUCCAAAACCUUCACGGGAAUUGAAUGAAUUGGAAAAGAGAAAAGCUUCUCUAAAUUCCAUAGCUAUAAAUGCCUUGUUUUGUGCACUAGAUAAGAAAGAGUUUCAUAGAGUGUCUAGUUGUGAAAGUGCUAAUGAAAUUUGGCACAAACUUGAAGUUGUUUAUGAAGGCACAAAUCAAGUGAAAGAGCCCAAAAUUAGUAGGUACACUCGACAAUAUGAAUUGUUCCAAAUGGAACAAAAUGAAAAUGUGUAUUCUAUGUAUACUAGAUUCACGGACAUAGUGAACACUCUAGGAGCCCUAUGAAAGACCUUUUCAAAUAGCGAGAAAGUUAAGAAAAUUAUUAGGUCGCUACCUAAGGAAUAGAGACCAAAAAGGAUUACUAUUGAGGAAGCCAAAGAUUUGAAUAUCUUACCUAUUGAUGAUUUAAUUGGUUUUCUUAUUUCUUAUGAGUAAAAUUUGGCAGCCGAAAGAGGAAAUGAGGAAAAGAAAAAAAAAACAUUGCUCUCAAAGUCACAAAAUAUGAGAGUGAUGGAGAAAGUGAGCCAGAUGAUGAAGAAUUGACUAUGCUAGCAAGGAGGUUCAGAAAAUUCUUCAAGAAAAUCGGUGACCGAAAAAACUUUAGAAAUUUCAAGAACCAAAAGGAGAAGAAAGAGGUAAUCAUAUGCUAUGAAUGUAAAAAGUCUGGCCAUAUAGAUCGGAAUGCCCACUUCUCAAAAAACUCAAGAAGAAAGCUAUGGUUGCUACUUGGGAUGAUAGCGAUGAAGAUUCAAGUGAUGAAGAAGAGUCGCAAGAAGUAUCAAACCUAGCACUUAUGGCAUAGGAGAUGAUGAUGAUCUCAAUGAGGUAAGUGAUCCAAUCUAUGAUGAAUUGUAUGAUGCUUUUAAAGAAAUGCAUGAUGAGUUGAUAAAAAUUGGUAAAAAGAAUGCAUGCCUUAAAAAGAAAUUGCUAGAACUUACAAAUGAAAAGAAUGCCAUGCAAAAGUGCAAUGAUUCAUUGAAUGAGAAGAUUAAAGGAUUAGAAUUAGAGAAUAAAACCUUGCAUAAUAGAGUUGCAAUAUGAAAUGAGAAACCAAGUACUUCACAUGAGCAUUUAAAGCCGCAUGUAGAUGAUUUGAAAAAGGAAAAUGAAAUACUGAAGAAAAAGAACAUUGAACUUAGUGACGUUAUGCUAAAAUUCACAAAUGGGAAAAAGAUAUUGGAUAACAUGCUUAACUCUAAAAAAUGUGUAUUUGAUAAAGGAGGACUUGGGUAUAAGCCUAAUUUGAAGCAAAAGUAUUAUAAGAAUUAUUUUGUUAAAGCUACCUCCACAAGUGAUCAUAAAAUUAUUUGUCAUUGUUUUCAACUGAUUUUAGGGUAGGAAAAUCCAAAAUCUAUCUAGAACAAUGAAUUUGUAUUACGGUGCGGCGUACCUGAAAUUUGGGAGAGGUGAGAAGGGGAGAGGGAGUGGUAACAAUGGUGAAAGGUCAAAACCAAGAGGGGUGUCCUUAAAAAUGGGCUUCACGCCUGUAAAACAGUGAAAUAUAGGUUAGAGGUGAAGCCGGGGCACCCCGGCGUUCACACUCUGACGCUCAAGUUAGCAAACUCAAGCUUUUAUGGCAAAGAGAGUUGGCUAGCCCUCUGUAAAUUAGGGUUUAAGGUUGAAGAAAACCUAUUUUUUGGAGUGUGAGUGUUAAUGGUGAGUGAGAGCCCCCAUUCAGAAUGAAACCUAGGCACCUUUAUAUAUGGAGUACCUUAGCUGCCACGUGGCGUACCCUUUUUGGCUAACGUCCUUUUACCUUUUUAUGAUUUUUGGGCCGUUAUGUGCAUGUUCGCGGCGUAUCUCAUCCUUUGGAAAUGUGGCGCGAGCUGGAGAGUGGUCCAGGGUACCUCUGCAGUAGCUAUCGGGUAGGCGGCUAAGGACCACUGUCCUUGGGACAUUGUCCUUCACUUUUGGUAGAGGUAACAGGCGGCUGUCCCCCCCCCCCUUUUGGUAUGAUGUUCUUGAUUCCUAAUUAUGACAAAAUCGAAUAAUAUCUUUAAAGAGAUGGAGACGUUUCUCAUGGCAGAUAUUUUCAGAGGAUUCUCUUGCAUCUGAUCUGCUGGGUACCUCGAGUUACGUGGGGUACUUCAAUUUAUAUGGGGUACCCCUAAUUGUGCGGGGUACCUCUAUUUGUGUGGGGUACAUCUAAUUGUGCGGGGUACCUCAAAUCACGCCGGGUACCUUAGAUUGUGCAAGGUAUCUCGUAUCAUGUCAGGUACUUCUAUUUGUUCGGGGUACCUUAAAUCAUGCCGGGUACUUCGGAUUGUGCGGGGUACCUUAGAUUGUGCUGGAGUCAUUCCAUUUGUCGACACGUGGCACUUUACUGCCUUUCAUAUUUUUCCCUCAAACAACAUCCCCCUAGUUUCUUUUUGGCGAAAAGUAUUGGAGGCAAAAGAAACUCAUUGUAUGAGUGACAUGUGGCGACGCGGUUGGACCGGGGAUACCUUGUUUAGUUUCUUUCCUUGACUAAACUUUGUGUACUGCUGAGCUAAAAAUUUUCUCUUUGUCUUUUCCUUUUCCCGCCUUUUUUUUUUCGAUGGGAACGAACAGUUGUCUUCAUGACUCUCUCUCCUUUUUCUUGGGAAGUGGCAUCCGUUUGACAUGCAGUUUGAAUUUUAAAAAUACCAAUCUCACGCAAACAUCCCUGAUCUUCUUUUAAAAAGACCCCUGACGUAAAUGUCAAUCUCUUAUCAUUUAUUUUGAAAAUCCCAAAAUAAUCUCCCAUAAAACCAAUUUGUCUCCAGUGGCUUCUUCCUUCAAACUUUCGUCUUUUCUCCUGACUACAUCAAUAUUGCUUACAGGUACAAAUUUCUUCUUCACUAAUUUUUUUUUGUUCCGUCCGUCUUCCCCUAGGCUUAUUCUCUCUUUACUUUCCUUUUUUUUUCCUUUUAUUUCCUUCUUCUUCCCGUGCUUUCUUUCUUCUCUUUUCUUUCUUCUUCUUAUUUCUUUCUUCUUUUUUUUCUUUUUUCUUUCCUUCUCUUUCUCUCUCGGCUGGUGUUUAUCUGGUGCAUUUUCCGGUGUGGAUCUCGGCUGCUGCAGUGGUGGUUUUGGCUUCAGAUCUGGUCGGUUCAAGGUAGUUUUUCGACGGCUCACGGCGAGAUCCGACCAGGCGGUAGAUACGGUAACCUCCCUCCCUUGUGUCUUCAUUUUAUCCUUGUUUUCUCUCUCUUCUUUCUCCUUUUCUUCUCUCUUUUUCUUCUCUCUUUUUCGUCUCUCUUUUUCUUCUUCUUUUUUGUUUCGGCCGGCGUUCUCCUUAGCGAUUUUCGAUGUCGUUCGGUGGCUGUAGUCGCGGUAGCCGGUGUCGGUUCAGUGGCUGCAGUCCCCCCUCGGUGUUGUCUUCUCCGUUCUUCGUUUUCUCUUUUCUCAUUUUUUUUUAUUUUCAGCAGCGUUCUCCCUUGGUGGUUUCCGGCGUCCUUCUCACGAUCUCUGGCGUCGGUUCUCGGUGGUUGCAGCCAUGACAGCCGACGCCGGUUGCUACAGCUCCCCCCCCACGUUGGUUUGGUUCGGUAGCUGUAGCUUCUUCGUUCUUUUUUUUAUUAAUUUAUAAAUAAAAUGAAUUGGCUAAUUUCAUUUGUGCUUGAAUAAAUAAAAUAAAUUUGCAGCUUCUUCGUUCUUCACACCAUUGGUUUUUAUACUUGCAUAUUCUUACUUACUGUUUUUGGUUGCCUGCAGCUUAUCUUCCCACGAUUACCAAUUCUGAUCCAUCAAGUUGGUAAAUCAUAGGUAUCCUUCCUCAUUUCUCCUCCUUUGGCGCAUUUACAAUGGCGUUAUUUUGCAUACUCUGAGAAAAAUUUGUUUGUUUGUUUGUUUUUUUUUUUUUUGUGGUUGGUGUUUGCAUUUGAUGGUUGAUGUGUGGUGGGUGGUGUAUGGCAUGAAAAUGUUGUUGAGGGAAUUGUGGCUUGGUGGUUAUGUUGUUGGGGGAAUUGUGGCUUGGUGGUUACGUUGUUGGGGGAAUUGUGGCUUGGUGGUUACGUUGUUAGGGGAAUUGUGGCUUGGUGGUUAUGUUGUCGGGGGAAGUAAAUGGGCAAGAAACAUACGGGACCAAUGAGGAAGCGUCGUGCAGUUGAGGCUAGGAGCGUUGAUAGCCCUCCUGCGGGUUCUCCUUCCCACAUCUCCAUUAGUGAGGGUGAUAGGUCCCCCCCUAAUACCUCUAGGAGUUGUAACUCUCAGUCUGAGCUCCCCCCUCCUAGGAGUACUCCUCGUGUCAGCCCACACUUUUCCAGUAAACGGCCAAGCCCAAGGUUCCAGCUCGUUCCUCAGACCGGCCUCUCAAGUCCCCCUCUGCUACACCUUUAAAAUCUGGCAAUCGUUAUUCUCUAGUCACUAGGAGGGCUACCUCGGGGGACUUAGAUCAAAUUAGAGCCAAAUACAAUAUUCCUCCCUCUGUCCAGCUUAGGGUACCCCAUGUGGAUGAACGACCUGAGUGUCCGAAGUCUGAUGGGAUUGCUCUCCACAUUGACCUCUUUGAUCUAGGACUCCGCCUACCCCUCCAACCUUUUUAUAUAAGGCUGUUUAGUUAUUUGGGGGUAGCUCCUGGGCAGCUGUUCUUUCCCGGGUGGAGGACACUUACGAGCUUACAUGUGUUAUGGUUGGAGGUAUUGAGGCGCGGCAUUUCUAUGCGGGAAUUGAGGGCCCUUUACCAAUUCAAAAAGCCUAAGGGUCCCGCUAUUGCUUACAUGGCCAUAUUGUUGAGGGGGACCCCACCUUGAAGAAGGGUUACAUAAAUGGAUGGUUUGUUGCUGAGGGUAGGUGGGGGACAGAGACUCUGGAUGAAAAGGGUAACCCCGUGGAGGUUCCCAAUUCCUUCAAUGUAGACUGUAAGUAUCUCCCUUAUUUACGGUUCUUUAUCUUAAUCUUUCGCAUGGAUGUCUCACUAACCUUGGGUUCUCCAUGCUCUUGUAGGUGUGACGUGGGCUAAAGGAUCAUGCCCAGUUCAGGAGGUGGGGAGAGAGGUGAAGAAGUUUGUGGAGAGGCUUCGAGGUGCACAGAGGGGUAGUGAUGUGUUAGAAGAGAGCAGAUUAUGGAGAGCGGGGCUGAUUGACCAAAGUCUUCCACCUGCUCCCGGGGGUGACUCAUGUAUGAUUUGGGUGUCGUAGGGUACCCUAUUAUUAUCUACGGGACUGGGUACCCCGUUAUCACCGCAUUCUUUAUUUUGCUUCCCCGCUUUUCAUUUUCCAUUUUCGCUUUUGUAGUACUUAGUACUUGUCCGGCUAACAUAACUUUUGUGCAUUGGGUGCAGUUAUGGAGUCAGCGGGUGACGCUUUUGAUGCCUUUUUCCAAGCAGUAGUGGGUGGUGCUUCUGGAUCUCAGGAUUCGGCAGUACCCCAGAAAAGUUCCCGACCACCUCGAGCUCCCGGACUAAAGGGGAAAUCCCAGGGUACCUCCCACAGUGGGUCGAAGGGUACCCCUCAUUCAAAGAAGAGAAAAUUCAGACUGGUUUCUGCUUUCCCCGAUGAGUUGCGUGAAUGUGACCUAGACCCGGCUUCCAACAAGGAGGUUUCGCACUUGGCUCGCUGUUUCUACUAUUCUGUUGAAAAUGUUACCUCCGAGGUCGCUGAGGAGACAGGCAAGAUGAGUUUGAGCCAGCGCUAUGGUCAAGCACUCAGGGCUACCCAAGAGGUAGGCUUUCCCGUGGUACCCCGGGUGUACCUUUCAUUUUUUUUUACCUUAUUUAGUCCUAUUGCCAUACACAUAUAUUUAACAUGUCUUUUACGACCUGCAGGCGUCCUUUCUCUUCAGCCACUGCCUUCCAUAUCUCGACUCUUUGGUUGCCGCCCAAUCGGAGGUUGACAAGUUAAGGGGUGAGCUUCAAAGUCGUCAGUCUCGCGAGGACCAGCUUGCUCGAGAAGUCAAAACUUUGCAAGAACGCAUUGUUGGCCUAUCAGGAGAGAAAGCUCGAGUGGAGAAGGACUGCGAUGAGUUGAGGGCCACAAACGAGGAUCUAUUAUCCCGACAAAAGACGAUGGUGGAGGAUGCGUUCUCGCUUAUCAUGACGGAUGUGUGGAGCGUGGAUUUGGAAUUGGAGGUACCCUGUGUGCAGAAAUUCAUCAACAAGGCCACGAUUCUGAAGACGAUUGCGGAGAGGAAGAAGUCUUCUCAUGCACGGUCAAGUACCCCUUCCGGGUCACCUAGGGUACGCUGCGUGCUUCAGCCGCUGCCCGCCUCAGAUGCCCCUACUUCGGCUGCUCAUAUUUCGGGUACCUCAGAGUCCUCUGCUGAUCGCCCUCUGAAGACGGAUGGUGGGGAUGGUGUUCCACCCUUAGUGUGGUCGUUUCACUGUGCUCUUGUUUUUGGAUCUAUCCACAUUUUGCUAUUUGGAACUUGUUUAUUUCCUUUUGGUUUCUUGGGAUAUUUUAUAUUAUUGAGACUUUUCUUUUGUUAUGAUACCAUGCCACUGAGCCCUCUUGUAUUUUGCAUUCUUGUUAUUCUUCAAAUGAAUGCUGGGCUAAACUGUUCUUGCAAAUUUCCAGGGUACUUCUCAGUUUUUUUAAUGGGGUACCCCCGGUAUCUUAACAAAUAUUCGACAUCAAGCGCCUGCUGGUUUAUACAGAUCGACGAACUUGGUGCAUGCCCUUAUCGGCAACCGUGGCGGAUUUCCCACAAAUAUGUAAUCAAAACAUCAUUGCGACAUCUCGAUCAAAAAUUGAAAGUGUGCAAUUGGUCCAACUAAUCAAUUUCUUAUUCUUUCGAAGUUCUCUCCAAAUUUUUGAAUAACUUACCCCCUACUUUGCUCAAGUAAGAGGACGGAGGUGUGGGUGUUCUCAUACCUAAGCUGAACCUCGUGGUGCUAGGGUAUGCCGGUUUUACUCCACCCUCGGGUCCUAUUUGACCCUCCCUCUCUUUGUUUAGGUAGCUUUAUCAUGCUUCCGCAGAAAGGCUACCCCUGGGCUGUUCACUCUGUUGCUUAUCUUGGCUUUACAUAGAUCGUCACGAUCUAGGCAUAUCAGGUACCCUGGCCGGACCUGUGAUAGGUUAGUCAUAAUUGACAAGCGUAUGGUGAGAAUUGCAUAUAACCAGAUGCGAGGGUAUAUUAAUGGCGAUAAUAAAUAUAAUCCGCAUUCUAAGAUCGAAGUGGCGAAAAAUAAAGAAAGAACCCACAUCAUAUUUGUUGAGAAAGAAAAUGCAUUUAUAGAUAACGAAAGCGUUGAUCAAUACAUGACUUAGCUUUGUUACCCUAAGGAGAAUGAGAGACCGCAAGACCUCAUAUCCUUUUCAUUUGAAAUUUAAAGAAACUCUAAAGAUGCAACUGACCAACAUAGGGCAUUUGGGGUACCCCAUUUGGCCUACCACACAAAAAUAUUAAAGAAAGCAAAUAACAGCAAAAGACUAAAGGUUAAGACACUGUCCUUUAGUAAUAUUUCCGUAGCAUUGUAGCAUUCCAGGGGUGCCUCACGAUUGUCUUAUCCAUGUGGAGUAGCCUGUAUGCACCUGACCCAACGGGUUUGUUGAUGCGAUAAAGUCCUUCCCAAUUUUCCCCAAAAGUGCCUUCGCAGGGUACCCUAGUAUUCUGAGUUACCCUUCUCAAGACCAAGUCUCAUUUCUUGAAGGAUCGAGAGCAUACCCUUUUUUCAUAUAGACCCGAAAUGCGAUAUUGAUAUAUGGUUGUUCUCAAUUAAGCUCUAGCUCUUUUUUCGGCCACCAAAUCAAGGUUUGAAGCAAUCAAGGAGGUGUUCUCGACCUCAUCAAAGUAUUCAACCCUGUGAAAGGGUACCCCGAUUUUUACUGGAAUCACUGCGUCAACACCGAAUGCGAGGGGAAAAGGGGUCUCCCAGGUGGAGGUGUUUUGAGUAGUCUGGUAGGCCCACAGAACCCCAGGUAGCUCGUCUACCCAUGCUCCCUUUCUUUAUUUUAGCUUCUUCUUCAGGAUACCUUUGAUAAUCUUGUUAAUAGCUUCAACUUGCCCAUUAGAUUGGGGAUGGGCAGGUGUAACAAAUCGGUUGGCUAUCCCAAGCUUUGAACAAAAACUUCAAAAUUUUUCAUUAUCGAAUUGUUUGCCGUUAUCACUAACAAUUGCAUAGGGAAUCCCAAAUCUACAAAUAAGGUUCUUCCAAAUAAAUUCCGUGGUUUUCCUUUCUAUGAUGCUUGUUAGUGGCUUCGCUUCCGCCCAUUUUGUGAAAUAAUCUACUGCCAUGAUUGCAUGUUUUGCUUGCCUCUCUUCCAUGUAGGUAACGGGCCAAUGAGGUCCACUCCCUAUAUAGCGAAGGGCCAAGGGGAAGAUAUAACUGUUAGCUUCUCUGGGGCUAGGUGGGGUACCCUAGCAAACCUUUGGCAUUUGUCACAGCUUCGCACUAUAUUCUUGGCAUCUUCCUGCAUGGUAGGCCAGUAGUACCCCUGAUGGAGAGCUUUUUGCGCCAGUGAUUGUGCUCCAUAGUGAUUGCCACAAAUCCCCUCAUGUAUCUCCCUCACGAUAUACUCUGUCUCUUCACUUCCCAAGCAUUUAAGGUAAGGAAGAGGUAACCCUCUUCUGUAUAGGGUAUCCUGGAUCAGGCAAUACCGCGCGGCUUUAUACUUUAAUCUUCUUACUUCACUUUUAUCCGAGGGGAGGUCUCCGUCCUUGAGGUACCUUUUGAUAGGCUACAUCCAGUGUACCUCGUUGGAUAGUGAUCCUACUUCCAACGGCUCUAGGAGAUCAACGUUGGGCGCGGGUAUGUGUUCUGUCGUGAUGGGGCCAGAUGACUGAGCUACCCCAAGGGAUGCCAUUUUUUCCAGGGUCUCGACUUCGUUGUUCUCCAAUCGAGGUACCCUUUCCACCUUAACCUCGCAAAAUUGGGACAUCAACUCUCUGGUUUUUCCGAGAUACCCCUUCAUGUUUUCCUCUUUCGCUUGAUAUUGUGCGGUAAUCUGGCUUACCACCAGCUGGGAUUCGCUCUUGACAUGUACCUUUUUUGCUUCCAAAGCCUUCGACAUCCUAAACCCCGCUAUGAUGGCCUUCGUAUUCGGCUUCGUUGUUUGAAGCCUUGAAUCCAAAUUGCAAAGCGUAGUAUAUUUUUACCUUGUUCGGGUCGAUUAUAAUAACUCUCGCACUACUUCCGUGUGAGUUAGAGGAAUCAUCUACAUAUAUUUCCCAGACCUGCCCCCCUUCAUCGGUGGAUGGGGUAUCUGACAGGUAUCUCGGAUCGCCUUCACCACUUAAGUCAUUGGAGAAUUCCGCAAUGAAAUUGGCGAUGGCUUGGGCUUUAAUCGCCGAACGAGGCUUGAAGAUGAUGUCGAACUCGCUUAAUUCAAGGGACCAUCGGAGAAGCCUUCCAGACAUGUCUAACUUCUGGAGGAUUUGCCGGACGGGAAGGUUGGUGAUGACUGCAAUGGUGUGAGCUUGAAAAUAUGGUCUGAGCUUCCUUGCGGAGACAACCAGUGCCAAAACGAUCUUCUCAUAGGAGGGUUACCUCUUUUCAGCAUCAACCAUAGCCUUACUAGUGUAGUAAAUAGGCCGCUAUACGCCAUUAUCAUCUUCUCAGAGUAACACAGAGCUGGUGGCAUGCUCGGAUAUGGCGAGAUACAACAGAAGCACCUCCCCCAGCUCAGGUUUGUAAGUAGUGGAGCGUUCACGAGGUACCCCUUCAGUUCUUGGAAAGCCUCUUCGCAAUCGGGUGUCCAUUGGAGCUUCUUGCCAGUCUUCAAAGCUUUGAAAAAAGGGCUUACACCGGUCUGUAGCCUUGGAGAUAAAGCGGCUCAGGGCAGCUACCCGGCCUGCCAAGCUUUGAACCUCCUUGAUGGUGCGUGGCGAUUUCAUGUCAAGAACCGCGCGAAUUUUAUCGGAGUUGGCCUCAAUUCCCCGUUGUUAUACCAUGAACCUAAGAAAUUUUCCCGAGGUAACCCCAAAUGCACAUUUUUCAGGGUUGAGCCGCAGCUGGUGUCUUCUCAAAACGGUGAAGGUAUCUCUGAGGUGCCCUAGGUGUUCCCCUACAUGCACCGAUUUGGUAAUCAUGUCGUCUAUGUACACCUCCAUGGUGCGUCCGAUUUGUUCCUUGAAAAUUUUGUUCACUAGCCGCUGAUAGGUAGCCCCGACAUUCUUCAAACCAAACGGCAUAAUCUUAUAACAAUAUAACCCACGGUUGGUGAUGAAGGUCGUUUUCUCUUUAUCGGGUUCAUACAUUGGGAUUUGGUUGUAACUGGCGAAGACGUCCAUAAAACUAAGCAUUUCAUGCCCUGCUGUUGCAUCAACCAACUGGUCCACCCGGGGAAGCGGGAAGUUAUCCUUAGGGUAGGACUUGUUCAAAUUGGUGAAGUCCACACACAUACGCCACUUUCCGUUUGAUUUCUUGACUAGAACAACGUUGGAUACCCAAUCAGGGUACACUGCUUCCCGGAUAAAUCUCGUUGCUAAUUGGUGGUCUACCUCUUGUUCAAUUGCAUCGUACCUCUCUUGGUUGAAGGCGCGACGCUUCUGUGUGAUCGGUUUAUUAUAUGGGCUGACAUUGAGUUUGUGACAAGAGGGGGAAGGUGGGAUACCCAGCAUAUCUGAGUGGGACUAGGUGAAUACGUCGCGGUGCUUGCGUAGGAAGGUGAUGAGCCUCUCUCUUUGUUCCUCCGAAAGAUUGGAGCUUACUUUCAUGGUCUUUGUUAGGUCGGUGGCACAAAUCGAGACUGAAAUAAGGUCUUCAACUGGGGUACCCCUUUUUUCAUCUUUCAAUAUUCGGGGAUCCAAGGGUGCCUCAACUUCACAUCUGGGCUCCACCUGGUCCCCAUGGGGUACCUGAGCUACCCCCCGUAGCUGCUUCUACGCCCAUUGGUGAGGAUUCCAACUGUUUUCGUGGGUGGGUUACCUGAGGAGAUUUUUUUAGUAAAGUGCUCGCUUUGAGGGAUAAGGUGUGGGCUGGCGAGCCGAUUGCUGGUCCCCUUUAACGGUGAUAACUUCUUGGGCGGCCGGGACUUUCAUGGCGAGGUAGUGCAUGGAUACCACCGCUUUAGUUGCUACUAAGAACGGCCUACCCAAUAUAAUAUUGUAGGCACCCGGGUGAUCUACAAUAAGAAAAUCAAUUAUAUGAACAACAUGGUAAUGUACCUUACCAAGUGCAAUGGGCAGCGUAAUGAUGCCCUUUGGUAUAACCAUAUCUCCGGCGAACCCAAUAAGAGGCGUAGCAUAGGGGGUGAUCUUUGGCGACUCAAUCAAUAGUUGAUCCAAGGCGCUUUUGAAAAUGAUGUCAACGGAGCUGCUGGUAUCUACAAGAGUUCUUGCUACCUUACUAGUGGCAACUUUCAACGUAAUUACUAAGGCAUCGUCAUGGGGGUACGAGAUACCCUCCACAUCUUUUUCUGUAAAAAGGAUAGGCGGGGGAUGGUGGGGUACCUUCGGUGUACCCUAUUCAUUAAGGUUGACUUCUCUGCCAAUAUUGGUGGUUAUCGACAACGAUCUACCAUAGCCUUUGAUAGCCCUCCUAGAUUGGCCCGCUAAAGUCGGUCCGCCCAUGAUCAUCCAGACAUACACGCCUUUCUUGUGUCCCGGGGGUACCUCUCGUUCGGGACUGCCAUCAGCUAUCCGCUUGCCCUUAUCCUGCUCUGCGGAUUUUCGGGCUUCUCUCAUGCCAGCAACAAAUUCUUUGAGGUACCCGCUAAGAAUCAAAGAUUCAAUUUCCUCACGCAAGGUAAAAUACUCGGCUGUGCCGUGACCGAAGUCCUUAUAGAACUCACAAUACUUCAGGCUACGCUUUAUGUUGGGGUACUUCUUCAUUGGCUUAGGAGGACGGAGGAGGCUGCUAUCCCGAAUAUGGUAGAAGAUCUACUAUAGGGAUCGAUUCAGUGGAUGGUAAGAUUCGUACCGAGGCCUCGGUGGUGGCUCUCGCUGAUCCGGUGGUGGCGAUCUUGGAGGUUAGGGUACCCUUGAGGUACCCUAAGCGUUAUACCCUCGUCCCCGCGGGGCAGCCUGUGGAGGGCUCCGUGCUCGGGGUACCUGCAGUAUUGGGGCCUCCAUCCUCUUGGGCUUCUCCUUGUUCUUUGUAAAAUCGGCCUUAUCUUCUUGGCGCUUCAAUUAGCAUUUCUCGUCCAUCUCCACCUGUUGUAACGCUCGGGAACGGGCUUCCCCAUAUGAAAGUGGGCGCUUCUUUUGAAAAGAACGCCAUAACUUGCCCAACUGUAAAUUUUUCUCAAAAUGGGUCAAUGUGUAUUGGUUUCCAACUGCUCCAGUUCGUAGCACCUCUUGGUGGAAACGACUCACAUACUCCGCCAAAGGCUCGGCUUCCCCUUGCUUGAUAAAAAGCAAGUUUGGAGGCUACCCUAUCUUGAGUGGAAGCAUAGGAAAACUCUUUAGUAAAUUCGGAUAACAAUUGGUGUAGGGAAGAUAUGUUACCCGUUUUCAAAGAGCGAAACCAUGACUUCACGGGGCCCGUGAGUGUGUGUGUAAACAUCCUACACAUGGCGCUCUGAUCUACACCCUUGAUAAGCAUUUGGUCGCGGUAUAGCUCAGCAUGCUCCGAGGGAUCAGUGGUACCCGAGUAUUGAGGUAUCUGAGGCAUAGCGAACGACUCGGGGAGAGCUGCCGUCCGAAUCUCCAUAGUGAAUGGUGAUUGGUAGGUCAUUGGCAUUGGAGCAGCUGUGAUGUUUUGUUUCUUGGAGAGGAGCUUUAUUUGGGCUUCUAGGUUCUCCAUUUUUUCCACAAGUUCGAGGGGUAAUGUCGCCGCCAUUUGAAAAGCCCUUUUAGUGUUUAACUUCUCACGGAAAUCCUCGUGGGUAUGCUUUACACGCCUCGCACCCUGGCUGCUGCGGGAAUUGCAAGAGGCGGUGGAACGCUCAUCGCGGGAGCCCACGGUUUGAAACUUAGAACGGGUACCCGAUGGCCUAUGCUUUCGCUUGCUGGCCUCGGGUACCUCUUUUCUGACCAUAGCUUGGUCGCCCGUUUGAGGUGGUGGAGCAUCUAGCGUCACUGGUGGAAGUGAACUUUCGGGUGCCCGAGAUCCAACAGCCCUAAGUAUUGUGUGGGCAAGAUCCUCGAAACGCUUGUGAGAAAUAGGUUCCUCAUCUUAGCGAACACCCGUCGAUUGCUUGAUACCCUUGCCCUUACUGAUGCGGGCUACCCUUCUUGCGAGAUCACUACCUUCAUUGCUGCUGUCAUCUCUCAUCCUUGUAGGAUCCCCCAUUAAACCUUCGGGAGGUACGUCGGGUGCCAUGUAUUAGAGUGCACACAACAACUAGUUUGGUAACCGUGGAUGAGGCUUUUUGUGCGCUUCCCCACAGACGGCGCCAAUUGUUUUCAACUGAUUUUGGGGUAGGAAAAUCCAAAAUCUAUCUAGAACAAUGAAUUUGUAUUUUCGGGGGAGAUGGGGUACCUCACUAGUUUGUUGUGUGCGGUGUGGCGUACCUGAAAUUUCAGAGAGGUGAGAAGGGGAGAGGAAGUGGUAACAAUGGUGAAAGGUCAAAACCAAGAGGGGUGUCCUUAAAAAUGGGCUUCACGCCUGCAAAACAGUGAAAUAAAGGUUACAGGUAAAGCCGAGGUACCCUGGCGUUCACACUCCGAUGCUCAAGUUAGCAAACUCAAGCUUUUAUGGCAAAGAAAGUUGGCUAGCCCUCUAUAAAUUAGGGUUUAAGGUUGAAGAAAACUUAUUUUUUGGAGUGUGAGUGUUAAUGGUGAGUGAGAGCCCCCCUUCAGAAUGAAGCCUAGGCACCUUUAUAUAUGGAGUACCUCAGCUGCCACGUGGCAUACCCUUUUUAGCUAACGUCCUUUUAUCUUUUUAUGAUUUUUGCGCCGUUAUGUGCAUGUUCGCGGCGUAUCUCAUCCUUUGGAAACGUGGCGCGCGCUGGAGAGUAGUCCAGGGUAUGUCUGCAGUAGCUGUCGGGUAGGCAGUUGAGGAACACUGUCCUUGGGAUAAUGUCCUUCACUUUUGGCAGAGGUAGCAGGCGGCUAUCCCCCCCCUUUUGGUACGACGUUCUUGAUUCCUAAUUCUGACAAAAUCGAAUAAUAUCUUUAAAGAGAUGGAGACGUUUCUCAUGGCGGAUAUUUUCGGAGGAUUCUCUUGCAUCUGAUCUGCCAGGUACCUCGAGUUACGUGGGGUACCCCUAAUUGUGCGAGGUACCUCUAUUUGUGUGGGGUACCUCUACUUGUGCGGGGUACCUCAAAUCACGCCGGGUACCUUGGAUUGUGCAGGGUAUCUCGUAUCAUGUCGGGUACCUCUAUUUGCCCGGGGUACCUUAAAUCUUGUCGGGUACCUCGGAUUGUGCGGGGUACCUCAGAUUGUGCUGGAGUCAUUCCAUUUGUCGACACGUGGUACUUUACUGCCUUUCCUAUUUUUCCCUCAAACAGUCAUUAUUGUAAUCAAAAUGGUCACAUGAAAUAUAGAUGUCCCGUAAAAAGAAAUGCAUAUUAUGGUGUCAAAUGCAUUUGGGUUCCAAAAGGAACCGUUGCUAACGCUCAAUGACCCAAAAAGGUUUGGGUACCUAAGACAUAAGAUUUUCCUUGCAGGGCUUGAAGAAGAAGAAAAAUAAAUGGUACUUGGAUAGCGGUUGUUCUAGGCAUAUGACCGGAAACUAUGCAUGGUUCUCAAGUUUCACCAAAAUUGAAAAUGGUGGAGAUGUAUCCUUUGGAGACAACUCAAAGGGAAAAAUUCUCGGAAUUGGUAAUGUUGGUAAAGUUUCCUCAACUCUAAUUGAAAAUGUGUGUUUGGUUGAGAAUUUGAAACACAAUUUGAUUAGCAUUAGUCAAUUGUAUGACAAUGGUUAUAAAGUUAUUUUUGAUAAAUUAAGAUGUGUUAUUGAGAAUGCAUGUGAUGGAAAAAUUUUGUUUAUUGGAAAUAGAUGUGGUAAUGUUUACACAAUUGAUAUAGAAUGUGCAUCUACUCAUGAUAAAUGUUUUUCGGCAUUGCAUGAUGAUGGUUGGUUAUGGCAUAGAAGACUAGGACAUGCAAGCAUGGAUUUGAUUUCAAAAAUUUCAAAAAAUGAUUUAGUUAAAGGUCUUCAGAAAAUUGGUUUUCAAAAAGAUAGAAUUUGUGAAGCUUGUCAAUUUGGAAAAUAAAUUAAAACUUCCUUAAAAAACAAGAAUCAUAUCUCUACUUCAAAACCACUUCAAUUACUUCACAUAGAUUUGUUUGGACCUUCUAGAUAUGCUAGUUUAAGUGACAAAUAUUAUGCAUUUGUGAUUGUAGAUGAUUAUUCUAGAUACACAUGGGUAUUAUUCUUAGCUAAUAAGGAUGAUACCAUUGAUGCAUUUAGAAUUUUCUCUAAAAAGGUUCAAAAUGAAAAAGGUUAUUCUAUUACUUGUAUUAGAAGCGAUCAUGGUGGAGAAUUUCAAAAUCAUGCAUUUGAAAAAUUUUGUAAUGAUUUUGGCAUUGAGCAUCAAUUUUCAUCACCUAUGACUCCACAACAAAAUGGAGUUGUUAAGAGAAAGAAUAGGUCUACUCAAGAAAUGGCUAGGACCAUGUUGAAAUGAAAACGCAUUACCAAAAUAUUUUUGGGCCGAAGCCGUCAACACCGCUUGUUAUAUUUUAAAUCGGGUGUUGAUUAAACCUCAUCUCAAUAAAACUCCUUAUGAGCUUUGGAAAGAUAGAAAACCCAACAUUGGUUAUUUCAAAGUUUUUAUAUGCAAAUGUUUUAUUUUGAAUACAAAAGAUAAUCUUGGUAAAUUUGAUCCAAAAUCUAAUGUUGACAUCUUUCUCGAGUAUUCAAACUUAAGCAAAGCGUAUAGAGUUUAUAACAAAAGAACUUUAGUUGUGGAAGAAUCCAUUCAUGUUACAUUUGAUGAAUCUAACCCUGCCUCUGCGGAGAAAUGAGUUGUUAAUGAUGAUGCAGAUGGAGAGUUACGAGAAGAAUCAUAAAAAAAUAAACAAGAGAAUGCACCACAAGAAAAUCAAGAGGAUAUACAAGAAAAACAAACAAAUAUGGAGCAACAAGAAGGUAUUUCUCAAACACUCCCCAAGGAGUGGAGGUAUGUUUCCUCUCAUCCUAAGGAUUUAAUCUUAGGUGAUCCUUCAAGAGGUAUUACAACUAGAUCAUCACUUAGAAACACAUGUGAGCAUGCUGCAUUUAUUUCUCAAAUUGAACCAAAAUCUUUUGCGGAUGCGGAAAAUGAUGAGUCUUGGAUUAUGGCAAUGCAAGAGGAGUUAAAUCAAUUUGAAAGAAAUAAAGUGUGGGAAUUGGUUCCUAAACCGGAGCAUCAAUCCAUUAUAGGCACUAAAUGGGUAUUUAGAAAUAAAAUGGAUCAAUCCGGUGUGGUUGUAAGAAAUAAAGCUAGAUUAGUGGCUCAAGGAUACAACCAAGAAGAAGGAAUCGAUUUUGGUGAAACCUUUGCACCUGUAGCUAGAUUAGAAUAUAUUAGGAUGUUGUUAGCAUUUGCAUGUCAUAAAGAUUUUAUUUUAUUUCAAAUGGAUGUCAAUAGUACUUUCUUAAAUGGUUAUAUUACGGAGGAAGAUUAUGUGAAACAAUCCCCUGGUUUCGAAAAUGAAAAAUUUCCAAAUCAUGUUUAUAAGUUAUCAAAAGCAUUGUAUGGAUUAAAACAAGCACCUAGAGCAUGGUAUGAUAGGCUUAAAAAUUUCUUGUUGGAUAACAGUUUUUCGAUGGGAAAAACAGAUACUACCCUUUUUAUUAAGAAUAAAAAUCAAGAUAUACUUAUUGUUCAAAUUUAUGUUGAUGAUAUAUUUUUGGUUCUACUAAUGAAUCUUUGUGCAAAGAGUUUUCCUCUUGUAUGAGUAAGGAAUUUGAGAUGAGCAUGAUGGGAGAAUUAAAGUAUUUCCUUGGACUUCAAAUCAAACAAAACAAUGAAGGGAUCUUCAUCAACCAAGCUAAGUAUGUCAAAGACUUGCUCAAGAGAUUUGACAUUGAUGAAUCAAAUACCAAGAAUACUCCAAUGAAAACAACAAUCAAGCUUGAUAAAAAUGAAAAAGGUAAAGAGGUUGAUAUUAAAAAGUAUCGAGGUAUGAUCGGAUCUUUACUUUACUUAACCGCAAGUAGACCCGAUAUUAUGUUUAGUGUAUGUUUGUGUGCAAGAUUUCAAUCAUGUCCCAAGGAAUCUCAUUUGCUUGCUGUUAAAAGAAUUUUUCGUUAUUUGAGUGGAACCAUAGAUCUUGGCCUUUGGUAUCCUAGAGGAACUCAUAUAGAUUUAACUUGUUAUUCGGAUGCCGAUUUUGCCGGUUACAAGGUCGAUAGGAAAAGUACUAGUAGAACUUGUCAUUUUCUAGGUCAUUCACUUGUUUCAUGGUUUAGCAAGAACAAAAUUCGAUUGCACUCUCAACUACUGAGGCGGAAUAUAUUGCCGCAGGUAGUUGUUGUGCACAAGCACUUUGGAUGAAACAAAUACUUAGAGACUAUCGUAUUAAUUUUGAACAAAUUCCUAUCAAGUGUGAUAAUACGAGUGCUAUAAAUCUUUCAAAGAAUCUCAUUCAGCACUCUAGAACCAAGCAUAUAGAGAUUAGAUAUCAUUUCUGGAGAGAUCAUGUACAAAAGGGUGAUAUUGCAUUAGAAUUUAUCUCUACGGAAAAAUAACUUGCCGAUAUUUUUACAAAAUCCCUUUGCGAAGAAAAUUUUUCAAAAAUUCGGCAUGAACUUGGGAUGAUGAAAUUUUCGUAUUAACAUCUCUAUUUAUGUUAUUGAAUCUAUUAAAAUUGUUUGCUUGGUGAUUGUUGAUGUUUAUGAAGUGUUUGUGCAUGAUAGAUAUGUGAGGUGUUUGAUUUAUUAAUUUUCGAAUGCUUAUGUGCUUCAUGAAUAUAUGCUUGUUGGAUGGAUUAUUUGUUUGAAUUAAUCAUCUUUUGAAUGUUUAAAAUCAUGAUUCAUGCAUUAAAUUGGCUCUUGAGAUGUUUCGGGAUCACGAAAUGAUCACGAAAUUGAUCAAAAUUAGCCGGAAAGCAACUAGAGUGCAGAUGGACAGCAACCAGACGGCUAGCCGCUUGGAAACCGUCCCAAACCCGUGACCAAGCGGCUAGCCACUUGGGGGCAAGUGGCUAGCCGCUUGAUCACGGGUUUUACCCAUAUUUUUUUUUUGUUUUUCCUUUCUUCUUCACUUGUUCUUCUUCGUUUCUCUCUCUCCAAAACCGUGAGCAAACUCUCCUCCAUUUCCAUUCAAUUUCUCUUCAUUUCUCACCCAUUUUUAUGCCCAAAUCAAUCAUUCAAACUAAUAUCCAUACUCUUAACCUUCAUUAAACACGUCUAAUCAUCAUUUUCUCACUUGUUAUUUAUCAUUUCAUUAUCAUCUCUCUCACGCGUGAAUAGUGCCUCUCCAUUUUCUUUCUCAAAUCUCUUCAUCUUUCACUCAUUUUCUUGUUAAAAUCAAUCACUCAAAUCAUUAUUCAUCCAUUACUCCUUCAAUUUUCACUCUCAAAACAACAUUUCAUCAACUCUCCACAUAAAACCCAAAAUCAAAUCUCACUUUACCCAUUUUCUCUCUCUUCAUUUUCAAGCUUCCUUUAGCGCAUUUUUAAUUCAAUCUACAUCAUAAAUUAGAUUCAUUCAUCUCUAGGAUUGAUUUUCUUGCCUCAAAAAAAUCCAUUUCACUCAAAUUUUUUUAAACCCGAUAUUGCAUUUUUAAGCUUAUUUUUCUUCCAACAAUGGCGGGUGGUGACAGGUCCAAGGGAAAACACAUGGCCAAGAAGCGUAAGGAAGAUCAUGGCGACUAUUCGGAGUUUAUUUUGACUCAUUUUCCACGACCCCUGCUUCAGAAACGUUUUCUCGACAAUUUCGUGCCAAGGUCGGUCAUUACUCCUUUCUUUUGUCAAUCUCAGUAAUAUAGAGAAUUUAGAAAUUUGUGAUAAAUCUCUUAAAGAUUUCCUUAUUACUAUGGGAUGGAAGAAUGUAUUGGUUGUUAAGGAGCAUUAUUAUGAAAAUUUAGUCAAAGUUUUUUAUUCGAAUAUGGAUACGGCAGUUUCUAAUAGAAUUGUUACUAAUGUUGGGCGAGUUCAUAUUGAAUUUGAUGUUGCUUUGUUAAAUUCUAUCCUUGGAACUCCAAAUGAGGGAUUGGAACUAUAUAGUGCUAGAGCCAAAAUAAAUUAUCCUUGGUUUUCACUUGAGAAUAUUGCUUGAAAAUUUUGUCGACGACGUGAUUUGUCCUCUGCAUUUUGUCGAUCACCUUUGAAAUCUCAAGACUUACCUCUUCAAACUAUAAUCCUUCAUUAUGUUCUUCAUCAUGUUAUAACUCCUAUGGCUAGACAUGCGGAUGAAGUUAACCAUUUAGAUGUAGCCAUAUUGGACUACAUUCUAGGGGAGAGGGUGCUAAAUAUUGGUUAUAUUAUCCUUCAUCAUAUGCUUAGCACACCCUAUUUAGCCAAAAGAUCCCUUCCUUAUGCUAGUAUUAUUACCCGCAUUCUAGAGUAUUUCCGAGUCCCUAUAACUGAGCCAAUCUUCUUGAAUUCGAGGGAAUUAGGCGAUAAAGCAAUCGCUAAUUUGGGAUUUUAUUGGAGGAACAAUAGAUGGUAUAAAGAUCAUAGAAACAAAAAGGUUACUGAAAUUGCUCCUACAGAUCAUCGUUAACGAUGUCCUUCCACCACACUUGCUCCUGGAUCUCAGUGCUCCACAUCGCUCACACCCUCCACCUUCCGAGGGCCCUUCCCACUCUACUUCAACUGACUCUAAGGAUCGGAUGCAGCAGCUAUUAACUAAAGUGGAUUCACUUUCUGAAUAGCAAGGCAAACUUCAAUCCCAGCUUGAAGCUUUUCAACUUUAGUCUAUUUCCGAGCAAGAGCGUCUCCUUGAGUAGCAGCAGCGCUUAUUUGCUCAACAGCAGCAGCUUCUUGAUGGCCAGCAACAACUUUUUGCCGCUCUUGGAUUUCCACCACCAUCCUCUUCAUCACAUCCACCAUCUCCUUAGCACUCUAUUUUUAUUUUUAGUCAUUUGUCACUCUGCACUACAUCUCUACAUGCAUUAUUGUUUUUAAUUUGCGGAUGAUAUAUUGUUUUUUAUUUGGAUAUGUUAUGGUGGUUGUUGUUUGUUCUAAAUUCUUGGCUUGCUAUAAUAUUUUAGUUACUGCGUGUUUAAUUUCUAUAUGUCUCUUUAUUAAUUAUUGAGAUGUUCCUUUUUUAUAUAAAUAUGGAUUUAUGGUAAUUUUGAUGAUGAAGGGGGAGAAGUCAUGUAUUUUUGAAUUCGGAAAUAGGUACUACAUAUUUUGAUCUUGAAGUUUUUGUGCAUAUUUUUGAAAUAUUCAUAGGGAGUUUUUAUUUUGAAUUUGAUUUAUAUGUUUAAUUAUAUAUGCCAUGUAUUAAGGGAGAGUAUAAAUAUCAAAAUACAUGAGAUGUUUUUCAUCAUAAAAAAGGAGGAGAUUGUUAUCCUAAAGGGCUACACAUAAUGUAAUUUUGAUGAUAACAAACAUAUGUAUUAAGUGAUUUAAUAAAUAUUGUAUUUCACAUUUUGACUAGUUUUUUAAGGGUAAUAUUUAUGCAAGUGAAUCAAGUGAAAUCAAGCUCAGAACACUCAACGGACAAUGGCGAAAUCAAGAAUAAAGUUUAGAGCUCAACGGAUAAAUUAGUGUGAUAAAUUCUUGUAAAGCCGGUAUGAUUUAAUUGAUGCAUGAUUUAGCAUUUGAGAAUCUCAAAAGAUUAAUUUAAAUAAUUACUUUCAUAAACCAAAUGGUUUUAUUUUUAUAAGGUAAAGUAUUUUGUGGAUUUGAGUAAUUUGGAUUGAAAUGCAAAGUUUUGAAAUUUUUGAUUUUAAUAAGUAUUAUUAUUGAAUUUCGGAGUUGGAUUUUUUUACAAACAUUUGAAAUGUUUUAGGCCAUACUAUAAUUUAUGAAUAUUUUGGACUAAAGUGAAAGAUUUUGAGAACUUUAAAAAUUAUGGGUAUUAUAUUGAAAAUGACCUUUUUGCGAAACAAUAAUAUAUUUGGGGCCAUGUAAUAAUUUCAUAAAGUUUUGAGUUGACAAUCAUUAUUAAGAAAUUAUGAAAUUGGACCUAUUUGUAAAGUUUUAUGAUAUUUUUGGCCAUAGUAUAAUUAUAUAAAGUUUUGGGCCAAAGUAUAAUUUUAGUAAAUAGUAUUACUGUAGCAAAAUUCAAAAAUAACGGUAAUAUCACUGUUACAAGCGACUAGCCGGAUAAAUCAAGCGGCUAACCGCUUGGCUGCUGGAAUUUGCCUAUAACGGCUAGUUUUCGGGCUCUAACUAUAAAAACUCAACUUCAACUUCAUUUUAAAAUUCAAUGCAAGCAAAUAUAAGAUCAUAUAACAUAUAUUGAGCUUCCAAAACGCAAAUCAUUAUAGAUUGAAUCAUUGUUGAGCUAUUAUUUGCAUAUCCACUCUUAAAGAGAGUUUUUGUUGUAAUUUUCAUUUCUUAUCAAAUUGUGAGUGUACAAGUGUGAAAAACACUUGGGGUGAAAAGAUUGGGGAGAUAAUAUCUUGAUUAUAAAGGUUCAUUGACACCUUUAAAGUCAAUUGUAAGAACUUGAAGCCUUGGAAGGCUUGGAUAGUGAAAUCCUCGAGCUUGGUUGGCUUGGAGGCGUGGACGUAGGCAGGGAUUGCCGAACCACGUAAAAAUCCAUGUGUUUGUUUUUCUCUUUCCUUACUCUUUUAUUUUUAUGCUUGUUUGCAUUUUUUGUUUUCUAUUCCAUUUAGGCGCUAGAUUAAUUUGUUGUGCGAAUUUUAUUGCAUAAUUUUUAAAAACCCAAUUCACCCCCCUUUUGGGUUGCGUAACUUGCAUUUCAUCUUCAAUUGAAACAACUCCCAUCAAUGAUUCUUUCCCUGAUGAAUUUUUAUUUUCUAUAAACAAAAUGUCUUGGUAUGCUAAUAUUGUUAAUUAUCUUGCAACAGGUGAAAUGCCAUGUGACUGAAGUUCUCAGGACAAGAAGAAAUUCUUAACAGAAGUGAAAAGCUUUUACUGGGAUCAUCCAUACUUGUUCAAGUACUGCUCUGAUCAAAUUUUUCGAAGAUGCAUACCAGACGAUGAGGUAAGUAGGGUCAUUCAAUUUUUUCAUUCUGAAGCAUGCGGUGGCCAUUUUUCUUCAAAAAAGACAGCUGCAAAAAUAUUACAGUGUGGAUUUUAUUGGCCUACAUUAUUUAAAGAUUCACAUGCAUUUGUAAAGUGUGUAAGAAUUGUCAAAUGGUAAGGUCUAUUUUAAAGUGAAACAUGAUGCCUUUAAACCCCAUCCUUGUCAUUAAAAUAUUUGAUUGUUGGGGAAUUGAUUUUAUGGGCCAUUUUCCAUCAUCAUUUGGAUUUGUAUACAUUUUGGUUGUUGUUGAUUAUGUUUCAAAAUGGAUCGAGGCGAUUCCUUGUCGGCACAAUGAUCACAAGAUUGUGAUCCAUUUUUUAAAAGAAAAUCUUUUGAGCAGAUUUGGAAUACCUCGAGCCAUUAUCAGUGAUGGAGGUAAGUAUUUUUGUAUUAACCCAUUUGAGUCCUUAAUGAAAAAAUAUGGAAUUACACAUAAAGUUGCUACCCUUUAUCACCUUCAAACAAGUGGUCAAUUUGAAUUAGCAAAUAGGGGGAUAAAAUAAAUUUUAGAAAAGACAGUUAAUCCAAACCGUAAAGAUUAGUCUCUUUGACUAACUGAUGCACUUUGAACAUAUCGUACUGCUUUUAAAACAUCUUUAGGAAUAUCAACAUAUCGGCUUGUUUAUGAAAAAUCUUGUCACUUACCAGUUGAACUUGAACAUAAAUCAUUCUGGGUCAUUAAAGCUUUUAAUUCAAAUCUUGAUGAUGCUGGUAAUGUGGGUAAAUUGCAAUUAAAUGAACUUGAGGAAUUAAGGAAUGAUGCAUAUGAGAAUUCCAGAAUUAUUAAGGCAAGAACCAAAUUUUUUCAUGACAAAAGAAUUUUUUGGAAAACAUUUGAAAUUGGUCAAAAAGUGUUGCUUUAUAAUUCUCAACUUCAUUUAUUUCCAAGGAAGUUAAAAUCAAAGUGGAAUGGUCAAUUUGUUGUAAAAAAAUAUGUAUCCAUAUGGAGUCGUAGAAAUUGAGAAUCCAAAGGAUGGUGUCACAUUUAAAAUUAAUGGUAAAAUAUUGAAACCAUAUCUAGAAUACCAACCGCGUGAAGUAGAUACCGAAAUCAAUUUGAGUGACCCAUCAAAUUUUAAUUAAGCCUUUUCAUUUAACUUUUUGUGAAUUUGAUUUACUGUUACUUUAUUGUUUGAAUUGUUUGAUUUUUUUUCCUUUUCCUUAUGCCUUGAAUGGAGUGCAUUGCAUUGUCUUUAAUUGUGUGUUGUUUGACAAUUGUGUUUUAGCUCACCAAAUUUUUAUACUUGUCAUGAGUACCUCCAUGAGAAGUUUCCUUUUUGAACAUCUUAAAGAACUUUUACAUGUAAAAUUUCACUUGAGAAAAUUGCUCAGAUUUUGUAAAUCACAUCCCAUUUGGGAUCUACAACCACUAAAGUUAGUAUCCCACGUGAAAGAUCUAGAAAGACAACUCAAGGAAAUAAAAGAUGGUAUUUAUAAUCUGCAAUUGGAACUGGAGGUAAAUUCAAUAAAAGGACGAAGGUAAGUUAUAUUUCUUGUGUGUUUUUGUUUUAUUUUAUUGUUUUUCUUCACUUUUGAUUUGAUUUUGCAGAUUUGAUUCGUUUUGUUUUGAUUCACUCUCCCAUAUACAUGGCGGAUAACGAUACUCCGUGACUUUUUAAGUUGGUAUUCUCAAUUUCCCAUAAUAACUGAAACCUCAAUGUCAAGUAUGGAAGAAAUACAACGAAAAUUGCAUCAACGUUUUCCUUCUCUCCCUUAAAAUGCUCUUAAGAAGAUUUACAAAGUUCGUUGUGAACGACUGCGUUUGUUAAUGAUCAAUGAGAUUCCUGCUGACAUUCGCUGGUUAAUUGAUGCAAAGGUCCGACUAGUAGGUGAGUUUUCUGAUCCAUUCAUUUCCUACAUGUCUGGUUUUGGUAAAAGUACAUUUGCUAAGAAAAGAAUAGCUAAGCGACUUGGCUCUGAAUGUUCUCACUUUGUAAGACUUGCUUGCAAAAAGUCACGUUGUAAAACUUAAGGAAUGAUUUCUGUAAAUCGUGAAGAUAAAAUCAAAUUCGUUAAGGAUGGCAUGAGUAAAGAAUCGUUGGAUGAUAUCUUACGAUCUUUUGAGACGCAUCCGAGCGGAUAUGGUCAACGUGAAAUUCAAAGUUUGUGGAAGCUAUUCCAAAAGGAAAGUGCACAGUUUAGUCUUCGGAAUCUGACUCUAAAAGACCAUGUUUGCCAGUUUAUAAGAAAACUGGAUGGGAAGCCUAUCCUCAACCUAUAGAGGGUGUUCAAGCCAUUACUGGAUGUAAAAUCAGAGGAAGAUGUGAGCCACAAUCACAACUACCAGUAAAUAUCUUUUUAUUUUACUGUUCUUUUAUCUUUUGCAUUAUUAUUAUUAUUGUUUUUUAUGCGACUUUAUAUAUCUAAUCAUUGUUUGCUUUCUCUUUUCGUUGUUUGCCUUUGAAUUAUUAAGCUAAAAGCUUCACGCGUCAUUUGACAAACACACCACCCCAUUUACAGAUUUAUAUCAUUAUGUCCGUCACCAAGAUUCUUAAAUAGAAGCUCAUUUUCAAGCACUCACAAAUUGUUUCUUUUUAGAAUUGUUAUAAUGGCAGUAACUUCAAGCAGUCAACUUAAAAACAGUUGUGUACUUUCUGGAUUUUGAUAUGGAAAGUAGAAGGAGUUCGUUCAGCAGCCAUAGAUCUUGGUCGUGCUAUAGUAGAGACGAAACUACAUCUUGUAUAUGGAGGAGGUGACCGAGAGUUAUCAAAGCUUGUCUCUGAAGCUGCUUUCGUUCGAGGAAGCCAAGUGCUAGGCAUCAUUCCAAAAGCUUUAAACCUUUAGGAUGUCUACCAGACCCACCAACUGGAGAAGAGUUAGUUGUCUCAGGUAUGUAAGAAAGAAUAUCCGAAAUGUUAAAUCACGCUGACGCUUUCAUUUUCUUGCCAGGAGAUCUUGCAACUUUAAAGGCGCUAAUUACAUUUGCUUCUUGGCCCAUUUAAAUAUCCAUAAAAAACCCAUUGGUUAGUUAAAUGUUAAUAACUUUUAUGAUGGCUUAAUAAUAUUUCUUAAUCAUGCAAUAAAAAAUUAUUUCAUUCCGCCCUCAGCAAAAAAACUCUUCAUUUGUGCUCCUACUGCUAAUGAGUUACUUGAUCUUUUACAAGCUUACAAACCAGAGCCAGAUCUUAUGACUUUAGCGUUGGAUUGGGCAACUGAUGACGAUUGCAGUAAUUCUCGUAAAAAGUGUAAAUUAGAUUUAACUCUCUGUUUAUAAAUAUUUCCAGCAGUGGCCAGGUAAUAUCUUGUAAACUCUACUCCUUUCGUUAGACAUUGAGGACAAUAGCUCCUUUAGGUUGGGGGGAGGGAAUAAUUGAUAAUUGUGGAAUGUCUCAGUCCUGGUGAUGUUUUUACUAAUUUUUAUUGUAAAGACUAACUUUGGAUAAAAAUUUGAGUCGAAGAUGGCAGAAUAUAGAAUGUAGUGUCUCUAGAAAUGCAUCUUAUUAAGUUUAGUGUUUUGUUUCCCAAAAAAAAAAAUUAUUUUCUAACUUUUUGUUUUCUGUCUUUUUCCCUUUUUCUCUUAAUCAUCGCCUGUAAGUUUCUGCAAUCAGUCCCAAUUUUUUAGUGUUUCUUUAACAAAAAAAAAAGAGUUUUUUUUUUCGGUGUGAUAUUUUAACAUUGGAUAACAUGAUGAUUUUUAAAUUUUGGUAUUUGUAUUAUCUUUGGCCUUGAGUUAUGUUACACUAUGUUUUCCCAUUUGCAUGUCGAAACAUAAAUUGAGAAAUUGGAUGAGUAAAAUUGAUUAAGUCAUUUAGAGGAAUUUACAUGUUAUGAAAAGUGCAAGCGAGUUUUUGAGCCUAUUAUCCUUGGAGAGUAACCUUAUUUGCCUAUACAGCUUCACAAUUUAUUGUACAAGAUCUCAAUAUUUUCUUUAAAAAAAAAGUGAAAAAAAGAGAAAGUUUUGAAAUACAAGUGUGUAACCCAAGAGGGGGGGUGAAUUGGGAUUCUAAAAAAUUAUUUGAUUCUAAACAAAUUAUCAACCAAAUCUAAAAUGAAUUUAAUGGAAUAACACUUAAAUCAAUCACAAUAUAAAAAGAUAAGGGAAGAGAGAUUCAAACAUGAAGAUUUUUGUGUGGUUCGGCCAACCUCGCCUACAUCCACGCCUCCAAGCUUUCUAGGCUUGAGGAUUUCACUAAGCAUGCCUCCAAGGCUUCAAAUGCUUACACUUGACUUCCAAGGUGUCAAUGAACCUUUACAACAAGAGAUUAUCCUCAAUCUCUUAACCCAAGUGUAUCCCAACACUUACAAUCACUCAAAGUAAAAGAUUAAAAAUUGUUCUUCUCUCACACAAUAUUUAAGAUUACAAAUCAAUGCCCAAUGUGUGAAUAGAUGAAGCAAGAAUGUGUUUUAAAGCUCUAUGAAGAUUGUAUUCUCGAAUAUAAGCUCAAUGGUCCUGUUGUGAUCAAUCUUGUUUGAAUUUGAAUGAGCUUAUUUAUAGUUGGAGCUGAAAAACUAGUCGUUACAAACUGUCUGCCCGAAAACAGUUCGCCGUUAACCAUUAAUGGUUAACCGUUUAGGCAGGUCAAAGGUUACCGUUGGGCCAAAUUUCAAAUAAACGGUUUGCCGUUUAUGGUUACCCUUUCGCCGUUAAUUCCCAGAGACCUGCAAGAUGAACAUCAGUUAUCCGUUUAUAUUAAACGGUUAAGGAUUUGCAUGAAAUGACUUCUCUAGUAAUUAUCGGUUAGCCGUUUGUAAUUAACGAUUCGCCGUUUAUUUCCAGUAACCUGCAAAACGAGUUAGCUUUAUCCGUUUCAGUUAAGCUUUUGCCGUUUGUUUCCAGGUACAAUCUUUCAUUCUGGAUUUUAUCGGUUAACCGUUUAAAUAAGCGGUUCGCCGUUAAAUUCCAGUAGCCUUCCCAGCUUUUUGUGUUUUCCGUUUUUCUUAAUCGGUUAGAGCUUAGGCAUUAUGUUGCUUUCUGUUUUUAGUCGGUUAACCGUUUAAAUAAAUGGUUCACCGUUUAUUUCCAGAAUAACAGUUUAAGCCAGAUUUUGCUGAGAAUCAUUUUCUAAUUUGAAAUUUAACAAUGAUCCAUCUUUUAUGAAUAUAAUAGAAAUGUUUAUAAGGCUCCCAUUAAUUAAGAAAUAGCUCCAACAUUUUAAUCAAAAACCAUUUAAAGUUUGUUAUCAUCAAAAUCAAUAUUAUUAACAUAUUCAUGUUAACAAUCUCCCCCUUUUUGAUGAUGACAAACUUCAAUUAAUAUUUUACUCCCCCUUAAUAGAUGCUCCCCCUUAAUAUAUGACCAACUUAAAAAAAAGUCCAAUAAAAUGAUUUUUGCUCAAGGGAAUCAUUUUAAAAACAAAAUUCAUUUAAAAAAAAAUCAUUUCAAAUCUCCCCAUAAUUAUCUCCCCCUUCAUCAUCAAAAAGAAAAGAGAGAAAAGAAAUCCGUAAAUCCGAAGAAUAAAGAGGUGACCCAGUUUUGGCGAACGAAAAAUUUGGUAGAGUGUCCCCUUAAAAUGGAGCAAAACCACUAAUACAAAAUGAGAUUAAAACACUUCCAAAAUAUAUUAACAACAACUCCAUCAUCCAACAAACCAACAACUCCAUCAACCAACAAACUAACAACUCCAUUAACCAAUAUCAAGACAUCCAACAUCAAGAACAUCACAAAAACGUGUCAUCAAAAUCCAUCAAGAUGAUAUAGAGGUAGCAGUGUAUAUAAAAAUAUAAAUAGCAACACACAAACAAACAAAAUAUGAAAUGUAUGUGCGAAAAUAGAACUCAGAAACUAUGGAGGUGGAGAAGAUGUGUUCCUCAGAUUAUAACCAAAAUAGCGAAGAAGAGUGCGCUGUCCAGCUAUAAGCUCAAGCUACUGAUCAAUGCUCUGCUGCUGGAAGGUCUGAAAGUCAGAACGUAGCUGCUGGUGGUCACGGGAAAAAGUGUCCAACCAAUCGAGAAUCAGCUACUGGGGCUCUGAAAUUCGGUGAACAUCAGCAAUCAACUGCUGCACAACGUCUGAAGCAGGGGGCUGAACUGGAGCAGGAGGUGGCUCAGAGGCAGAGGGCUACUCAGGAGCAGGAGGCUGCUCGGGAGCCAGAGGCGGCUCGAAAGAGGAGGGAAUGUCAGCAUCCAUCGUACGCUCCUCAGAGUCAGAGUCAACUGGAGGUCGGGGGACAAAAUAGCGAUGCGGAGGAUGAGGAUGAGCUCCUAAUCUAAAAUAUGGAAGCUUAUCAGGAGGAUAGACAUCGUUGAGCAUCCGAUCAUCCGCUGGAGCAAUCAAGGUAUCUCAAUUUUUGGAGUUGUUUGUCUUUAUCCAUUCUCCAUUCUUCCUAGAAAAACCGAUACUAGUCAUGGCCUCGGGACCAAUCCGUCUAGUCUCCAUAUAACCGGUAUCGAGAAGAGGCACCUCAAAGCGUCGCAGUAUCUUAGUAAUGAUACUGCCAUAUGGAAGCAAGCGGUGGUUAACCGCGGGAGUACUCAACAUGUGCCGCACAAUAACAUAGCCGAGGUUAAUGGGACGGCCUGAAAUGAGGCUAUCUAAUAGGCCAACGUCCAGCCUCGUAACCUCAUCCGAGUGACCCUUCCUAGGUGUCAUUAUGUGCUGUAAAAUAGAGUGAAGAAUGCGAACUUGGAGAGGUAAAAGUUGAGACCGAAAAGGUAUAUUGCAGAUCUCAUCAGACAAGUCUUGACGACGACAAAUAUUACAGACUCCAUCAAUAUGACUAAAACCUUCAAAAGAAAGGGCUUUCCUAGAGGUGUAAAUAUCAUGACCCUCACUAGAGAUACCAAGAAAGCCAGCUAGGUCCUCAUCAUCAAAUUCUAUAGGCACAACGCUGACUUGAGUAACUAUCCUAUCUAGGCGAGUUGCAGAGAUUUCCAUGUUCGAAUAAAAGAUUCGCACUAAAUUAGGAUAAACUUGGUCAUCAAAGUCAAUGGCAGGCUCCCAAGGCUGAAGCAUAUCCCUAAUGCUUCUAUCACAUAUAAUUAAGGUACUGAAAUCAUCUAUUUCAACAUAGGAAGAGUCAAAUACCUUGCGACUAUUGAAGCGAUCCUCGAACCGCUUGGCCAAAGAAGGCAUGGGGAAAUGAAUUCUUGCGAAUUCAAAGACUUCCCAUGGUGGUAUAGGAUUCCUUGGAGGCACAGAUUUUCGCCUGAGAUUUCUCCGAGGGGGUGCAGCCAUGGUGAAGAAUAAAGGAGUUUGAAAAUUGCGGGAGAGAUGUGAUGAGAAGAAGAUGAACCGAUUAUUUGCUUAGGAAUGAGUAAAGGAUGUGAUUUUGAGGCUCAAUUUGGUUGAAGAAGGGCAAGAAUCAGGUUAAAAAAGAAGAAACCCGAACGGCUGCAGUUAGGGUUUAGAUUUGGGAUUUUUCAAUUUUGGGCUUGAUUUGAAGAUUUAAAUUGGUGAAAGUGUUCUAAAGGUGAUAAGAAAUGAUGUUAUAGGUUUGAUUUGGCAAGAAAAACAAGAAAAAUGAAGGUUUGAGGGCAGAGGAAGCUUCGGCUGUGCAACAAUGGCCGAAACGGUGAAAGGGCAACUGGAGAAAGAGAAGAAAAACCUUUGAACAAUUUUAUAAUCACGAAAACGGUUAACCGUUUAUUUAAAGGGUUAAGGGGUAACUUCCAGAGGCUAAAGAAUGGGAAACGGUGAAAGGUUAAGUUCUUAACGGCUAAGGAGUAACUGUUAGAGGACUCUCAGUUUUUAAACGGUUUUACCGAUUGCAUCAAACGGUGAAAGGGUAAAGAGACAGACAUAUAAUCUCGUUUCUGGAAUAAAACGAUUCACCGUUUAUUAGAAACGGUUAUCCGUUUAUUUUAUCUAUAAUUUCACACAUUUGAUUUAAUUUUUGGCCAACAAAUAAUACAUUCCAAGAUCAUUUAAUUGAUCUAAAAAUGUUUUAUGAGCCAUUUUAAUGCAUGAUUCAUGAACAUGUAUUCAAGUAAUUAAUUCAUAUAAUCAAGCAAGAAUUAACAAAGCAAAUACAUCAUUUGAAUAUCAAGCUUAAGCAUUUCAUAAAUAUUAAAUCACUAAUAAGUCAAUCAAUUCAAUACACUCAAUAGCAUGAAUAGAGACGUUAAUACGAAAAUUUCAUCAUCCCAAGUUCAUGCCGAAUUUUUGAAAAUUGUUCUUCGCCAAGGGGUUUGGUAAAAAUAUCAGCGAGUUGUUUUUCUGUAGAAAUAAACUCUAAUGCAAUAUCUCCCUUUUGAACAUGAUCUCUCAAGAAAUGAUGUCUUAUUUCUAUAUGCUUGGUUCUAGAGUGUUGAAUGGGAUUCUUUGAAAGAUUUAUAGCACUAGUAUUAUCACACUUAAUAGGAUUUUGUUCUAGGUUAAUACCAUAGUCUCUAAGUGUUUGUUUCAUCCAAAGAGCUUGCGCACAACAACUUCUUGCAGCUAUAUAUUCAGCCUCGGUAGUUGAAAGUGCAACAGAAUUUUGUUUCAUACUAGUGAGUGACCUAGAAUAUAGCAAGUUCCACUAGUGCUUUUCCUAUCAACUUUAUAAUCGGCAAAAUCCGCAUCCGAAUAGCAUGUUAAAUCUAUAUGAGUUCCCCUAGGAUACCAAAGGCCGAUAUCUAUGGUUCCACUCAAAUAACGGAAAAUUCUUUUAACAGCAAGCAAAUGGGAUUCUUUGGGACAUGAUUGAAAUCUUGCGCACAAGCAUACACUAAACAUGAUAUCGGGUAUACUUGCAGUUAAAUAAAGUAAAGAUCCGAUCAUACCUCGAUACAUUUUGAUAUCUACUUCCUUGCCUCUUUCAUCUUUGUCAAGUUUGGUUGUUGUGCUCAUUGGAGUGUUUUUGGUCUUUGAGUCAUCAAUGCCGAAUCUUUUGAGUAGAUCUUUUACAUACUUGGCCUGAUUUAUGAAAAUUCCUUCCUCAUUUUGUUUUAUUUGCAGCCCAAUGAAGUACUUCAACUCUCUCAUCAUACUCAUUUCAAAUUCAUUACUCAUGCAAGAUGAAAAUUCUUUACACAACAAUUCAUUAGUAGACCCAAAAAUAAUCUCAUCAACAUAAAUUUGAACAACAAGUAUGCCUUUGUCCUUAUGUUUGACAAAGAGAGUAGUAUCCGCUUUACCCAUGGAAAAAUCAUUUUCUAACAAGAAAUUCGUAAGCCUAUCAUACCAUGCUCUAAGUGCUUGUUUUAUUCCAUACAAGGCUUUAAACAACUUAUAAACAUGAUUUGGAAAUUUUUCAUUUUCAAAACCAGGGGGUUGUUUUACAUACACUUUUUCCAUAAUAUACCCAUUUAAGAAAGCACUUUGAAAUAAAAUGAAAUCUUUAUGGCAUGCAAAUACCAACAACAUUCUAAUUGAUUCUAGUCUAGCAACGGGUGCAAAAGUUUCAUCAAAAUCAAUUCCUUCUUUAUGGUUGUAACCUUGAGCCACUAAUCUAGCUUUAUUUCUUACAACCACACCGGAUUCAUCCAUCUUAUUUCUAAAUAUCCAUUUAGUACCUAUGACGGAUUGAUGUUCCAGUUUAGGAACUAAUUCCCACACAUUGUUUCUUUCAAAUUGAUUUAACUCCUCUUGCAUUGCCAUAAUCCAAGAUUCAUCAUUUUCCGCAUCCCCAAAGGAUUUGGGUUCAAUUUGAGAAAUGAAUGCAUUAUGCUCACAAGUAUUCCUAAGUGAUGAUCUAGUUGUAACACCUCGUGAUGGAUCUCCUAAGAUUACAUCUUUAGGAUGAGAAGAAACAUACCUCCACUAUUUAGGGAGUGCUUGAGAAGUACCUUCAUGUUGCUCCAUAUUUGUUUGCUCUUCUUGUUCAUUCUCUUGAUUUCUUUGUGGUGCAUUCUCUUGAUUAUCCUUUGAUGGUUCUUCUUGUAACUCUCCAUCUGCAUCAUCAUAAUUUAUUCCUUUCUCCGCAGAUGAGGGGUUAGACUCAUCAAAUGUAACAUGCAUAGAUUCUUCUACAACUAGUGUAUUUUUGUUAUAAACUCUAUAGGCUUUGCUUAAGUUUGAAUAACCAAGAAAAAUACCAACAUUAGAUUUUGGAUCAAAUUUGCCAAGAUUGUCUUUUGUGUUCAAAAUAAAACAUUUGCAUCCAAAAACUUUGAAAUAACCAAUAUUGGGUUUUCUAUGUUUCCAAAGCUCAUAUGGAGUUUUGUUAAGGUUAGGUCUAAUCAACACACGAUUUAAAACAUAACAAGUGGUGUUGACGGCCUCGGCCCAAAAAUACUUAGGCAAUGAAUUUUCAUUCAACAUAGUCCUAGCCAUUUCUUGAAUGGAUUUAUUCUUUCUCUCAACAACUCCAUUUUGUUGUGGAGUUCUAGGUGAUGAAAAUUGAUGCUUAAUGCCAAAAUCAUUACAAAAAAUCUCAAAUGCAUGAUUUUCAAACUCUCCUCCAUGAUCACUCCUAAUGCAUGCAAUACCAUGCCCUUUUUUCAUUUUGUAUUUUCUUACAAAUCACUUUAAAGGCAUCAAGAGCAUCAUCCUUAUUGGCUAAGAAUAAUACCCAUGUAUAUCUAGAAUAAUCAUCCACUAUCACAAAUGCAUAAUAUUUUUCAUUUAGACUAGCAUAUUUAGAAGGCCCAAAUAAAUCUAUGUGAAGAAGUUGAAGUGGUUUUAAAGUAGAAAUAUAAUUUUUAUUUUUGAAAGAUGUUUUGAUUUGUUUUCCAAAUUGACAAGCUUCACAAAUCUUAUCUUUUUGAAAACCAAUUUUUGGAAGACCUUUAACUUGUUAGCCUAUAUGGCUAUAAAUAUUAAUUUUGAUGAUAACAAACCACAUGUAUUUAUUAAGCAAAGAUUUAUGAAUUGUGCUUUUAUAAUAAGAAAAUGAUGUUAUGGAAUUAAAGCAUUUUGGACUAAAAUUUCAAAAUCUUUGAUAAUGUUUUAAAUUUCGGAUUUGGACCUAUGUGAAACUAUUUAAAUGUUUUUGGGCCAUUCUAUAAUUUCACAAAGUUUGAGUGAAAUCAUAAGUUCAAAAAGUUUUGGGAUUAACGAAGCAUUACUUAGAAAUUCUGAAAUUGGAUCUAUUUGUAAACUUUUAUAAUGUUUUGGGCCAUACUACAGUUUUAUAAAGUUUGGGGUCAAACUAAAAAUUUAGGAAAAAUUUCACUGUAGCAAGCGGCUUACCGGAUAUAAAAACUGAAAAACUGGAUACGGGGCAAACGGCUUACCGAAUUUCGUAACCGGCAAGCCAGAUAGGCAAAAUUCAAAAUUUUACCUUAACGGUAACAUAAAUCCGGCUUACCGGAUUCCAUAAACGGCAAACUGGAUACGCCCAGAAUGUGAGUAACGGCUAGUUUUUGAGCUCAAACUAUAUAAACUCAAAUCCAACUCAUUUUGAAGCUCUCCAACAAGCAAAAACAAAAAGCACACGAGAUAUCUUGAGCCUUCAAACUUGCAAAAUACAAACAUUGAAUCAUUUCUUGUUCUUCAUUUUUGAAUAUCUACUCAUUGAGUGAGUUUCAUUGUAACCUUCAUUUAUUCAUCUCAAUUGUAAGAGUUUGAGUGUGUGAGACAUUUGAGUGAAGAGAUUGGGAGAUAAUCUCUUUGUUGUAAAGGUUUAUUGACACCUCGAAGUCAAUUGUAAUCGGUUGAAGCCUCGGAAAGGCUUGGAUAGUGAAAUCCUCAAGCUUGGAUUGCUUGGAGGCGUGGACGUAGGCGGGGAUUGCCGAACCACGUAAAAAUUCGUGUGUUUGUUUCUCUUCUCCCUUACUCUUUAAUUAUUGUGCUUUUAUUAAACUUAUUGCUUUCAAUUUUUAUUAAGACAUUAGAUUGCUUAUUAUGUGGAUUUGCUAGGAUAAUUUUUAAAUUUCCAAUUCAUCCCCCCUCUUGGGUUGCACACUUAUAUUUCAUUUGGUAUCAGAGCAAGAUGCUCUUAUUUAGAUUUAACCAUCUAGAGCUAAAAAUCAAUGGCAACUCAAAAUGAUUCCACAUUUAGGGAAGGACAGUCCACCACUAGACCACCUUACUUUGAUGGAAACGAUUACCCAUAUUGGAAAACUAGGAUGAGAAUCUACUUGCAAGCCUUAGAUUAUGAAAUUUGGGAAAUCGUUAAUGAUGGUCCCUUCAUGCUUUUGACUAAAAAUGAAGUCGGAGAAGAUAUUCCAAAACCUUCACGGGAUUGGAAUGAAUUCGAAAAGAGAAAAGCUUCUCUAAAUUCCAAGGCCAUGAAUGCCUUGUUUUGUGCACUAGAUAAGAAAGAGUUUCAUAGAGUGUUUAGUUGCGAAAGUGCUAAUGAGAUUUGGCACAAACUUGAAGUUGUCUAUGAAGGCACGAACCAAGUGAAAGAAUCUAAAAUAAGUAGGUACACUCGACAAUAUGAAUUGUUCCAAAUGGAACAAAAUGAAAAUGUGUACUCUAUGUAUACUAGAUUUAUGGACAUAGUAAACACUCUAGGAGCCCUAAGGAAGACCUUUUCUAAUAGCGAGAAAGUCAAGAAAAUCAUUAGGUUGCUACCUAAGGAAUGGAGACCAAAAAGGACUGCCAUUGAGGAAGCCAAAGAUUUAAAUAUUUUACCUAUUGAUGAUUUAAUUGGUUCUCUCAUUUCAUAUGAAGAAGAACAUUGCUCUCAAGGAUUCAAAACGUGAGAGUGAUGAGGAAAGCGAAAUGGAUGAUGAGGAGCUGGCCAUGUUGGCUAGAAGAUUCAGAAAAUUUUACAAAAAGAAUAAUGAGGAGAGAAAGUUCAGAGGCUACAAGAAUAAGAAGGAGAAAAAGGAGCCAAUCACUUGUUAUGAAUGCAAGAAGCCCGGACACAUACGACCGGAAUGUCCUCUUCUCAACAAACUCAAGAAGAAAGCUAUGGUGGCCACAUGGGAUGAUAGCGAUGAGGAAACAAGUAAUGAGGAUGACUAACAAGAAAUGACAAACUUAGCUCUGAUGGCCGUUGGGGAAGAAUCAUGUAAUGAACUUGAUGAGGUAAGUGUUCUUCCUACAUAUGAUGAAUUGCAUGAUGCUUUUAAGGAUUUGCAUGAUGAGCUAAUGAAGAUUGGUAAAAAGAAUAUAUGUCUUAAAAAGAAGAUGAUAGAGCUUAAGAAUGAAAAUGAUUCAUUUAGUGUAAAGAUUACAUGCCUAGAAUUAGAAAAUAAAACAUUGCAUGAGAGUAUUGAAUCAUUUGAGAAUUCUAGCACUUCACGUGAGCACUUAGAGUCACACAUGAAUGACUUGAAAAAUGAGAAUGAAAUGCUUAAAAAGAAGAGCAAUGAACUAAAUGAAAUUUUGCUAAAAUUCAAAAAUGGGCAAAAGAUGUUGGACAAUUUACUAAACUCGCAAAAAUGUGUAUUUGACAAAAGUGGCAUAGGUUAUAAACCGAAUUUGAAACAAAAAUUUUACAAGAGUUAUUUUGUGAAGAAUACAUCUAUUAACAAUCAAAUUGUAUGUCAUUAUUGCAAUCAAGAUGGUCAUAUGAAAAAUAGAUGUGUGGUGAAGAGAAAUGCAUAUUAUGGUGUAAAAUGUGUUUGGGUUCCGAAAGGAACCAUUGCUAACUCUCAAGGACCCAAAAAGGUUUGGGUACCUAAAACUUGAGAUUUUCUCUAUAGGGCUUGAAGAAGAAGAAGAAUAAGUGGUACUUGGACAGCGGUUGUUCAAGACACACGACAGGGAAUUAUUCUUGGUUUUCAAGUUUCACUAAGAUCGAAAAUGAUGGAGAUGUAUCGUUUGGAGAUAAUUCAAAAGGAAAAAUCAUUGGAAUUGGAAAUGUUGGUAAUGUAUCCUCUACUCUCAUUGAAAAUGUGUGUUUGGUUGAAAACUUGAAACACAAUUUGCUUAGUAUUAGUCAAUUAUGCGAUAAAGGAUAUAUAGUUAUCUUUGAUGAAUCAAAAUGUGUUAUUGAGAAUGCAUGUGAUGGGAAAGUCUUGUUUGUAGGAAAUAGACGUGUUAAUGUCUAUACCAUUAAUAUAGAUUGUGCAUCAAUACAUGAUAAAUGUCUCUCCGCAUUGCAUGAUGAUGGCUGGUUGUGGCAUAGAAGAUUAGGUCAUGCAAGCAUGGAUUUGAUUUCAAAAAUCGUUAAAAAUGAUUUAGUUAAAGGUCUUCCAAAAAUCAGUUUUUAAAAAGAUAGAAUUUGUGAAGCAUGCCAAUUUGGAAAACAAAUCAAAACUUCCUUCAAAAUCAAGAAUCAUGUCUCUACUUCAAAACCACUUCAAUUGCUUUAUAUAGAUUUAUUUGGACCUUCUAGAUAUGCUAGUCUAAGUGACAAAUAUUAUGCAUUUGUAAUUGUGGAUGAUUAUUCUAGAUACACAUGGGUAUUGUUCUUAGCUAAUAAGGAUGAUGCCAUUAAUGUAUUUCAAAUUUUCUAUAAAAAGGUUCAAAAUGAAAAAGGUUAUUCUAUUACUUGUAUUAGAAGUGAUCAUGGUGGAGAAUUUGAAAAUCAUGCAUUUGAAAAUUUUUGUAAUGACCUUGGCAUUGAACAUCAAUUUUCAUCACUUAGGACUCCACAACAAAAUAGAGUAAUAGAGAGAAAGAAUAGGUCUAUUCAAGAAAUGGCUAGGACCAUGUUGAAUGAAAACUCUUUACCUAAGUAUUUUUGGGCCGAAGCUGUCAACACCGCUUGUUAUGUUUUAAAUCGGGUGUUGAUUAGACCUAAUCUUAAUAAAACUCCAAAUGAGCUUUGGAAAGAUAGAAAACCCAACAUUGGCUAUUUUAAAGUUUUUGGAUGCAAAUGUUUUGUUUUGAACACAAAAGAUAAUCUUGGUAAAUUUGAUCCAAAAUCUGAUGUUGGCAUUUUUCUUGGUUAUUCAAAUUCAAGCAAAGCUUAUAGAGUUUAUAAUAAAAUAACUUUAAUUAUGGAAGAAUCUAUGCAUGUUACAUUUGAUGAGUCUAACCCCUCCUCUACGGAGAAAGUUGUUGUUGAUGAUAAUGCAGAAGAAGAACAACAAGAAGAAGCAUCGAAUAACAACCAAGAAGAUGCGCCACAUGGAAUUCAAGAAGAACAUCAUGAAGAAACAAAUGCAGAGCAAAAUGAAGGUACUUCACAAACACUCCCCAAGGAGUGGAGGUAUGUAUCCUCUCACCCUAAGGAUGUAAUUUUAGGGGAUCCCUCGCGAGGUGUUACCACUAGAUCAUCUUUUAGAAACACAUGUGAGCAUGCUGCAUUUAUUUCUCAAAUUGAACCAAAAUCCUUUGCGGAGGCGGAAAACGAUGAAUAUUGGAUUAUGGCAAUGCAAGAGGAGCUGAAUCAAUUUGAGAGAAACAAUGUGUGGGAGUUAGUUCCUAAUCCAGAACAUCAAUCCAUUAUAGGUACUAAAUGGGUAUUUAGAAACAAAAUGGAUGAAUCCGGUGUGGUUGUAAGAAAUAAAGCUAGAUUAGUGGCUCAAGGUUACAACCAAGAAGAAGGAAUUGAUUUUGAUGAAACUUUGCACCUGUAGCAAGGUUAGAAUCCAUUAGGAUGUUGUUAGCAUAUGCAUGUCAUAAGAAUUUUAUUUUAUAUUAAAUGGAUGUCAAGAGUGCUUUCUUAAAUGAAUAUAUUAUGGAGGAAGUUUAUGUGAAACAACCUCCUGGUUUUGAAAAUGAAAAAUUUCCAGAUCAUGUGUAUAAGUUAUCCAAGGCUUUGUAUGGUUUAAAACAAGCACCUAGAGCUUGGUAUGAUAGGCUUAAAAAUUUCUUGUUGGAUAACGAUUUUUCAAUGGGAAAAGCGGACACAACUCUUUUUGUUAAUCAUAAGAACCAAGACUUACUUAUUGUUCAAAUUUAUGUUGAUAAUAUUAUUUUUGGUUCUACUAAUGAGUUGUUGUGUAAAGAUUUUUCAUCAUGUAUGAGCCAAGAGUUUGAGAUGAGUAUGAUGGGAGAGUUGAAGUACUUCCUUGGACUUCAAAUUAAACAAAACGAGGAAGGAAUUUUCAUAAACCAAGCCAAGUACGUGAAAGAUCUACUCAAAAGAUUUGGCUAUGAUAAUGGAACGGCAAAAAGCACUCCUAUGAGUACUACCAUCAAGACAUAUCGAGGUAUGAUCGGAUCCUUACUCUACUUGACUGCUAGUAGGCCUGAUAUUAUGUUUAGUGUAUGCUUAUGUGCUAGAUUUCAAUCUUGUCCUAAAGAGUCUCACAUGCUUGCUGUCAAACGCAUUUUUCGAUAUCUAAUUGGCACCAUUAAUCUUGGCCUUUGGUAUCCUAGAGGAACUCAUAUUGAUUUAACUUGUUAUUCGGAUGCCGAUUUUGCUGGGUAUAAGGUUGAUAGAAAAAGUACUAGUGGAACAUGUCACUUCCUAGGCCAUUCUCUUGUCUCUUGGUUUAGUAAGAAACAAAACUCGGUUGCGUUUUCAACCACCGAGGCAGAAUAUAUUGUUGCAGGUAGUUGUUGUGCACAAAUUCUUUGGAUGAAACAAACCCUUAGAGACUAUGGUAUUAAGCUUGAUCAAAUACCUAUCUUAUGUGACAAUACUAGUGCUAUAAAUCUUUCCAAGAAUCCCAUUCAACAUUCUAGGACUAAGCAUAUAGAAAUUAGACACCAUUUCCUUAGAGAUCAUGUUAAAAAAGGAGAUGUCGUAAUUAAAUUUGUUUCCACUGAAAAUCAACUUGCGGAUAUCUUUACAAAACCUCUUAGCGAAGAGCAUUUUAUAAAGAUAAGACAUGAGCUUGGAAUGAUGAAUGUUGAAUCUUAAUUCAUGUUUUACUACAUGACUUGAUAUGUUUGUUAUUAUAUUAAUUUAUGCUUCAUGAAUUAGAUAGCUUGAUAUGCUUGUGAAUAUAUGAUUUUAUAAUUUUGUGUUUCAUGCAUUAAAUGACUUUUUGAAAAGUUUUAAAUCUCAAAAUGAUUUAAAAUUAAUCAAUUUUUAAGGCCGGAAAUAAAAUGGUGUGUGUAGUACAAGUAUAAGAGCUAGCAAAUAUUCCCUUUCCAUUCAUCCGGAAAAAUAUUUUUUUUUUACUGAUUUCUCUCGAGACAAAUUUCGGAUAACCGGAUUAGCUUUGGUUGCUCUCGGGACAACAUUCGGAUAACCGGAUUUUCAAUCCGGAAAAUCGGAUUUGCUAAGCCACCUCUCUGCCUCACAACCGGUCUACCAGUUAGCAAAAUCGGAAAGCCGAAUUCGCAUGCAUGCUUGCUGGAACAAAACCGGAUUUCCGAUUCAAGACAAUCCGGAAAGCCGGAUUUUUGGAAGCUCUCGAAACCGGCCAGCCGGUUAAGAAAACCAGCAAGCCGAAUUCCCUCAUGUUGCUCUCGGGUUCAUAUCCGGUCAACCGGAUUUCAAAUCCGGCAGACCGUUUUCGCUUGUUUGGUUUCUGUCCAAUAACCGGCUUGCUGGUUAGGAAAUCCGGCAAGCCGGAUUCGUGAGCCUUUUGUGCUGUUCAUCCUCUUCCUCAUGCAUUCGGCAAUCCGGCUCUUCCUCUCUCUAAAAACCGUUUGCUUCUCUCUCAUUUUUCAUUCCAAAAUCCACCAUUUCUACUCGGUUUUGAUGCAAAUCAAUCCAUAAAUCUUGAUCCCCAUCCGUUCUUAUACCUAAAAUCACACUCAAAACUCUUUUUCAACCUCCAAAUCCCUAUAUCCGAAUUUCAACCUAGGUUUUGGGCCGAUUUUUCUCUCUCUAGAUUUCUCACUCUCAAGUCAUUUUUUAUCCAAUUUGUUUCUCCAAAUCACUUUCAAUCUUCAUCAUCUUCAUUCUCUUUGGUGUUUUUAUCUUCAAAUCCAUCAAAAUCAAAAUGUCAAGCUCUCGGUCGGUUCGAAGAAAAGGCAAAGAACCGGUUCAACAAACCACCCAGCCACGGGAAGCAAGGGGCACCUCAAAUCAAUCCACUUUUGAGUCCAUUCAUUUUCAGAACAAGCAACACCUAAUCAAACAGUUUCAACAAAACUUUCGGACUCGUGAGGUACUCAACACUUUCUUUGUUUUACCGGAUGUUAUGCAUACUCUCAAGAUUAGUUAUAGAAAUAUAUUUCAAUUGUUGGGAGAUGUUGGUUGGAUUGAUGCAUUGUUGAUUGAGGAGAAUGUAUAUCCCGACUUGGUGAAACUAUUUUACUCGAAUAUGGAUUGUUCCGUGGAGAAAGAGAAUCGAGUAAUCACCACAGUUGGAGGAGUUUUGAUUGAAUUUGAUGAUUCGGAGUUGAACUCCAUCCUAGGAUCUUCCGAUGAUGGCCUGGACAUUUUUUCUCCUAGGAAACCUCCUGAUAUUGAUGACUAUGUUCAUGUUGAUGUCGUUCGUAAUAUUUAUCGGCGUAGUGAUCUUUCUGUUGAAGACUGUACCAUUCUUUUCCGUACUCAGUGUCUUUGUCUUCAAACUCGUAUUUUGCUUCGUAUCAUCCAGUCCAUUGUACUUCCUAGAUCAGGACAUUUGGAUGAGGUUUCUCACAUGGAUGUCGCCAUGAUUGACUGUAUUCUUAGAGGUCGCCCGGUUAACUUGGGCUAUUUCAUCAUCUGCACCAUGUUGAGCAUUCCUACCUUGAUUACCCGCUCUCUUCCUUAUGGUCACUUCAUUACCCGAAUUCUUAAAUUCUUUCAAGUGCCGAUUCUAGAACCAUCUUGUAGGCCGUCCAAGGGUAUCGGGGAUGAGGUUAUUAUUAGGUUAGGCUUUGAGUGGAAGGAUGGCACUUGGGUCAAAUACAGCGAUAACAAGUUUACCUUUCUAGCCCCAAGUGAUGAUCGGCCACUUAAUGCUGUGAUUCCAGCUGAUCAGUUUCCAGUUUUCUCACUCUCAUUUCGAGGGCAGCGUAGACGCUGAGUUUCUUCCACGGUUGCUUCAGCUCCUAGUGCAUCUGCAUCUGCUUCAUCACCUCCACAUCCUCUUACCUUUGAAGAGGUCACUCUUCAGCGGAUUAUGGAUGAAGUGCGGACACUCUCUGUGCGGCAGACUGAGUUUCAGCAGCAGCAGCAGCAGCAGCUUAUUCAUGGACAGCACCUCCUCUUCGAGCACUUCGGCAUUCCAUAUCUGUUUCCACCUCCAUCACCUCUAUCCUCACCACUUGAGUAGUAUCUUAUGCUUGUACUUGGACACAUCUACAUUUCAUUUACUACAUUGUGUGUUCGUUUAUUUUCAAAUCUAAGGAUGGUUAUUAUGCUUUUCGGUUUAUGUCUUUGUUUUGGAUGAUAUGGAUUUGUUGUGACUAUUUAUGUUGGAUGUUAUGGAUUUGUUUUGAUUGAUCAUUAUGGAUUAUAUGGAUUUUCUUAUGCUUAUGGAUAUUUUUUUUACUAAUGUGCUUAUGUUGCGAUUUUGAUGAUUGAUAGGGGGAGCCUUUAUUCUUUUUUUAUGAUGAAGGGGGAGAAUGAUUUAAUAUGUGUUAUGAAAAUAUGCAUAUAUCUAGGGGGAGCAUGUACGCAGGGGAAGUUUUUGUUAAAUAAUUUUCAAAUCAUUUUUUAACUUGCAUUCAUUAAGGGAGAGCUUUUCAUAACUAGAUUAAAUUUGAAUGUGCUUUGUCAUCAUCAAAAAGGGGGAGAUUGUUAGCCUAUAUGGCUAUAAAUAUUGAUUUUGAUGAUAACAAACCACAUGUAUUUAUUAAGCAAAGAUUUAUGAAUUGUGCUUUUAUAAUAAGAAAAUGAUGUUAUGGAAUUAAAGCAUUUUGGACUAAAAUUUCAAAAUCUUUGAUAAUGUUUUAAAUUUCGGAUUUGCACCUAUGUGAAAUUAUUUAAAUGUUUUUAGGUCAUUCUAUAAUUUCACAAAGUUUGGGAAAAUCAUAAUUUCAAAAAGUUUUGGAAUUAAGGAAGCAUUACUUAGAAAUUCUGAAAUUGGAUCUAUUUGUAAACUUUUAUAACGUUUUGGGCCAUACUACAAUUUUAUAAAGUUUGGGGGUCAAACUAAAAAUUUGGGAAAAUUUUCACUGUAGCAGGUUACUGUAGCAAGCGGCUUACCGGAUAUAAAAACUGAAAAACUGGAUACGGGGCAGUAAGCAUCCAGAACGCAAACGGCUUACCGAAUUUCGUAACCGGCAAGCCGGAUAGGCAAAAUUCAAAAUUUUGCCUUAACGGUAACAUAAAUCCGGCUUACCGGAUUCCAUAAACGGCAAACUGGAUACGCCCAGAAUGUGAGUAACGGCUAGUUUUUGAGCUCAAACUAUAUAAACUCAAAUCCAACUCAUUUUGAAGUUCUCCAACAAGCAAAAACAAAAAGCACACGAGAUAUCUUGAGCCUUCAAACUUGCAAAAUACAAACAUUGAAUUAUUUCUUGUUCUUCAUUUUUGAAUAUCUACUCAUUGAGUGAGUUUCAUUGUAACCUUCAUUUAUUCAUCUCAAUUGUAAGAGUUUGAGUGUGUGAGACACUUGAGUGAAGAGAUUGGGAGAUAAUCUCUUUGUUGUAAAGGUUUAUUGACACCUCGAAGUCAAUUGUAAUCGGUUGAAGCCUCGGAAAGGCUUGGAUAGUGAAAUCCUCAAGCUUGGAUUGCUUGGAGGCGUGGACGUAGGCGGGGAUUGCCGAACCACGUAAAAAUUCGUGUGUUUGUUUCUCUUCUCCCUUACUCUUUAAUUAUUGUGCUUUUAUUAAACUUAUUGCUUUCAAUUUUUAUUAAGACAUUAGAUUGUUUGUUGUGUGGAUUUGCUAGGAUAAUUUUUAAAUUUCCAAUUCACCCCCCUCUUGUGUUGCACACUUAUAUUUCAUAACUAAAUCAUUUUUCAAAAUUUUCGAAAUCAAAUCCAUACUUGCAUGUCCUAACCUUCUAUGCCAUAACCAACUAUCAUCAUGCAAUGCCGAAAAAGAUUUAUCAAGAGUAGAUGCACAUUCUAUGUCAAUGAUAUAAACAUUACCACAUCUAUUCCCAACAAAUAAGAUCUUGCCAUCACAUGAAUUCUCAAUAACACAACUAAAUUUAUCAAAGAUAACUUUAUAACCUUUGUCACAUAAUUGACUAAUACUAAUUAAGUUGUGUUUUAAGUUCUCAACCAAACAUACAUUCUCAAUUAGAGUUGCGGAAACUUUACCAACAUUUCCAAUUCCAAGAAUUUUUCCUUUUGAGUUGUCUCCAAAAGAUACGUCUCCACCAUUUUCAAUUUUUGUGAAGCUUGAGAACCAUGCAUAGUUUCCGGUCAUGUGCCUUGAACAACCACUGUCCAAGCACCAUUUAGUUUUCUUCUUCUUCAAGCCCUACAAAGAAAAACUCAAGUUUUAGGUACCCAAAGCUUUUUGGGUCCUUGAGAGUUAGUAGUGAUUCCUUUUGGAACCCAAAUGCAUUUCAUACCAUAAUAUGCAUUUCUUUUUACUGGACAUCUAUUUUUCAUAUGACCAUCUUGAUUACAAAAAUGACAUACAAUCUUAUGAUCACUUGUAGAGGUAGCUUUAACAAAAUAAUUCUUAUAAUACUUUUGCUUCAAGUUAGGCUUAUACCCAAGUCCUCCUUUAUCAAAAAUACAUUUUUGUGAGUUAAGCAUAUUGUCCAACAUCUGUUGCCCAUUUGUAAAUUUCAAGACAAAUCUCAUUCAACUCAUUGCUCUUUUUCUUAAGCAUUUGGUUUUCAUUUUUCAAAUCAUCUAUGUGUGAUUCUAAAUGCUCAUGUGAGAUGCUAGGUUUCUCAUUUGAUAAUGCAAUUUCAUCAUGCAAUGUUUUGUUCUCUACUUCUAGGCAUGCAAUUCUUGCAUUUACAGAUUCAUUUUCAUUUUUAAACUUUGCCAUUUCCUUUUUAAGACAUACAUUCUUUUUACCAAUCUUCAUCAACUCAUUAUACAAUUCUUUAAAAGCAUCAUACAAUUCAUCAUAGGUGGGAUCACUUACCUCAUUGAGAUCAUCAUCCCCUCCUAUUGCCAUAAGCGCUAGGUUUAAUACUUCUUGUGACCCUUCUUCAUCACUUGAAUCUUCCUCGCUAUCAUCCCACGUUGCAACCAUGGCUUUCUUCUUGAGUUUGUUGAUAAGUGGGCACUCCGAUCUUAUAUGGUCGAGCUUCUUGCAUUCAUAGUAUGUGAUUACCUCUUUCUUCUCCCUUUGGUUCUUGAAGUUUCUAAAAUUUCUUCGCUCUCCGGUUUUCUUGAAGAAUUUUCUGAACCUCCUUGCUAGCAUGGCCAGCUCUUCAUCAUCCGGUUCGCUCUCCCCAUCACUCUCAUAUUUUGAAGCUUUGAGAGCAAUGCUUUUCUUCUUCUCCUCAUGCCCUUUUUCUGCGGCCAAAUCUUCUUCAUAUGAAAUAAGAGAACCAAUUAAAUCAUUAAGAGGUAAAACAUUUAAAUCUUUGGCCUCUUCAAUAGCGGUUCUUUUAGGUCUCCAUUCUUUUGGAAGUGACCUAAUGAUUUUCUUCACUUUCUCGCUAUUUGAGAAGACCUUUCCUAAGGCUCCUAGGGUGUUUACUAUGUCCGUAAAUCUCAUAUACAUAGAGUACACACUCUCAUUUUAUUCCAUUUGGAACAACUCAUAUUGUCGAGUGUACCUACUGAUUUUUGACUCUUUCACUUGAUUUGUGCCUUCAUACACUACUUCAAGUUUGUGCCAAAUUUCAUUGGCACUUUCACAACUAGAGACUCAAUGAAAUUCUUUCUUAUCAAGUGCACAAAAUAAAGCAUUCAUAACUUUGGAAUUUAGAGAAACUUUUCUCUUUUCCAAUUCAUUCCAUUCCCUUGAAGGCUUUGGAAUAUCUUCCCCGACUUCAUUUUUAUUUAGGGGCAAAAACGGACCAUCACAUACAACUUCCCAAAUUUCAUAAUCUAGUGCUUGUAAAUAAAUUCUCAUCCUAGUUUUCCAAUAUAGGUAGUCAUUUCUGUCAAAGAACGGUAGUCUAGUUGUGAACUGUCAUUCCCUAAAGGUUGAGUCAUUUUGGGUUGCCAUGGAUCUUUUACUCUAGACGGUUAAGUCCUAACAAGAGAACCAAGCUCUGAGACCAAAUGAAAUACAAGUGUGCAACCCAAGAGGGGGGUGAAUUGGGAUUCUAAAAAAUUAUUUGAUUCUAAAUAAAUUAUCAACCAAAUCUAAAAUGAAUUUAAUGGAAUAACACUUAAAUCAAUCACAAUUUAAAUAGAUAAGGGAAGAGAGAUUCAAACACGAAGAUUUUUACGUGGUUCGGCCAACCUCGCCUACGUCCACGCCUCCAAGCUUUCCGGGCUUGAGGAUUUCACUAAGCACACCUCCAAGGCUUCAAAUGCUUACACUUGACUUCCAAGGUGUCAAUGAACCUUUACAACAAGAGAUUAUCCCCAAUCUCUUAACCCAAGUGUAUCCCAACACUUACAAUCACUCAAAGUAAAAGAUUAAAAAUUGUUCUUCUCUUACACAAUAUUUAAGAUUACAAAUCAAUGCCCAAUGUGUGAAUAGAUGAAGCAAGAAUGUGUUUUAAAGUUCUAUGAAGAUUGUAUUCUUGAAUAUAAGCUCAAUGGUCGUGUUGUGAUCAAUCUUGUUUGAAUUUGAAUGAGCUUAUUUAUAGUUGGAGCUGAAAAACUAGCCAUUACAAACUGUCUGCCCUAAAACGGUUCGCUGUUAACCAUUAACUGUUAACCGUUUAGGCAGGUCAAAGGUUACCAUUGGGUCAAAUUUUAAAUAAACGGUUUACCGUUUAUGGUUACCCUUUCACUGUUAAUUCCCAAAGACCUGCAAGAUGAACAUCAGUUAUCCGUUUAUAUUAAACGGUUAAGGAUUUGCAUGAAAUGACUUCUCUGGUAAUUAUCGGUUAGCCGUUUGUAAUUAACGGUUCGCCGUUUUUUUUCAGUAACCUGCAAAAUGAGUUAGCUUUAUCCGUUUCAGUUAAGCUUUUGCCGUUUGUUUCCAGGUACAAUCUUUCAUUCUGGAUUUUAUCGGUUAACCGUUUAAAUAAGCGGUUCGCCGUUAAAUUCCAGUAGCCUUCCCAGCUUUUUGUGUGUUCCGUUUUUCUUAAUCGGUUAGAGCUUAGGCAUUAUGUUGCUCUCUGUUUUUAGUCGGUUAACCGUUUAAAUAAAUGGUUCACUGUUUAUUUCCAGAAUAACAGUUUAAGCCAGAUUUUGCUGAGAAUCAUUUUCCAAUUUGAAAUUUAACAAUGAUCCAUCUUUUAUGAAUAUAAUUGAAAUGUUUAUAAGGCUCCCAUUUAUUAAGAAAUAGCUCCAACAUUUUAAUAAAAAACUAUUUAAAGUUUGUUAUCAUCAAAAUCAAUAUUAUUAACAUAUUCAUGUUAACAAGUUUGUGCUGCCGCAUCUAAAAGUCCAUUGAACUAGUGGAUAUGAAAUAUUAUUUAAAGCCCUAAAAGAUGAUAGAAGGUCAUCUUUGAUCCGUUUGAGCCUUUCUAGCCAACCCUAUUAUAAAGAAUCCAUAGUUAACCCAUUUGAGCCUUUAAAAAAAAAAAAAACUUUUCAUUUGAUAACCUAUUAUCUUAUCCCACUCUAAUGUGGAGUAUCACCUUAUAUUUUAUGUUUUUCCACCACCCAAUUAUGUUUGAAAAUAGGGAUGAUUAUGUAUUCCUAAUAAUGGUGUUAUGAAAAAAAAGAAGAGGAUAUGUAUAUAAAAAAAACAAAAAAAAACACUUAAAAAAAAAAGUACCUUGUAAUCUCCAAAAAGUUUCCUAUUUUUCAAACAUAUAUUUUUGUUUUCCCUAUUACUUUUUUUGUUAGCCAUAACCCUAACCUACGUUACGUCCUAAUAAAAAUCCUUCUUGAUUUUUUAGAAUUAUAGUCUGAAAUAAAAGCUAGUAAUUUGGACUAAAAGAUGUGGUAAUGCAUAAAAAUAAAAAUACAAUUUGGUACUAAUUUCUUGGACUUGAGAUCAUUUUAAAUCUAAGCUAUGGGCAUUAUUUUUUCAUCUUGGUGAGAGCGUGUGAUAUUGUUUUAUUAUUCUCUCAAAUCUACCAUUUUUAGAGUGACAAUUUAAUUUAGAGUAUAUUUUCUUUUGAGAGAGUCACUCUUAAUCGUGAGAUUUUGAGGUUUGAUGUAUUAUUCUUAAAAGUGGCUUGAUUAAUGUAGCUCUAAUAAUUGAUCAUUUUACAAGAUUUUACUGAACUGUUUUGUGUGGGUGUGAUUUUCUUUCAGCUAAAGAUAAUGCUUAUACUUUAAUUUGAUUGUUGUCAUUAAUCUGAUGAAAGAAGUAAACACAUUUUUUCCAAAAAAAAAAAAUAUUUUCAAUUUGAGUUUGAAAUUUUACUAAACUUUUAUCACUUAAAUUGCUAGGGUCUAGCAAUAAGCUGGUUGGGGGUGUGAUUGAUACUAAAAAGUGUACAUUUAAUAAGGAUAAAAUUAUUAGUUUUUCACUUAUUGUGUCGAUUAAUGCGCUCAUUAUUUUUAAAUUAUUUUAAUACUCCCCAAAUAUAUUUUAUAUUAAUUUGCAAUAUAUUAAUUUUUAUCUUGUAAAUAUUUUUCAGGAAAAAAGAUGGAAUUGGAGUUAAAAGCGAGAACAAAGAAGGACAACUCGAGCAAUUUAGAAUUCAUCAAUCGAGGAGAUGUUCUUAAAAAUAAAAAAAAAAGGGAUUGGAAAGCAUGUUGGUGAUGGUCAGGAGGUCAUCACGCCUCCUGACCAUCACGCAAUUCAAUAUGUAUAUAUAAUAUAAAAAUAAACUAAAAUAUUAAUAUUAAUAAAAUAAAAUAAAAAAGAUGAUUCACUUGCCUAUAAAAGGCAAGGGGAUGCAAGCGAAUGAGGAGGCCAGUCGAUAGGGAGCCGAGUUCCGAGAGAGAGUGAUAGGUAAGGGUGUAGCUGAAGAAUUUCUUUCUUUCUUUGUUUCUUUUCUUUUUUGUUUUCGUCUAUAUUGUUGGGUGUUAGAAAAUGAAUAUUUAUAAAAGAGAAAAUCGUCAUUUUACACUUCAAGUUUUACUAACACCCUUACUUUUAUGUAUUUAAACUUCUUGUCAUUUAAUUAUGUGUGUUGUAUUAUAAUUAAGUAUUUUAUGUAUUUUAGGGGCAUCAUAGUCAUUUCACAAUGAACGAGAGAUCAGACGGCAAAAUGGACAUCACUUUUGAACUCAGGACGGUCGAAAACCUUAGGAGGAGCAUAAAAGGAAAAAUAACAUUGUUCACAUGUACGGUACUAUUCACAUGUACGGUACUGUCUACGACACUGUUCACAUAGACGGAUCGAUGACGUGGCAUUGACCGAUGAUGUGGCAUUGACUGAUGACGUGGCGCAAUCCUGAGUGUCCAAAUUGUUUUUAAUCUGUUGGCCAUGAUUUACUCAAUGUAUCUAUAAAAAGAGGGCCUCCCCCCCUAAUUUGAUAGCUCUGAAUCCAUUUUUGGGAUCCAUUUUCUGUAAUUCCUUCUCCAUCUUGUAUUUUCUACAUAUUUUAAUAAAUUUUCAUUUUGCCCCUAGUUCAAUUAUGAGUAGCUAAUUUUCUUUCAAGCUUGGGUUGAAGGUGAAGUCUCAACAUGUGUCAUGGGCUUUAUUUGGUAAAUUUAUUUUCUCUUCCCCUCUAGUUUUUGUGGAUGUUUUGAGUUCUCGUCGACAAAUAAUAAUAAUUUUGGCUAGAUAUCGCCCUGGUUUCACCGGCUCCCUAGUACAAGGUUAUUAUUAUUUGGCACGAUAAGCCCUUAGCACCAUAUUGAUUAAAGUGUGGUUCAUGAGGUGUGGAUUCCCCCCUCAUGAUUUAAUUGGCAUUAAUAAGGAAUAUUUAGCCCAUGGUGCAUGUUGAUACGGAUCCAGAUACCUAUGUACGUCAUUUCAAUAGAUUUCUCUUCAAUUUAUUCUCGUCAUUUCAAUUCCAAUUUUAGGAUAAUCUAAGUCACUUUCACCACAAAUCUAACAGCCCUCAUACAAAAUUAAUUCUACAUAUAAUUAAAAUCUACCUCCUCGUGGGAUCGACACUCGUCACCAUUAAUCUAUUCUACAAUAGAUUUGUGCACUUGCGAGUUCAAUAAAAUUUGCACAACAAGUUUUUGGCGCCGUUGCCGGGGAGGUAAGUUAUUUUAAUUUGUAGAAUUAAUUUUUGUGAAUAAUUUCUUUAUUUGUUUUCUUGUAUUUUUUUUAUUAAAAAAAAAGAAAAAAAGUGAAGCUGCAUUUAGAGGUAAUAAUUUCUUUUCUUUCUCUAUUCGUUACAAUUCUGCACUUUAAUUUUUAAGUUAUUUUUCUUUGUAAUUUUUGUUUAUCUUAUUAAUUUAAUUUUUAGUUAAUUUAUUUCACGAAUGUUUUUUUUUUGUGUGUUUUUUUUAUAGAAAGGUUUUAACAGUGUAAUAAGGUUAGUACCGUAAUUUCUCCUUCUUCUUUAUUUUUAUUUGUUUUGUUCUCAUUUAUUUAUGUUCUUUGCAUGCAUGGUCGAAGGUCAUUAUUACCUAAUCUUGAGCCUAUAGACCUUGAAUUAAAAAAAAUAUUGCGCACACACAAACACGUUAAAAAUAAAAUUGAAAUGGAUUUGCAACAACAACAAGCACCACAUGAGAGGCCAUUUGAGGACUACUUUAGUCCCUUAGCUAAUUUGAGCACAUCAUGCAUAAGAUACCCAAAUGUAGCUGCUAGAAGUUUUAAGCUAAAACCUAGUGUGCGAAAUUGUCUCUCAACAUUCUAUGGCCUAGAAAAUGAGGACUCAUAUAAUCAUCUGACUGAUUUUCAUGUCAUUUGUCAAACUUUUAAAUAUGAAAAUUUUUCAGACGAUGAUGUUAAACUUAGACUAUUCCCAUUUUUUUUAAAGGAUAGAGCUCGUUCAUGGCUCAAUACAUUGCCUGCUAAUAGCAUUACAUCAUGGGAACAAAUGGUAACUAAUUUUUUAUGUUACCAUUUGUACACAAACUUAGACUAUGGCUGUCUCAACGAACUCUUUAUGUUUGCCAUAGUUAAAUCCAGAAAGCACACAAAUAUUCUUGAAUUGUCUAUUGGGAGUAGCUGCCAUUGGGAUACUUUUCAAAAACAAUUUGUGAGUGCUUAACAAAAAGUCAUAUAUAAGAAUCUUGGUGACAGUGGGUCACAACUGUGUAUGAGGUGGCAUGUCAGUGUCAAAUAACGCGUAAAACACAUGGCUCGUGAGUCAAAAAGGAAAUAGUAAAAAAAAACAAUGAUAAAAUAAAAUUAUUAAAGACAAUAAUGGAAAAGAUAAAACAACAGUGAAAAAAAAUAACAGUGAAGUAAAAAGAUAUUUACAAGUAGUUACGACUGUGGCUCACAUCUUCCUCUGGUUUUACGUUCAGAAACAGCUUGAACGGCCUCUAUGGGUCGAGGAUAGGCUUCCCAUCCAGUUUUCUUAUAAACUGGCAAACAGGGUCGUUUACAGUCAGAUUCCCGAGACUAUAUCGUGCAUGCUCUUUCUGGAAUAAUGGUCAUAACUGGAGAAUCACUCCUUGCACAUAUCCACUAGGAUGCGUUUCAAGAGACAGAAGGAUAUCAUCCAAUGACUCCUUAUUCAAGCCAUCCUUACUGAAUUGAAUCUUAUCUUCCUUGCCAAUCGUGCUUUAGCCUCGAUUAACCAACGGAUGUCAACAGGUAUGUUAUUCCUCAUUAGCAAUCGCAUGCAUUCGGACCGAGCUUUAUACAUUGUAAGGAGGGCAUUCUGAGGAAGUGAAGGGAAUCGAUUGUGAAGCUUUGCUAGAAUCUCAUUUCUGUCCAUACCUUCGCCUCAGAAUAUCAGUUAUUAUGGGAAACUGAAGUAACCAACUUGAUUGUCACGGAGUACCGUUAUCCGCCACUUCACUAGGGUAACAAACUAAAGCACACAAACAAACAAAAAAUUAAAACACACAAAGAAAAUUAAAAUCAUCCUCUUAUUGAAUUUACCUCAAGCUCCAACUGGAUGUUGUAGACACUUCUCUCAAUGUCUCUGAGUUGGCUUUCUAAAUUCUCAACAUAGGAUACUAACUCUGGUGGUUGCAGAGCCCAAAUACGAUGUGUUUUACAAAAUCGAAUAUGCCUUUUGAGAUGAGAUUUUACACGUUGAAGUGGUUUAAGAAUGUUCAGGAGGAAUUGUUCAGCUAUGGUACUCAUGAUUAACAAUGAUAAGAGAAAACUUGAUGGUUAAACAAACACACUUAUGCAAAAAUAAUUUCAAUUAGCAAAAGAAUAAUAAAAAGAAAGGAAAAAAAUCAAAUCACCGAAAAGAAAAAAAAAAACUCAAUUCAAAUCUGGUGGGUCACUCGAAUUUAUUUCGGUGUCCUCUCCAUGUGGUUGGUACUCUAGAUAUGGCUUUAAUCUUUGACUAUUAACUUUAAACGUGAGCGUAACUUACCUGGGAAUAAGUGCAAACGAAAAUUGAAUAAAAGCACUUUCUGACCUGGAGUGAAAGAUUUUCUCAUAAUUUGCUUGUCAUGGAAGACUUUCAUUCGCUACUUGUAAAUUUUGGCAUUUUCGUAUGCAUCAUUGCAAAUUUCUUCAAGUUCUGCCAGUUGUAAUCUUCUUUCUGAGCUAGCUUGCUGCAUGUCAAAGUUGAAUUUCUUGAUGGCCCAAUAUGCACGAUGCUCGAGUUCCACAGGUAGGUGGCAAGUUUUUCCAUACACUAGCCUAUAGGGUGACAUUCCAAUCGGGGUCUUGAAAGCCGUUCUAUAUGCCCAUAAUGCAUCAUCAAGUCUUAAUGACCAAUCUUUUAUGUCUGGCCUCACCGUCUUUUUUAAUAUGUGCUUUAUUUCUCGAUUGGAGAUCUCAACUUAGCCACUGGUUUGCGGAUGAUAUGGGAUCCCCACUUUGUGAGUGAUUGAAUACUUCGUCAAAAGAGCCUUGAAUGCUUUGUUACAAAAGUGGGCACUACUAUAACUGAUUAUUGCUCGAGAGAAUCCAAAACAUGAAACAAUGUUGCUUUUUAAAAAUCCUAUCACCACCUUGUGAUCAUUGGUUCUGCAUGGAAUUACUUCUACCCAUUUCGAUACGUAGUCAACAACAACCAAUAUGUAUUGAUGGCCAAAAGAAAGGGGAAAGGGUCCCAUGAAGUUGAUACCCCAUACGUCAAAAAUCUCAACCACUAAAAUUGGAUUUAGUGGCAUUAUGUUCCUUUGUGUAAUGAUGCCCAUUCGUUGACACCUAUCACAUGAAGAACAGAAAGUCUAAGCGUCUCGAAAUAUAGUUGGCCAAUAGAAACCACAUUGUAAAACUUUAGUAAAAUGUUUUCUUAGCAUUGAAAUGGCCUCCACAACCUUGUUCAUGGCAGAAUGAAAGGAUAUUCUGAAUUUCAUUUUCUAGGACACAUCGCCUACUUGAACUAAUAAGGGUCAUCCCAAAAGAAAUUCUUUAUUUCUGUAAAAAAUUUGACCUUGUCUUGCUUGGUCCAAUGCUCUGAAAGUUGACCUGUAACAAGAUAAUUCACGAUGUCAGCAUACCAUGGUAAUACUUCUACACUCAUCAAUUGUUCAUCUAGAAAUGACUCAUUCAAUGUUAAUGGCUCUGUAAUUGUGUCAAAAUAGAGACGAGAGAGAUGGUCUGCCAUAACAUUUUCUGUGCCUUUCUUAUCUUUAAAUUCUAAGUCGAAUUCCUGCAAAAGUAACACCCAACGAAUUAGUCUAGCUUUUGUAUAUUUCUUUAUGAGAAGAUAUUUAAGAGCUGAAUGAUCUGUGAUAUAAUUAUUUUACAACCAAUGAGAUAAGAUCGAAAUUUUUCUAAUGCAAACACUACUGCUAGCAUUUCUUUUUUAGUAGUUGAAUAGUUCAACUGUGCAUUAUUCAAUGUCAUACUAGCAUAGUAAAUAACAUAGGGAAUUCGAUCAACUCUUUGUCCUAACACUGCUCCUACUGCAUAAUCAGAUGCAUCACACAUGAGUUCAAAUGGUAAGCUCUAGUUUGGGGGCUGAAUGAUGGGUAAUGAUGUCAACAAUUGCUUUAGUUUUUCAAAUGCCACAAGACAUGAAUCAUCAAAGAUAAAAGGUACAUCCUUAGCAAGUAAAUUGCAUAAGGGUCUAGAAACUUUGCUAAAAUCUUUGAUGAAACGUCUAUAGAAACCAGCAUGCCCAAGGAAAGAUCUUACUUCUUUAACUGUUUUGGGUGGAGGAAGAUUAGAAAUGAGAUUCACCUUGGCUUUGUCAACCUCAAUACCUUUGCUCGAAAUGAUGUGACCGAGAACAAUACCUUGUUUUACAGUAAAAUGGCACUUCUCCCAAUUGAAGACUAAGUUCUAAGUUCUUCUCGAUACAUCUCUGCAGAACUAGUGUUAGAUGAUUAAACAUUGAUCAAAUGAAUCACCAAAGACAGAAAAGUCAUCCAUAAAGACUUCAAGGAAUCGUUCAAUCAUAUUAGAAAAAAUGCUCAACAUGCAUCGUUGAAAUGUAGUAGGUGCAUUACAUAGUCCAAAUGACAUCCUCCUAUAUGCAAAAGUGGCAAAAGGACAAGUGAAAGUGGUAUUCUCUUGAUCUUUUGGUGCUAUGGGGAUCUGAUUGUAUCUUGAGUAGCCAUCUAGAAAGCAAUAAAAUUCAUGGCCUGCUAAUCUAUCAAGCAUUUGAUCAAUAAAUGGUAAAGGAAAAUGGUCUUUACAUGUGACAGAAUUCAACUUUCUAUAAUCAAUGCAUACACACCAUCUUGUAGUUACUCUAGUUGGUAUCAAUUCAUUAUCAGCAUUGGUAACUACUGUGACUCCUGACUUUUUGGGGACAACUUGCACAGGACUAACCCAUGAACUAUUAGAAAUUGGAUAAAUGAUACCUGCGUCUAAUAGCUUAAGGACUUCAGUUCUAAUAACUUCUUUCAUAUUAGGAUUUAACUGACGUUGCAUUUCCCUAGUAGAUUUAGCAUUUUCAUCAAGGUGAAUGUAAUGCAUGCAGUCUAUUGGGUUUAUACAUUUUAUGUCUGCUAUGGUCCAUCCUAAUGCUCCUUUGUGCUCUUUUAAAACAUCCAACAACUUACUUUUUUGUUCUUCACUUAGGGAUGAUGAGAUGAUUACCUUCUCCUAAAAAUGCAUAUUCCAAAGUGUUGGGUAAUGGUUUGAGCUCGAGUUUCGGUAGUGAUUUUGAUGAUGGGAUGAGUUUCUUCUCUGAUGGUGCUAGUUGCUCAACUCUUGACUUCAAUUUAUUAGUGUCCAUGGAUGGUGCUGAGUCAAGUAGGGCAUUGACCUAAUCGACUGAUUUGUCAAUAUCAAAAUCCAAACCAAAGUGAGUUAAACAUGUUUGUAAAUGAUCAUCACUAAGGUUUGAAAGAAAAGUAUUAUCAACUAUUGUUUCAAUUAAAUCCACAUCAAUAAUUCCAUCAUCUGCAUUGUGAGGUUGUUUGGCAAUGUUUAGCUCCAUAGUCAUGUUGCCGAAGGACAACUGUAUAUUUCCAGUCCUGCAUUGAAUGUGAGCAUCCGCAGUUGCCAAGAAAGGUCGGCCUAGAAUAAUGGGGAUGUGCUUCCUUGAAUCCUGUAUUGGUUGAGUGUCAAUUACAAUGAAAUCAACAGGAAAAUAAAACUUGUCUACCUGGAUAAGCACGUCCUCCACAAUACCACGAGGUAUUUAUUGUGCAAAUUUUAUUGAACUCGCAAGUGCACGAAUCUAUUGUAGUAUAGAUCAAUGGUGACGAGUGUCGAUCCCACGAGGAGGUGGAUUUUAAUUGUGUGUAUAAUUAAUUUUCUAAAUGGGUGGUUGGAUUUGUGGUGAAAAUGAUUUGGAUUAUCCUAAAAUUUGAAUUAAGAUGGCAAGAAUAAAUUGAAGUGAAAAUCUAUUAAAUUGACGUACUUGGGUAUCUGGAUCCGCAUCAACAUGCACCAUGGGCUAAAUAUUCCUUAUUAAUGCCAAUUAAAUCAUGAGGGGGGAAUCCACACCUCAUUAACCACACUCUAAUCAAUAUGGUGCUAAGGGCUUAUCGUGCCAAAUAAUAAUAACCUUGUACUAGAGAGCCGGUGAAACCAGCAUGGUAUCUAGACAAGAUUAUUAUUAUUUGUCGAUGAGAAGUCAAAACAUCCACAAAAACUAGAGGGGAAGAGAAAAUAAAUUUACCAAAUAAAGCCCAUGACACAUGUUGAGACUUCACCUUCAACCCAAGCUUGAAAGAAAAUUAGCUACUCAUAAAUGAACAAGGAGCAAAAUGGAAAUUUAUUAAAAUACGUAGAAAAUAUAAAAUGGACAAGGAAUUACAGAAAAUGGAUCCCAAAAAUGGAUUCAGAGAUAUCAAAUUAGGGGGGGAGAGCCCCCUUUUUAUAGAUACAUUGAGUAAAUCAUGGCCAUCGGAUCAAACAUAUUUCGGACGCUCAGGAUUGCGCCACAUCAUCAGUCAACAGUACGCGGUUUGACCACGCGGUUUGAACAGUAACACGGUUUGACCCGGCAUGAACAGUGACACGAUUUGGUUGAAAAUAAUCAUGUGUAAUGCAUGUACCGUACGCGAGAUUUUUGAUCCACUGAUAUGCUGCUACGUCAUCGAUCAACAAUACAUAAGAAUUUUAGUCCAAUAGGAUCGUGACACCUCAUCAGUCAAUGUCACAUCAUCGGUCAAUGCCACGUCAUCGUUCCGUCUAUGUGAACAGUGUCGUGAACAGUACCGUACAUGUGAAUAGUAUCGUACAUGUGAACAGUGAUAUUUUUCCUUUUAUGCUCCUCCUAAGAUUUUCAACUGUCCUAAGUUCAAAAGUGAUGUCCGUUUUGCCGUAUGAUUUCUCGUUCAUUGUGAAAUGACUAUGAUGCCUCUAAAAUACAUAAAAUACUUAAUUAUAAUACAACACACAUAAUUAAAUGACAAGAAGCUUAAAUACAUAAAAGUAAGGGUGUUAGUAAAACUUGAAGUGUAAAAUGAAGAUUUUCUCCUUUAUAAAUAUACAUUUUCUAAUACUCAACGCACCCCCCAACCAGCUUAUUGUUAGUCCCUAGCAAAUAAAGCGAAAAUAAAAUUCAAAUCCAAAAUGCUUUUUAUUUUUUUUAUUUUUUUUAACAAUCAUGUUUAUUCAAUCAGACUAAUGAUAGUAAUCAAAUAAAAGUAUAAGCAUUAUCUCCAGUCUAAAGAAACAUCACACCCACAUCAACCAUCCACAUGAAUCAGCCCAGUAGACUUUAUCAUAUCUACUUUCAAGAAUGACAUGUCAAACCCCAAAAUCUCACUGGAAGUAGUGACACUCUCACAAAGAAAUUAAACCCAAUAAAAAUAGUCACUCCAAUGAAUGGUAAUUGAGAGAAAACAAUAAAGAAGUGAUAUCACAUGCUCUCACCAAGAUGAAAGAAAUAUGCCCUCAGCUUAGAAAUAAUACGAUCUCGAGUCAAAUAAAAAUGCUAGUUAACCCAAUUUAUUUAUUUUUAUUUAUUAUUUUUUUUAUGCACCACUACUUCUUUUUAGCCCAUAUAACUAGCUUCUACUUCAUAUUAUAGUUCCCUAAAAUCAAGAAAGACUUUUAUUAGGACGUAACGUAGACUAGGGACAUGGCUAACAAAUGAAGGGAAAUAAGGAAAACAAAGUGUAUGUUUGAGAAAAAUGCAGAGAUUUUUGUUUUGUUUUUUUUUUGGAAGUUACAAGGUGGAUUUCACCUAUUAUUGUUAUUUUUUUCUCUUUUUUUUUUAAACAACAAUUUUUUUUUUGUUUUUUGCUUUUGUUUGGCACAACGUCACUAAACAAAAUAAUUAUUUAAAUUUUUCUCAAACAUAAAUAGGUGAUGGAACUUAUAAGAUAUUGGGUAAUACUCCAAAUUAAAGUGGGUCAAGAUGAUAAGUUGACAAAGAAAAUGUUUUUUUUUUUUUUCUUAAGGCUCAAAAGGGUUAACUAUGGAUAUUUCACAAAAGGGAUGGUUAGAAAGGCUCAAACGAAUCAAAGAUGGUCUUUCCAUUAUUUUGUAGGGCUCUAAAGAAUCUUCCAUAUCUACUAGUUAGAUGGGCCUCCAGAUGUAGCAAUACACAUUUUUUUCUUUUUUUCUCUUUUUUUUUUUAAUUUUACAACAACUUUUUUUUUAAGGGUUAACUCAAAAGAAAUCUAGAGAUCAUGUAUAAAAUAAUAAAUUGCUAAGCUAUAUGAAGAAUGGGCAAAAUGGUUACUCUCCAAGAAAAAUGAUAGGCUCAAGAACUCACUUGGUACUUAUUAUAACAUGUUCAUUCCUUCAAGUAACUCAUAUUUGUCUCCGACAUCAACAUGUGGAGUAGCAAAUAUAGCGUAACAUCACUUAAGACAAAAGAUAAUACAAAUACUAAAAUUUGAAAUUAAUCAUGUCAUCCAAGGUUAAAACAAAUCACACAAUUUUUUUUUUCAAACAACAUCUUAUCCCCCCAACCUAUUCCAAACAUAAAAGGAAAAUAUGCAUGUAGAAAUGUGAAAAUGAUGUAGAAAAACUAAUUAGAAAAAUUACACUUAAAAUGAUAAAAAAAAUGAUUUUUUUUUUAACUAAGAAGAUGCGUUUCUAGAGGCACUACACUCCAUAUUCAGCCAUCUUCGACUCAAAAAUUUGAAAGUGUAUAUUUAUAAAGGAGAAAUUAGAAAGAAGAAGUUAGAAAAAUAAUUGUCAAAGCUUAAUAAAGAAAAAGAAAUGUUUGGAAUUUUUUUUGUUUUUUUUAUUUUUUAUUUUUUUGGUUUUUUUUCUCAAACAAAGAAGAUGCGUUUCUAGAGUCACUACACUCUAUAUUCAGCCAUCUUCAACAUAAAACGUUAGCCACGGUUAGUCUCUAUAGUAAAAAAUUAGUAAAAACUUAACCAAGAUUCGACAAUUGUCAACUAUUCCCUCCCCCCAACCAGAAUGAAACAUUGUCCUCAAUGUUUGAAAGGAAAGAAGUAGAGUUUAGAAGACAUCAUCUGGGUGGUGUAACACAAAAGAAAAUAUUUACAAGCGGAGAGUUAAAUCUAAUUUGUACUUCUUACUGCGGCUACUGUUACCAUCAUUAUUUGGACGCUCCAACACAAAGGUCUAGGGGUCUGGCUCUGGUCUAUAAGCUUGUAACAUAUCAAGUAGGUCAUUAGCAGUGUGAGCACAAAUAAAAAGCUUUUUCGCUGUGGAAGGAAUGAAAUAGUUUUUUAUUGUAUGGUUAAGAAAUGCGAUAAAGCCAUCAUAAAAGUUAUUGACAUUUAACAAACCGAUAGGUUUAUGGUGGAUGUGCAGUGGGCCCAAGAUGCUAGUGUGAUAAGUGCCUCUAGUGUUGAGAGAUCUCCUGGAAGGAAAAUAAAAGCAUCAGCAUGAUUAAGCAUUUCAGUUAUUCUUUCUUGCAUACCUGAGACGACUAACUCUUCUCCAGUCGCUGAGUCAGACAAACUGCCCAAAGGUUUUAAGACGCUUGGGCUGAUGCCUAACACUUGGCUUCCUCUAAUAUAUAAAAAAAAAAAUGUGUGAAUAAUCUAUUGCCUAAAGAUAUAAUUUCUAAUGAAUUUUAGAACGAAAAUGUUGUUUUUCUUUUAAUGAAGCCCCAUAAGUAUUGUGUUAAUUACUUGAGCACAAAAGAAGGUUUGAUGAUAUUCUGGAUAAUGAGUGAACAUCAAUGUGGUAAAGGAAUUUGGGAGAGUUCAUUUAUUUGGUAAUUUAGAGGAUAGAUGAACAACUAUUAACUUGCAUGUGAAUUUUAUAAAUCUUAAUAUAACGCUUUAAUUGCUAGAGGGCUAGCAAUAAGCUGGUUGGGGGGUGUGAUUAGUAUUAAAAAUUGUUUAAUUAUCAAGCGAUAAUAUGUUAUUUUAUGCUUAUGUUAUAAUUUAUAUUUGUCUUUAUGUAAUAUAUUAUGAAUUAUUAAUUAUGUUUUAAAUAUAUUUAAUUUUGUGUAUUUUUAUGUGUUUAUUAGGAAAAUUAUUAAUUUCACGUACUUCGAGGCUCCAAACAGAUAAACGGAGGUCAAAUUUGGAUUUCGGAGGUCCGAAAACCUUAAAAUUGGGCUUGUGUAAAAAAAGUUGACUUUUCCUGUUUACCGAGCACUGAUUGGAUGAUGAAAUGAGCUUACAAUAGAUAUGAGUGCAUGGGAUAACUGGCAAUCUUGACUAAAUCUCAACCGUUCAUGAUUCAAUGGCCAUGAUUGUGCCACAUGGCAAUGGUUGGUGAAGCAAGUUGGAGGAUCCGAAUCUUUGUAUUCGGGUCGACCCGAUCCACCCAUUAACCCGCCAAAUCUCAACCGUUCUUUGGGCAAAUCGGACGAGUCAAAUGAUGCCAUGUGUGAUGUUGACUUUUGAAGUUUGACCAGCCAUUGGAUCUUGAUCUAAGGGUUGUGAGGAGCACAUGCAUGAAGCCUAUGAUGGACCGCAAAGCACUGGAUUAUGAAUUUAUUUUUCUAUAAAUAGGGCCUCAUUUUUAUGUUUUAAGGAUCUCUCUACAACUCUCUUCUUCUCAAAUUCUCUCCAUCUCCUUGUAAUCUUGAUUUCCAGGUGUGUUUUUAAUAUUUUGUAUAAUUAUUUUCAUUAAUAAAAUUAGUUUUAUUUCCAAUUUUAGUUGUUUUUAUUUCUUUUAAUUAUAAGUAAUUCAAUUUUACUACUUCUUUUUAUUUUAAUUAUGCUUAACUAAAUAAUAUUAGUUAGGGGAAGGUGAAACUCUUAAGAAAUAAAUAUGAUUUAAUCAAAUUCUAUGUUUAAUUUUAUAAAUUAAAUUAUUUUCUAUUUAAUUUUAUACAUGUUUUAUAUUUUGAAAAUUUGAUUUAUUGUAGACAAACAAAUGAAUUUGGCACAAUAAAUUCUUAAGAUCUUAAUAUAAGACAUGGUGAAAUGGUAAUUUGACUUAUUGUAGACAAAUUAAAUUUCGGCACAAUAAAUACUUAAUCCAUCAUAAAAUUAAAGGGAAAAUAAUAAUAAUUUGUAUAAUUAAUCUUUUGAGUAAUAAAUCUAAAACAAAUUGGCAAAAAGAAUUUAUUAAGUUCUAUUUAUUUCUAAGAGUGGAUCCAUAACCCUAACUAGUUCAAUUCCAUAGUUUCAUUUAAAUUAAGUUGUUUAUAUUCAAGUUUUAAUUUCAAUUUUUAGAUAAAAUAAAAUAAACUAAUUAAAUAUUUUCUCUGUGGAUCGACCUCGGACUCACCGAGUUAUAAUACAACAAGACACUCUUAUACUUGGGAGUUAAAAUUUACCUUUAAGUUGUGUCAAGUUUUUGGCGCCGUUGCCGGGGAAAAGUUUUUUAUUUGGUUUGUUUUUCCGUUUUCUUUUUUUCUCUUAUAUGUAAAAUAUCGUUUGCCCCCUUUUCCUUUUCUUAAAUUCUCUUUUGUCUCCAUAUCUUUCAUAAUUCUCGUUUCACCCCAACAAUUUCCUUUUCUAGCCCAAUCUUCUGGUAAUUACGUUCGGACCCCGACAUCUUUCAACUGUUUCACUUUCAUCCCAAAUUGCAAAUUCUAAACUUCUAAAAAUUACAGUUUGACCAUAAAAUUAAAAAUAAUUUGCAAUAGAAUCCCUAGACGAAAUUCCUCAACAUAAUCAAGACUUGGACAUAUUUGGACAUAUUUGGACUUAUUUUGGACCAAAUCUUAGAAAGAGUAGCAGGACAUCCCUACUACUGUUUUUUAUAUGGAUAUUCAGGUUAUUAUCAAAUUCCUAUAGCACUUGAGGACCAAGAAAAGACCACAUUCACAUGUCCUUUUGGAACAUUUGCAUGUAAAAGAAUGUCAUUCGGGCUUUGUAAUGCUCCUGCAACAUUUCAAAGAUGUAUGUUAAGCAUUUUUUGUGAUAUGGUUGAACAUUGUUUAGAGGUCUUUAUGGAUGAUUUGACUGUGUUUGGGAAUUCUUUUGAUGAUUGCCUUGAUAAUUUGGAGAAAGUUUUAAAAAGAUGUGUUGAAAAAGAACUCGUGUUGAAUUGGGAAAAAUGUCACUACAUGGUUACUUCUGGAAUUGUUUUGGGUCAUGUUGUUUCUAUUAAAGGAAUUGAAGUUGACAAAGCAAAAAUUGAAGUCAUAUCUAAAUUGCCACAACCAAAAACAGUUAGAGAUGUGCGAUCCUUUUUAGGACAUGCAGGAUUUUAUAGGAGGUUUAUAAAAAACUUUAGUGCCAUAUCUAAACCACUUUGUAACCUCUUAUUAAAAGAUGCACUGUUUGAAUGGAAUGAUGAUUGCCAAAAAUCUUUUGAAAAAAUAAUUUGUCUUUUAACAUCUGCACCUAUUAUGCAAUCUCCUGAUUGGUCUUUGCCAUUUGAAUUAAUGUGUGAUGCAAGUGAUUUUGCUGUUGGUGCUGUUUUAGGACAAAGAAGGGAUGGUAAGCCUUUUGUGAUUUAUUAUGCGAGUAAGACUUUGGAUAGUGCUCAAAUGAAUUAUUCUACAACUGAAAAAGAAUUACUUGCUGUGGUAUUUGCAUUAAACAAAUUCCGUUCAUAUUUGCUUGGCUCUAAAUCUGUUGUGUUUACUGACCAUGCUGCUGUGAGAUAUUUGAUGAGUAAACAGGAUGCCAAACUGAGACUAAUUCGUUGGAUUUUGUUACUACAAGAAUUUGACCUUACCAUCAAAGAUAAAAAGGGUGCUGAAAAUGUUGUUGUUGAUCAUCUAUCAAGACUCACAUCCGAAUUCUGCAAUGAUAUAACACCCAUAAACAAUUCUUUCCCUGAUGAAUUUUUAUUUUCUGUUACUUCAAUGCCAUUGUAUGCUAAUAUUGUUAAUUUUCUUGUUACAGGUAAAAUGCCUUUGCAAUGGAAUGCUCAAGAGAAGAACAAAUUUUUUGUUGAAGUAAAGAAAUUUUAUUGGGAUGAUCCUUAUUGGUUCAAAUAUUGCCCAGAUCAAAUUUUUCGGCGAUGUAUUCCUGAUAAUGAGGUAAGUAGUGUUAUUAAUUUUUGUCAUUCUGAAGCAUGUGGUGGUCACUUUUCUUCAAGAAAAACUACUGCUAAAAUUUUGCAGUGUGGGUUUUAUUGGCCUACCAUGUUUAAAGACACAUAUGAAUUUUGCAAAAGUUGUGAAAAAUGUCAAAAAUUGGGAUCAAUUACAAAAAGAAACAUGAUGCCCUUAAAUCCCAUACUUGAAAUUGAAAUAUUUGACUGUUGGGGAAUUGAUUUCAUGGGUCCAUUUCCAUCAUCUUUUGGAUUUGUAUAUAUAUUAGUUGCAGUUGAUUAUGUCUCAAAAUGGAUUGAAGCAAUUUCUUAUCGAAAUAAUGACAGUAAAACUGUGAUUAAAUUUUUAAGAGAAAACAUUUUAAUUCGAUUUGGAAUCCCUCGAGCCAUUAUCAGUGAUGGAGGUAAGCAUUUUUGUAAUAAGUCAUUUGAGUCUUUAAUGAAGAAAUAUGGAAUUACACAUAAAAUUGCUACCCCUUAUCAUCCUCAAACAAAUGGUCAAGUUGAAUUAGCAAAUAGGGAGAUAAAACAAAUUUUGGAAAAAACGGUUAACCCAAACCGAAAAGAUUGGUCUCUUAGACUUAAUGAUGCACUUUGGGCUUACCGCACUGCAUUUAAAACAUCAUUAGGAAUGUCACCCUAUCGGUUAAUUUAUGGUAAACCUUGUCAUUUACCUGUUGAACUUGAACAUAAAUCACUUUGGGCUAUUAAAGCUUUUAAUUCAAAUUUGGAUGAUGCUGGUAAUGUGCGAAAAUUGCAAUUGAAUGAACUUGAGGAAUUAAGGAAUGAUGCAUAUGAAAAUUCAAGAAUUAUUAAGGCAAGAACAAAAGCAUUUCAUUAUAAAAGAAUUUUUUGAAAAACAUUUGAGAUUGGUCAAAAAGUGUUGCUUUAUAAUUCUCGUCUUCAUUUAUUUCCAGGAAAGUUAAAGUCAAAAUGGAGUGGCCCAUUUGUUGUAAAAAAUGUAUAUUCAUAUGGGGCCAUAGAAAUUGAGAAUCCAAAUAACGGUGUCACAUUUAAAGUUAAUGGUCAAAGAUUAAAACCAUAUCUGGAACAUCACCCACGUGACGAGGACACCGAAAUUAAUUUGGAUGACCCACCAGUUCUUGAUUAAGUCUUUAAUGAUUUUUUUUUGUUUUACUAUUAUUUUACCGUUUCAUUGUUUGAUUUUUUUUCUUUAGAUUGAUGCACUGUACAUAGUUUUUUUUUAACAUUGUUUUUCUUGUGUAAGCGUGUUUGUUUGACAGUUGUACAUUCUCUCAUCAAUUUUCAUUUUACAUCAUGAGCAUCUCAAUGAGAAAAUACAUGUUCGCCGAAAUCUUUUAAGAUUUCGGCGUAUAAAAUUUCACUUAAGAGGCCUGAUACAAAGCUGUAAAUCACAUCCACUUUAGGAUCUGCAACCACCAGAAUUCGUGUCCUAUGUUGAGGAUCUAGAGGGACAACUCAGAACAGUAGAGAGUGGCAUAUAUGAAUUUCAAAUGGAGCUUGAGGUUAACUCAAUGAGAGGACGAAUGUAAGUUCAUUUUCCUUUUAUAUUGUGUGCUUUUUUUUUUGCUCGCUUUCACGCUUGAUUUGAUUUUGCAGAUUUGAUUUUGGUGUGUUUUGAUUUAUUUUCCCGUAUAAAUGGCGGAUAACGGUACUCCGUGACUUCUUAAGUCGGUAUCUUCAGUUUCCCACAAUAACUGAAACCCCAAAAUCAAACAUGGAAGAAAUACAACAUAAACUCCAUAAGCAUUUUCCCUCUCUCCCUCAGAAUGCCCUCAGGAAAAUUUACAAAGCUCGUUGUGAACGACUGCGUUUGUUAAUGAUCAAUGGCAUUCCUUCUGACAUUCGUUGGUUAAUUGAAGCAAAGGUCCGAUUAGCAGGUGAGUUUUCUGGUCAAUUUGUUUCUUACAUGCCUGGUUUUGGUAAAAGUAUGUUUGCUAAGAAAAGGAGAGCUAAACGACUUGGCUCAAAAUGUCAUAACUGUGUAAGACUUGGUUGCAAACGACCGGAUUGUAAAUCUUUAGGAAUGGUUUCUGAUACUCGUGAAGAUAAAAUUAAAUUCGUUAAAGAUGGCAUGAGUAAAGAAUCGUUGGAUGAUAUCUUACGAUCUCCUGAGACGCAUCGAAGCGGAAUUGUGCAACGUGAGAUUUACAAUUUGUGGAUACUAUUCCAAAAACAAAGUGCACAGUUAAGUCUUGGGAAUCUGACUCAAAAAGACCCUGUUUGCCAGUUUAUAAGAAAACUGGAUGGGAAGCCGAUCCUCGACCCAUAGAGGGCGUUCAAGCCGUUACUGGACGUAAAACCAGAGAAAGAUGUGAGCCACAAUCACAACUACCAGUAAAUAUCCUUUCACUUCACUGUUAUUUUACUUUACUGUUAUUUUAUCAUUUGCAUUAUUGCAUUUAGCGAUGUGAUUUUGUAUUUAUUUGGUUUCUUUUACUGUUUGCUUUUUCUAAUCAUUACUUUUUUUUACUGUUUGUUUUUGAAUUAUUGACCCACGAGCUUUCCUCGUCAUUUGACAAAUAUGCCAACCCAUUUACAGCUGUUUCUCAUUAUUUAUGUCACCAAGAUCUUUAAAUAUGAGCUCGAUUUUCAAACACUCACAACUUGUUUUUGAAAAAUUAGUCCAAUGGCAGCAUCUUCGAGUAAACAAUUCAAAAAUAUUUGUGUGCUUUCUGGGUUUCACUAUGGAAAGUACAAAGAGUUCGUUCAGGCAGCUGUAGAUCUUGGUCGUAUCAUAGCAGAGAGGAAACUGCAUCUUGUAUAUGGAGGAGGUGAAUGAGGGUUAUCAAGACUUGUCUCAGAAGCUGUUUUUACCAGAGGAAGCCAAGUACUCGGCAUUAUCCCAAAACCCAUGAAACCGCUAGUGUGCAUGCCUGGCCCACCAAUUGGAGAAGAAUUAGUGGUAUCAAGUAUGCAAGAGAGAAUAUCUGAAAUGAUGAAUCAUGCUGAUGCUUUUAUUUUCUUACCAGGAGAUCUUGCAACUUUUGAGGCACUAAUUACAUUUGCAUCCUGGGCCCACUUGAACAUUCAUCAAAAACCCAUCGGUUUGUUAAAUGUUAAUAAUUUUUAUGACGGCUUGCUAACUUUUAUUAACCAUGCAAUAAAGAAUCAUUUUGUUCCACGUUCUGUAAAAAAACUCUUUAUCUCUGCUUCUACUGCUAAUGAGUUACUUGAUCUUUUAUAAGCUUAUACACCAGAGCCAGAUCCACAGACUGUUGCACUGAAUUGGUCGACUAAUGAUGGCAACGGUAACAGUAACAGUAAUAAGAAGUGCGAUUUAGAUUUAACUCUCCGUUUGUAAAUAUUUUCUGUUGUAGUGUUCAUGUGAUGUCUUCUACACUCUUUCUCUUUUCUUUUAAAACAUUGAGGACAAUGUCUUUUUCAGGUUGGGGGGAGGGAAUAGUUGAUAAUUGUGGAAUGUCUUAGUCCUGGUUAUGUGUUUAAAAAAAAAAAAAAAAACAAUUACAAAAUUUUUUUUUUCUGUAAAGACUAACUUAGGACAAAUUUGAGUCGAAGAUGGCAGGAUAUAGAGAAUGUAGUCUCUCUAGAAACGCAUCUUCUUAAUCUUAAGGGUGUUGUUAAAAUAAAAAAAAAACAAAAAAAAAAUUGACUUUUUCUUCAUCUUUGUUAUCUACUUUUAAGCUUCUGCAUCAAGUUCAGGUGAGAUCUCCUCUUCUUCUUCUUUUAUUAUUCUCUUUUAUUUUUAUUUUUUAUUAUUAUUAUUUUUUUUUUGCAUAUCUGUAAAAUUUUAAAAUGUUAGGAUAAUGUUUAGAUUAGGUUGUGGGGUGGGGAUAAUUGACGUAUGUUUUAAAUAUGUGUGUUGUUUUUUCUCUUUUCUCUUUUCUUUUCUUUGCCAAAAAAAAAAAAUUGUUUUUUGUCUAGGAUGGCCGUGUAAAGAGUCACGACUUUUGAGACGCAUCCUAAUAGUCUUGUUGUAUUAUAUUUUGAUUUUGAGAUUCAUAGUAAGUUGUUUUUGUUCCCUUUUCUUUGAAUUACUCAAAUUUGUGAACUCUCCACUUGGUUAUUAAGUUAUUUAAUUGUUUACUCAUUUAACAGGUAUUAUUGAAUCAUUCUUCACACACACAUUAUGACACAUACUAGUGGGUUGUAAGUUAAAAUUUUACAGCAUUUAGUUCUUUUGAUUUAUUAGGAAAAGUAUCUAAGGUAGUAGAAAGUGUAUAUUUCCAAAAAAAAAAAAAAAAGUAGAAAAAAAAAUUGUUUUUAAUUUUUCUAUAUCUAGAACCCGAGUAAUUAAGUCCGUAGGGGUGUUUCAACACCUAGUGCCCUAAGGUCAACUGGUCUGGGAGUCACUGGCCUAAAGCUCGCUACAUGGGUAAUAGAUAUAUUGUUUGUUUAUUAGAAACCCGAGUAAUUAAGUUCGUAGGGGUGUUUCAACACCUAGUGCCCUAAGGCCAACUGGUCUGGGAGUCACUGACCUAAAGCUCGCUACACGAGUUAGAAAUGUAAUAUAUAAAAAAAAAAUGUGUGAAUAAUCUAUUGCCUAAAGAUAUAAUUUCUAAUGAAUUUUAGAACGAAAAUGUUGUUUUUCUUUUAAUGAAGCCCCAUAAGUAUUGUGUUAAUUACUUGAGCACAAAAGAAGGUUUGAUGAUAUUCUGGAUAAUGAGUGACCAUCAAUGUGGUAAAGGAAUUUGGGAGAGUUUAUUUAUUUGGUAAUUUAGAGGAUAGAUGAACAACUAUUAACUUGCAUGUGAAUUUUAUAAAUCUUAACAUAACGCUUUAAUUGCUAGAGGGCUAGCAAUAAGCUGGUUGGGGGGUGUGAUUAGUAUUAAAAAUUGUUUAAUUAUCAAGCGAUAAUAUGUUAUUUUAUGCUUAUGUUAUAAUUUAUAUUUGUGUUUAUGUAAUAUAUUAUGAAUUAUUAAUUAUGUUUUAAAUAUAUUUAAUUUUGUGUAUUUUUAUGUGUUUAUUAGGAAAAUUAUUAAUUUCACGUACUUCGAGGCUCCAAACAGAUAAACGGAGGUCAAAUUUGGAUUCCGGAGGUCCGAAAACCUUAAGAUCAGUCAAGAUCGGCUUAAAAUUGGGCUUGUGUAAAAAAAGUUGACUUUUCCUGUUUACCGAGCACUGAUUGGAUGAUGAAAUGAGCUUACAAUAGAUAUGAGUGCAUGGGAUAACUGGCAAUCUUGACUAAAUCUCAACCGUUCAUGAUUCAAUGGCCAUGAUUGUGCCACGUGGCAAUGGUUGGUGAAGCAAGUUGGAGGAUCCGAAUCUUUGUAUUCGGGUCGACCCGAUCCACCCAUUAACCCGCCAAAUCUCAACCGUUCUUUGGGCAAAUCGGACGAGUCAAAUGAUGCCAUGUGUGAUGUUGACUUUUGAAGUUUGACCAGCCAUUGGAUCUUGAUCUAAGGGUUGUGAGGAGCACAUGCAUGAAGCCUAUGAUGGACCGCAAAGCACUGGAUUAUGAAUUUAUUUUUCUAUAAAUAGGGCCUCAUUUUUAUGUUUUAAGGAUCUCUCUACAACUCUCUUCUUCUCAAAUUCUCUCCAUCUCCUUGUAAUCUUGAUUUCCAGGUGUGUUUUUAAUAUUUUGUAUAAUUAUUUUCAUUAAUAAAAUUAGUUUUAUUUCCAAUUUUAGUUGUUUUUAUUUCUUUUAAUUAUAAGUAAUUCAAUUUUACUACUUCUUUUUAUUUUAAUUAUGCUUAACUAAAUAAUAUUAGUUAGGGGAAGGUGAAACUCUUAAGAAAUAAAUAUGAUUUAAUCAAAUUUUAUAAAUUAAAUUAUUUUCUAUUUAAUUUUAUACAUGUUUUAUAUUUUGAAAAUUUGAUUUAUUGUAGACAAACAAAUGAAUUUGGUACAAUAAAUUCUUAAGAUCUUAAUAUAAGGCAUGGUGAAAUGGUAUUUUGACUUAUUGUAGACAAAUUAAAUUUUGGCACAAUAAAUACUUAAUCCAUCAUAAAAUUAAAGGGAAAAUAAUAAUAAUUUGUAUAAUUAAUCUUUUGAGUAAUAAAUCUAAAACAAAUUAGCAAAAAGAAUUUAUUAAGUUUUAUUUAUUUCUAAGAGUGGAUCCAUAACCCUAACUAGUUCAAUUCCAUAGUUUCAUUUAAAUUAAGUUGUUUAUAUUCAAGUUUUAAUUUCAAUUUUUAGAUAAAAUAAAAUAAACUAAUUAAAUCUUUUCUCUGUGGAUCGACCUCGGACUCACCGAGUUAUAAUACAACAAGACACUCUUAUACUUGGGAGUUAAAAUUUACUUUUAAGUUGUGUCAGGCUGCAUCAACAAACUCUUUAUGUUUAUCAUAGUUAAAUCCAAAAAGCACACAAAUGUUCUUGAAUUGUCUAUUGGGAGUAGUUGCCAUUGGGAUACUUCUCAAAAAUAAUUUGUGAGUACUUAACAACAAGUCAUAUUUAAGAAUCUUGGUGACAAUGGGUCACAGCUGUGUAUGAGGUAAUAUGUCAGUGUCAAAUAACGUGUAAAGCACAUGACUCGCGAGUCAAAAAGGAAACAGUAAAAAGAAAAAUAAACAAUGAUAAAAUAAAAUUAUUAAAGACAAUAAUGCAAAUGAUAAAACAACAGUGAAGUAAAAAGAUAUUUACAGAUAAUUGCGACUGUGGCUCACAUCUUUCUCUAGUUUUACGUCCAGAAACGGCUUGAACGCCCUCUAUGGGUCGAGGAUAGGCUUCCCAUCCAGUUUUCUUAUAAACUGGCAAACAUGGUCGUUUAUAGUCAGAUUCCCGAGACUAUAUCGUGCAUGCUCUUUCUGGAAUAAUGGCCAUAACUGUAGAAUCGCUCCUUGCACAUAUCCACUGGGAUGCGUUUCAAGAGACAGAAGGAUAUCAUCCAAUGACUCCUUAUUCAAGCCAUCCCUAAUGAAUUGAAUCUUAUCUUCCAUGUUAUCAGACACCAUUCCUAAAGAACAUGAGUUUUUAUUGCAGCUCAUUCUAGCACAUUUAUGACAAGCAACAUAAAUUCUUCGAGCUCUUCGUUUUCUUACAUAAUUUCCUUUACCACAACCAGGCAUGUAUGCAAUAAAUUUUGGAGGUAACUCACCUGCCAAUCGUACUUUAGCCUCGAUUAACCAACGGAUGUCAGCAAGUAUGUUAUUCCUCAUGACCAAUCGCAUGCGUUCGGACCGGGCUUUAUAGAUCGUAAGGAGGGCAUUCUGAGAAAGUGAAGGGAAUCGAUUGUGAAGCUUUGCUAGAAUCUCGUUUCUGUCCAUACGUUCGCCUCAGAAUAUCAGUUAUUAUGGGAAACUGAAGUAACCGACUUGAUUGUCACGGAGUACCGUUAUCCGCCACUUCACCGGGGUAACAAACUAAAUCACACAAACAGAAAAAUAAAUUAAAACACACAAAGAAAAUUAAAAUCGUCCUCUUAUUGAAUUUACCUCAAGCUCCAACUAGAUGUUGUAGACACUUCUCUCAAUGUCUCUGAAUUGACGCUCUAAAUCCUCAACAUAGAGUACUAACUCUGGUGGUUGCAGAGCCCAAAUACGAUGUGUUUUACAAAAUCGAAUCUGCCUUUUGAGAUGAGAUUUUACAUGUUGAAGCGGUUUAAGAAUGUUUAGGAGGAACUGUUUAGCUAUGGUACUCAUGAUUAACAAUGAUAAGAGAAAACUUAAUGGUUAAACAAACACACUUAUGCAAAAUAAUUUCAAUUAGCAAAAGAAUAAUAAAAAAAAGGAAAAAAAUCAAAUCACCGAAAAGAAAGAAAAAAAAAACUCAAUUCAAAUCUGGUGGGUCACUCAAAUUUAUUUCGGUGUCCUUUCCAUGUGGUUGGUACUCUAGAUAUGGCUUUAAUCUUUGACCAUUAACUUUAAAUGUGACACCGUUCUUUGGGUCCUUAAUUUCAAUUGCCCCAUGUGAAAAAACAGUAUGAACAAUAAAGGGGCCAGACCAUCGAGAGCGUAACUUACCUGGGAAUUGGUGCAAGCGAGAAUUGAAUAAAAGCACUUUCUGACCUGGAAUGAACGAUUUUCGCAUAAUUUGCUUGUCAUGAAAAACUUUCAUUCGCUGCUUGUAAAUUUUGGCAUUUUCGUAUGCAUCAUUGCAAAUUUCUUCAAGUUCUGCCAGUUGUAAUCUUCUUUCUAAGCUAGCUUGCUGCAUGUCAAAGUUGAAUUUCUUGAUGGCCCAUUAUGCACGAUGUUCGAGUUCCACAUGUAGGUGGCAAGCUUUUCCAUACACUAGCUUGUAGGGUGGCAUCCCAAUCGGGAUCUUAAAAGUCGUUCUAUAUGCCCAUAAUGCAUCAUCAAGUCUUAAUGACCAAUCUUUUUUGUCUGGCCUCACAUCUUUUCUAAUAUGUGCUUUAUUUAUCGAUUGGAGAUCUCAACUUGGCCACUGGUUUGCGGAUGAUAAGGGAUCUCCACUUUGUGAGUGAUUGAAUACUUUGUCAAAAGAGCUUUGAAUGCUUUGUUACAAAAGUGGGCACCACCAUCACUGAUUAUUGCUCGAGGGAAUCCAAAGCGUGAAACAAUAUUGCUUUUCAAAAAUCAUAUCACCACCUUCUGAUCAUUGGUUCUACAUGGAAUUGCUUCUACCCAUUUUGAUACGUAGUCAACAGCAACCAAUAUGUAUUGAUGGCCAAAAGAAGGAGGAAAGAGUCCCAUGAAGUCAAUACCUCAUACAUCAAAAAUCUCAACCACUAAAAUUGGAUUUAGUGGCAUCAUAUUCCUUCGCGUAAUGCUUCCCAUUCGUUGACACCUAUCACAUGAAGAACAGAAAGUGUAAGCGUCUCGAAAUAUAGUUGGCCAAUAGAAACCACAUUGUAAAACUUUAGUCGCUGUUUUCUUAGCACUGAAAUGGCCUCCACAAGCUUGUUCAUGGCAGAAUGAAAGAAUAUUCUGAAUUUCUCUUUCUGGGACACAUCGUCUAACAAUUUGAUCUGCACAAUACUUGAACAAAUAUGGGUUAUCCCAAAAGAAAUUCUUUAUUUCUGCAAAAAAUUUGGCUUUGUCUUGCUUGGUCCAAUGCUCUAGAAGUUGACCUGUAACAAGAUAAUUAACGAUAUCAGCAUACCAAGGUAAUGCUUCCACAGUCAUUAAUUGUUCAUCUGGAAAUGACUCAUUCAAUGUUAAAGGUUCAGAAAUUGUGUCAAAAUGGAGACGAGAGAGAUAGUCUGGCACAACAUUUUCUUUGCCUUUCUUAUCUUUAAAUUCCAAGUCGAACUCCUGCAAAAGUAACACCCAACGAAUUAGUCUAGUUUUUGCAUCUUUCUUUGUAAGAAGAUAUUUAAGAGCAGCAUGAUCAGUGAACACAAUUAUUUUACAACCAAUGAGAUAAGAUCGAAAUUUUUCUAAUGCAAACACUACUGCUAGCAUUUCUUUUUCAGUAGUUGAAUAAUUCAAUUGUGCAUCAUUGAAUGUUAUACUAGCAUAGUAAAUAACAUGGGGAAUUCGAUCAACUCUUUGUCCUAAUACUGCUCCUACUGCAUAAUCAGAUGCAUCACACAUGAGCUCAAAUGGUAAACUCCAAUUUGGGGGCUGGAUGAUGGGUGAUGGUGUCAACAACUGCUUUAAUUUUUCAAACGCCACAAGACGUGAAUCAUUAAAGAUAAAAGGUACAUCCUUAGCAAGUAGAUUGCAUAAGGGUCUAGAAACUUUGCUAAAAUCUUUAAUGAAACGUCUAUAGAAACCAACAUGCCCAAGGAAAGAUCUUACUUCUCUGACUGUUUUGGGUGGAGGAAGAUUAGAAAUGAGAUCUACAUUGCCUUUGUCAACCACAAUACCUUUGCUCGAAAUGAUGUGAUCGAGAACAAUACCUUAUUUUACCAUAAAAUGACACUUCUCCCAAUUUAAGACUAAGUUCUUCUCAACACAUCUCUAGAGAACUAGUGUUAGAUGAUGUAAACAUUGAUCAAACGAGUCACCAAAGAUAGAAAAGCCAUCCAUAAAGACUUCAAGGAAUCAUUCAACCAUAUCAGAAAAAAUGCUUAACAUGCAUCGUUGAAAUGUAGCAAGUGUAUUACAUAAUCCAAAUGACAUUCUCUUAUAUGCAAUUGUGCCAAAAGGGCAAGUGAAAGUAGUUUUCUCCUGAUCUUUUGGUGCUAUGGGGAUCUGAUUGUAUCCUGAAUAGCCAUCUAGAAAGCAAUAAAAUUCAUGGCCUGCUAAUCUAUCAAGCAUUUGAUCAAUAAAUGGUAAAGGAAAAUGGUCUUUACGUGUGACAGAAUUCAACUUUCUAUAAUCAAUGCAUACACGUCAUUCUGUAGUUACUCUAGUUGGUAUCAAUCCAUUAUCAGCAUUGGUAACUACUGUGACUCCUGACUUUUUAGGGACAACUUGUACAGGACUGACCCAUGAAUUAUCAGAAAUUUAGUAAAUGAUACUUGCAUCUAAUAACUUAAGGACUUCAGUUCUAACAACUUCUUUCAUGUUAGGAUUUAACCGACGUUGUAUUUCCCUAGUAGGUUUAGCAUUUUUAUCAAGGUGAAUGUAAUGCAUGCAGUCUACUGGGUUUAUACCUUUUAUGUCUACUAUGGUCCAUCCUAAUGCUCCUUUGUGCUCUUUUAAAACAUCCAACAACUUACCUUUUGGUUCGUCAUUUAGGGAUGAUGAGAUGAUUACCGGCAGCGUACUUUCUUCUCCCAAAAAUACAUAUUCCAGAGUGUUGGGCAAUGGUUUGUGCUCGAAUUUCGAUGAUAAUUCUGAUGAUCGGAUGAGUUUCUUUUUUUAUGGUGCUAGUUGUUCAGCUCUUGACUUCCAUUUAUUAGUGUCCAUGGACGGUGCUGAGUCAAGUAGGGUGUUGACCUCAUCGACCGAUCCAUCAAUAUCAAAAUCCAAACCAAAGUGAGUUAAACAUGUUUGUAAAGGAUCAUCACUAAAGUUUGAAACAAAAGUAUUAUCAACUAAUGCUUCUAUUAAAUCCACAUCAACAAUUCCAUCAUCUGCAUUGUAAGGUUGUUUGGCAAUGUUGAAGAUGUUCAGCUCCAUAGUCAUGUUGCCAAAAGAUAACUGCAUAUUUCUAGUCCUGCAUUGAAUAUGAGCAUCGGCAGUUGCCAAGAAAGGUCGGCCUAGGAUAAUGGGGAUGUGCUUCAUUGAAUCCUGUAUUGGUUGAGUGUCAAUUACAAUGAAAUCAACAGGAAAAAAAAACUUGUCUACCUGGAUAAGCACGUCCUCCACAAUACCACGAGGUAUUUUCGUGGACGGAUCUGCAAGUUGUAACACCACUGGAGUUAGGUGUAAUUUUUCCAGUCCAAGUUUCAUGAAAACUGAGUAAGGUAACAUAUUUACACUAGCUCCUAAAUCCAACAAAGCAUUCUCAAUUGUGUGGUUCCCUAUACUACAUGAGAUAGUGGGGGAGCCUGGGUCUUUGCAUUUUAGAGGAAUUUUGUGUUAGAGUAUAGAACUAACGUUUUCUGUUAAAAAUGCCUUCUUUUGAACAUGAAUAUUUCUCUUUUUAGUACAAAUGUCUUUAAGAAACUUGGCAUAAGAUGGAACUAGCUUUAUAGCAUCAAGUAAAGGGAUGUUAACACUUACCUGUUUGAAAAUUUCAAGAAUCUCACCUGUGGAUUUUCCCUUCUUUCCUUUAGCUAACCUCUGAGGAAAUGGAGCUUUGGGAACAUAUUCUCGUGGGUUGGUUUCUUCUUUCUCUUCCGAUGGUCAGUCCUCAACAUUUACAGGUACAAUUUGAUUUUCUUUUGUCACCGGCAUCUCCACUUUGUUGUCGACUUCUUUUCCUUUUCGCAAGGUCAUGACUGCUUUGACCUCUCCAUGCUGCUAUGGUGAACUGGUACUUGCUUCAUGCACUCCUUUAGGAUUAGGCACUGGUUGACUUGGAAACUUGCCUUUCUCAACAGUCAUUGCCAAGGUCUGAACUGAAGAAGCAAGUCGUCCCACCAUCUUCUCAAGGCUUGAAACUGAUUGGGCUUGUGAGUUGAAGCCUGCUUUCAACUCAUUUCGUAGUCCAUCAAUGGUGCGAUUCUGUUGAUCAAUCGUAGAGUGAGUAACAUUCUUGAAAUUCUAGAAUGCAUCCUCCCAUGGUCUGGGUUGAGAGUAGUUCUGGUUCUGAUUGUAUGGUCUAAAUGGUGGCUGAGAGGCUUGAGAAAUUUGAGGAAUUGGUUGCAUUGGUGGAGCUGGAGUUGCUGGUCCAUUCUAUUGGAAUCCUUGAGACCAUGAAAAAUUGGGGUGGUCUCUCCAUCCAGGGUUAUAUGUGUUAGGGUAUGGGUUGUAAUUAGAUGGUUUUCUCAUUACACCUAUGGCAUUGGCUUGAUCUGAGUAUGAGGCAUGGUCAUGUGGCUCUGUUGAUUUAGCAGUCGAUAAUGAUGUUAUUCGUCAAGCGAGACAUUCAACCAUCUCCUUGACUUCUUUGAUUCCCAGAGUUGACUCGCCAAUGUGAACCUCAUCACUCCUUUAAUUCUUUUAAUAUUUCUAAGUGACCGACUCCGUUGUUGGGAAUUAUCCACUUGUCACUGGAAGAAUUCCCAAAUCUCUGAUGCACUUUUUGACAUUAGUCCUCCACUUGUUGUCAUUAGUCAUUCUUGCACAUUCAGUAAUAAUCCCUAAAAAACGUAUUGGCAUUGGUGUCAUUUCUCAUAUCCAUGAUGUGGACACUUCAACAGUAGCCCAUUGAAUCGCUCCCAUGUUUCGAAAAAUUGCUCGUCUUCUCUCUGGGUAAACUCUGAAAUUUCCCUGCAAAUAGCAUUGGUUUUAUGCACUGGGAAAUAUUUAUUCAAAAAUUUUGUAACCAUUUGUUCUCAUGAUGUAAUGCUAUUAGCAGGCAAUGUAUUGAGCCAUGAACGAGCUCUAUCCUUUAAAGAAAAUGGGAAUAAUCUCAGUUUAACAUCAUCAUCUGAAAAAUUCUCAUAUCUAAAUGUUUGACAAACAGCAUGAAAAUCAUUCAAAUGAUUAUAUGGGUCCUCAUUUUCUAGGCCAUAGAAUGUUGGGAGACAAUUUAGCACACUAGGUUUUAAUUUAAAACUCCUACCAGCUACAUUUGGGUAUCUUAUGCAUGAUGUGCUCAAAUUAGCAAAGGGACUAAAGUAGUCCUUAAAUGGCCUCUCCUGUGGUGCUUGUUAUUGCAAAUCCAUUUUAUUUUUAGCGUGUUUGUGUGUGCGCAGUAUUUUUUCUAGUUCAAGGUCCAUAGGUUCAAGAUUAGGUAAUAAUGACCUACGACCAUGCAUGCAAAGAACAAAAAAUAAAUGGGAACAAAACAAAUAAAAAUAAAGAAGAAUGAGAAAUUAUGGUACUAACCUUAUCACGCUGUUACAACCUUUCUAUAAAAACACACUAAAACAAAUAUGUGAAAUAAAUUAACUAAAAUUAAAUUAAUAAGAUAAACUAAAAAUAAUUACAAAGAAAAAUAACUUGACAAUUAAAUUACAGAAUUUUAAAGAAGAGAAAAAAAAAUUCUUAGCUCAAAAUGUAAAUUCAUUCUUUUUUUUCUUUUUUCUUUUUUAAAUAAAAAAAAUUACAAGAAAAAUAACUAAAAGAAAUUUUUUUUUACAAAAAUUAAUUCUACAAAUUAAAAACACUUACCUCCCCGGCAACGGCCCCAAAAACUUAUUGUGCAAAAUUUAUUAAACUUGCAAGUGUAUGAAUCUAUUGUAGUAUGAUCAAUGGUGACGAGUGUCGAUCCCACGAGGAGGUGGAUUUUAAUUGUGUGUAGAAUUAAUUUUCUAAAUGGGUGGUUGGAUUUGUGGUGAAAAUGAUUUGAAUUAUCCUAAAAUUCGAAUUAAGAUGGCAAGAAUAAAUUGAAGUGAAAAUCUAUUAAAUUGACAUACUUUGGUAUUUGGAUCCACAUCAACAUGCACCAUGGGUUAAAUAUUCCUUAUUAAUGCCAAUUAAAUCAUGAGGGGGGAAUCCACACCUCAUGAACCACACUCUAAUCAAUAUGGUGCUAAGGGCUUAUCGUGCCAAAUAAUAAUAACCUUGUACUAGGUAGCUGAUAACUCUAGGAAAUGAGAGUUAUUACAUCAAUUCUAGACUUAAAUCAAGAUCAUUUAGAGAGCAAAUAAGGUGUUUUUAUUACAUUUUGGUUACAUUUUGCAUAAACAUUCAUUUUAGUUGGGUUUUAAUAAGUUUUGUUUAAAUCAAGUAAUUUGUGCUAAAACAGGUGCAUAAUUGUAGGUUUUAAAUUCAUAAGGGUAUGCUGAGACAUUAGAUGAGCAAGAGGAGGAAAGAAGAUGGCCACAAAAGAAGACAAGCACAAUCAGGAAUAAUGCAGUGCUGUUGUGGAUGCUAGGGCAACCAGUGCUGCAGCAAUCAGAGAGCAAUGCGGGAGAAAGCUUAAAGCGUGGGUCAGCCAUAAAAUCGCGAUCUGCAUGUUUCCUAAUUUAAACGCAUGCACGCGCAUGGACUUUGGGUCUUUUACCCUAAUUUGCAAUAUAAAAGGAGGCGUGCACCACAUAGAAAGGCGGCAAGGAAUUAUCAUAAAAAAUAAUUACAAAGGCAAGAAGAAGGAGAUCAAGAUUGAGGAGUGCUAUUCGGAAACAAAGAAAAGAACCGUGCAGAGUUAUUUGUCUUUCAUCGUGCUCAACUUAUAUUUUCUCUUCUUCCUUGAAUUGUUUGGAUGUAUUCUGAGAUCAAUAUAUUUAUGUUUUUUUUUCUCAUUCAGAUUAUGAACUAAAUUUACUUGUAGUUGAGUGACAAAUAAUCCAAUGGGUUCGUGACUGUUCUUUUAUGUUCUUAUGGUAAUGCUGUAGCAUUAUAAUCUAGUAGUUUUUAUGGAUACAACUGUUAUUUCGGUUGACCACCCAUUUAAUAGUUUUAGUUAAGAUAGAGCAGUAAAAGGGCAUGUCUUAGCGGACAUUAUUAGAGUAUUACUUGUUCUUAAGUCGAGUUUCCUAGAUUAGGUUACCUUGAAUCCCAUAAGGGCAAUACUUGAAGUUAAGAUUUGUGACACUCUAGACAUAGGUGUUCACCUUGUAGGGUGGAGAGAUUAAAGGUUAUAAUGUCGUACCAUAAAUAUAUGAGCAACUGGUCAUUGUUAGUAGAUUUAAAGGUAUAAGAUUUCUAACAUGCGAUAGCUGCGGAUGUAGAUUUAUUCUACCCAUUGUUGCAGCACUUAUUGUAACAACUGAUGCUAAUUUGGUAAACAAUAGUCACCCAAUUAGGAGAGUUUGAUCAUUCAACUACUAUAUUCUCAAUUGAAUCUUAGACACAUUUAACUUAGUUUAUUUCAUUACAGUAUUGUUUUAUUUCCAUCUCUCGCAAUUAUUAGUUACGAUAGAAUUCUUUGACAAUUGUUUGUUUCGGUCUUUAGUUAAUUUGCACUAUUGUGAUUGCUUUAGCAUUUUGGAGUAACAUCAAUCCCUGUGGAGACGAUCUUGAAUACUCAUCACUUUAUUACUUGUUGUGUAUACUUGCACAUUGGCAUUGAUAAUAAUUGAUUAUAGAAAUCAAUCAACAAGUUUUUGGCACCGUUACCGGGGAUUGAUUGUUUAUUUUUGAAGUGUGAAGUAAAUCUUGAUAGCGCCAAAUUUGAUUUGAUUCAUUCUAUUUAUUGGCAUAUCGGUACAUGUAUGCGCAAAGACAGAUUUGUGGCAUUCCAAUUCGAUCCUAAAAUUGAAGGACUGUCAGGAGACUACGAAGAGAACAAAGGAAUUCAGAAAUUGCUUCAAGCAUGAAUAAUUUACAGGAUGCGCAAAAUUUGAAUCCUCACGGGCCCCUACAACCAGUCAACAUUCAAGAAGAGCAUAAUGAACAUGCCAACGGGAGACAGCCAGGCAACAACAAUAUUAUUUACAUGGCUGAUGACAGAGACAGAGCUAUAAGAGAUUACGCUGUACUAACCCCGCAAGUUGUACACCCUGGGAUCAUCAGACCUGAGGUAGAAGCAGCAAAUUUUGAGUUGAAACCAGUGAUGUUUCAAAUGUUACAAACAGUGGGAUAGUUCAAUGGAUUGCCUAAUGAAGAUCCUCAUCUCUAUCUUAAUUUGUUCUUGGAAGUAAGUGAUGCUUUCAAGAUUGCUAGAGCAACACAAGAUCCCUUAAGGCUGAGGCUCUUCCCUUAUUCCUUAAGAGAUCGAGCAAGAGCAUGGUUAAAUUCGUAACCCUCUGAUUCCAUCACUACAUGGAAUGAAUUGGCUGAUAAAUUCCUAAUGAAAUAUUUCCCACCAACAAAAAAUGCAAAACUGCAGAAUGAGAUUACUUCCUUCUAUCAACUUGAAGAUGAAAGUUUGUACGAGGCGUAGGAAAGAUUCCAAGGAAUUGCUAAGAAGGUGUCCUCAUCAUGGUAUCCCUUGUUGCAUUCAAUUGGAAACUUUCUACAAUGGGUUGAAUCUGAGUACAAUGUUAAUGGUGGAUGCUUCAGUAAAUGGAGCUCUGUUAUCCAAAUCUUACACUGAAGCUCAUGAAAUUCUGGAAAGAAUUGCCAACAAUAAUUACCAGUGGCCUUCAACCAGCAGCAAGAGGAUCAGCAGGGGUACAUAACAUUGAUGCAAUUACAGCCUUAUCAGCACAAGUAACCUCAUUGACUAACAUGGUAAAAGCCAUGACAGUUGCUCCAGCAAUAAUAAAGCAAGUUACUGAACUUUCUUGUGUCUAUUGUGGUGAAGAACAUGAUUUUGAUAAUUGUCCUGGAAAUCCAGCUUCAGUAAACUAUGUGGGUAACUUCAAUCAAUAACCUUAGAACAACCCAUAUUCGAAUACUUACAACCCAUGCUGGAAACAACACCCAAAUUUCUCAUGGAGCAGUCAGAAUUGAAAUGCUUCAGCAUUGAAUUGACUGAGUAGAAACACACAACCACCUGGUUUUCAUCAACAAAGUCAAGGGCAAAAGCAUAUUAGUCAGGAUCUAAUCACUUCACUGGAAGCACUGAUCAAGGGGUAUAUUGCAAAGAAUGAAGCAAUUGUGAAGAGUCAAGUUGUAUCCUUGAGAAACCUUGAGAACCAAAUGGGACAACUAGCUAUAGCAAUGAGCAGCAGAACUCAAGGAAGCCUACCUAGCAACACAGAAGACCCUAGGAGGGAGGGUAAAGAACACUGCAAAGUAAUUAAUUUGAUGUCUGGAAAGAAUAUGGAUAUCCCAGUUGAUGUAACCAAAAAUAGGAGGGAAUUCAAUUCGGCACAAAAAUUAUCUCAAAAUAGAAGCAUGUUACAACAACCUCUUCUUCAAGACACUGGUGACAUGGGCCAAGCUACAACAAAUGCAGAGGAAGUUCAACCAGAACAUGCUGAAAAAGAAGUUGCAACACCAGUAGUCACAACCUGCACUAAACCAAACAAACUGAAUUUGAUAUCUCCUGAAGCUACCCAGCAGUUUAGACAUCCACCACCUUUCCCACAAAGGUUCCAGAAGCAAAAACAAGACAAGCAGUUCAGCAAAUUUCUGGAAGUGCUGAAGCAACUGCACAUAAAUAUACCUUUUGUGGAAGCCUUGGAGCAAAUGCCAAAUUAUGUGAAAUUUCUAAAAGAUAUCUUGGCACGAAAAAGAAGGCUGGGAGAGUUUGAAACUGUUGCUUUAACACAGGAAAGUAAUCAUAUGCUCCAGAGUAAAAUUCCCACAAAAUUGAAAGAUCCAGGGAGUUUUACAAUACCCUGUUCUAUAGGGACUAGGUAUGCUGGGAGAGCACUUUGUGACUUGGGAGCUAGUAUUAAUUUGAUGCCAUUAUCUGUAUUUAAGCAUCUUGGAGUAAGGGAGUGCAGACCAACAACAGUCACUCUGCAAUUAGCUGACAGAUCUCAUGCAUAUCCUGAAGGAAAGAUAGAGGAUGUAUUGGUGAAGAUUGACAAAUUCAUCUUUCUAGUGGAUUUCAUUGUGCUGGACUUUGAAGCUGACAAAGAGGUACCCAUUAUACUUGGAAGACUUUUUCUAGCAACUGGAAAAACUUUGAUAGAUGUUCAGAAAUGAGAGCUCGCCAUGAGAGUGAAUGAUCAGCAAGUCACAUUUAAUGUACUAGAGGCUAUGAGAAACCCUGAUGAAGUAGAAGAUUGCAAUUUUCUAAGUGUAGUGGAUCUUGUUGUAGCAGACAGAAUGGACAGAUGCUGCAGUAAUGUACUUGACAAAGUCACCACCUUUAAGGAUGUUGAAGAGGAAGAUGUUGCAGCAAUCCAAACAGAUUAGAUCGACAAACAGCAAUCUGAUAGGCACAACAGGUUUAUUGAACACCUGAAUCUUUCAAACAGGGAAGUAAAAACAACUUUACCAUCUAUUGAAUCACCUCCCAGUUUUGAAUUAAAACUAUUACCUUCACAUUUAAAGUAUGCUUAUCUUGGUCAAAACAACACACUCCCUGUAAUCAUUUCUUCUACUUUGGAUGCAGGUCAAGAACAGAGUCUAGUAGAUUUGCUGGGAAAAUACAGAAGAGCAAUUGGAUGGACCAUGGCAGAUAUAAAGGGGAUAAGCCCAUCCAUAUGUAUGCAUAAAAUCCUGUUAGAGAAUUGUUCCAGCAAUUCAGUGGAGCACCAGAGAAGGCUGAAUCCUAUUAUGAAAGAAGUGGUGAAGAAAGAAAUCAUCAAAUGGUUAGAUGUUGGAGUCAUAUACCCAAUAUCAGACAGUUCAUGGGUAAGCCCAGUUCAAUGUGUUCCAAAGAAAGGAGGGAUAACAAUAAUGGCUAAUGAGAAGAAUGAACUUAUUCUUACAAUGACAGUGACUGGAUGGAGAGUGUGUAUAGAUUAUAAGAAGCUCAACAAAGCCACAAGGAAAGACCAUUUCCCACUUCCAUUCAUAGAUCAGAUGUUGGAUAGACUUACUGGAAAACAGUACUACUGCUUCUUAGAUGGGUAUUCAGGCUACAACCAGAUUGCUAUAGCUCUAGAGGAUCAAGAGAAGACUACAUUUACUUGUCCCUAUGGAACAUUUUCCUUCAGAAGAAUGUCAUUUGGGCUAUGCAAUGCUCCAACAACUUUUCAGAGAUGCAUGAUGUCUAUAUUUUCUGAUAUGGUAGAGCAAACUUUGGAAGUUUUCAUGGAUGACUUCUCAGUUUUUGGGGAAACAUAUAAUGAUUGUUUACACAACUUGGAAAAAGUUCUUAAAAGAUGUGAGAUGACCAACUUAGUACUCAAUUGGGAAAAGUGCCAUUUCAUAGUGCAAGAAGGAAUAGUGCUGGGUCAUAAGAUAUCCAAGGAUGGUAUUGAGGUAGACAAGGCCAAGAUAGAGGUAAUAGAUAAACUGCCACCUCCAACUUUAGUAAAGGGUAUUAGGAGUUUUUUAGGUCAUGCUGGAUUCUACAGAAGAUUCAUUAAGGAUUUUUCCAAAGUAGCUAAGCCUCUGUAUUCAUUGCUGGAGCAUGACAAACCAUUUCACUUUGACAAAGAGUGCCUUCAAGCAUUUGGAGAAUUAAAGAAAGCUCUUAUCACUGCUCUAAGAGUUAUAUCUCCAUAUUGGACUUUACCAUUUGAAUUGAUGUGUGAUGCUAGUGAUCAUUCUGUGGGAGCAGUAUUAGGGCAAAGAAAGGAUAAGGUUUUUCAUUCCAUAUACUAUGCAAGCAAAACGUUCACUCCAACUCAGAUCAAUUACACUACUACAGAGAAAGAGUUGCUAGCAAUAGGUUUUGCUUUUGACAAAUUCAGAGCUUACCUGGUGGGUACUAAAGUAAUUGUUUACACAGACCAUGCAGCCAUAAAUAUUUAAUUUCAAAGAAGGAUGUCAAACCAAGAUUAACCAGAUGGAUCUUACUGCUUUAAGAAUUUGAUCUGGAAAUUAAAUAUAGAAAGGGGACUGAGAAUCAAGUGGCAUACCACUUGUCACGGCUGGAAGCAGACACUAGUACAUUGACAAGGAAGGGCAUCACCGAAACUUUUCCUGAUGAACAGUUGUUGGUAGUACAGCAAGCACAGAUGUUGCAGCAGUCAGAAUCUCCAUGGUAUGCAGACUUUGCUAACUAUUUAGUAAGUGGGUUGCUACCACCUGAGCUGAAGUUUUAAGAGAAAAAGAAAUUUCUUCAUGAUGUUAGAAGUUAUCAGUGGGAUGACCCACAUUUAUAUAAGCUAUGCUCAGAUCAAGUAAUAAGAAGAUAUGUUGCAGCAGAAGAAAUACCUCAUAUACUGGAGUCAUGUCAUGUUGCAGCAUAUGGAGGACAUUUUGGUGGUCACAGAACAGCUGCCAAAGUUAUGCAAUCAGGUUAUUAUUGGCCCACUAUCUUUAAAGAUGCUUAUGAAUUUGUUAAAUGUUGUGACAGGUGUCAAAGGACAGGGAACGUAACUAGCAGAUAUGAGAUGCCAUUGACUAACAUACUAGAAGUGGAAGUUUUUUAUGUUUGGGGAAUAGAUUUCAUGGGACCUUUUCCCCCAUCAUUUGGGAACUUAUAUAUCAUUGUUGCUGUGGAUUAUGUCUCCAAGUGGGUAGAAGCUGCAGCAUUACCUACCAAUGAUGCUAAAACCAGACUUUUCUUCAGAAAAAAUGAUUUUUCCAGGUUUGGCACUCCUAGAGCAAUUAUCAGUAAUGAAGGCACACAUUUUUGCAAAAAAAUCUUUGCUACAGCAAUGAUGAAAUAUGGAGUCAGACACAAGAUAGCAACAGUAUAUCACCCACAAUCCAAUGGUCAGGCUGAAGUGUCCAAUAGAGAAAUUAAAAAGAUCUUAGAAAAAAUGAUGAACCCAACAAGGAAGGAUUGGUCUUUACAUUUGCAUGACUCUCUAUGGGCCUACAGAACAGCAUACAAAACUCCACUCGGAAUGUCUCCUUACCGAAUUAUUUAUGGCAAAGCGUGUCAUUUGCCACUAGAGCUCGAGCAUAAAGCACAUUGGGCACUGAAGAAAUUAAAUUGGGAUAUGCAUGCUGCAACAGAGCAAAGGAAACUUCAACUUUGUGAGCUUGAUGAAUUAUGGCUAUUUUCAUAUGAAAAUGCAAGAAUCUAUAAAGAGAGAACAAAACAUUGGCACGACAAGCAUAUUCAACACAGGAAAUUCACCCCUGAUCAAUUAAUGUUGCUCCACAAUACAAUACUAAGAUUAUUUCCUGGAAAGCUCAAGUCACGAUGGUCUAGCCCGUUUAAGCUGUUAAAAUCUUACCUUCAUGGAGCUGUUGAUCUUCUAGAUGAACAAACAGGCCACGAGUUCAAGGUUAAUGGACACAGGGUUAAGCAUUACAUACAUCCAGCAGUAGAAUGUUCAAAGGAGGUGUUACUCCUUAAAGAACCCAGCUAUUGAACAAAGAAAGAAAGUCAGGCUGAAGGACCUUAAAUCAAGCGCUUCAUGAGAGGCAGCCCAUUGUGGAGAUAGCCACUUCAAACCAAUUUUGAUAUCCUUUGGUUUUGUAGACAGCUCUUCUUCUUUUACAUUUUAUUUAAUCAAGUUUUUCCAUAUUAACCAUUUAUUUUUAUCCUUUUCCAUUAUUGCAUACUUUAUUUUCACUUUAAUUUGAUAUAUCUAUUUCUUUUAAUAAUUUUAGACUUAAUUUUAGUAAAUGUGACAAUUGAAUUCCAUAUUGACACGUGAGAGUAUGGUGGCAGAAUUCAGAGGUGAACCACGCGUCAGAAGCUUUCGUGGGGAGUAUGUAUUCGUUGUUAGAAUAAGCGAAUGGAUGCUGCAGUAGCUAAUUUUACCGUUACAGUAAAUUAAAAGCUGGAGUCUUUCACUUACCGUUGGAGAUAAAAUCGUGACAGAUGGACGCAUGGAUAUGGAUAGAAAUUGCGGAAACAAAUCUCCGAAAUUAAAGCUUCAAAUUCACUGGCCAAUGAUUUUGGAAUAUGCACAUUUAAUUCAAAAUAUUUUAUUCCCUCAAUUAUUUCAAGUUACCGUAUUUAUCUCUAAUUAAAAGUCCACUAUAAAAAGGAGUCACUGUGCGUAGUACUCUACGCCACUAUUCCCCAUCUCCUUCACAAAUCCAACUCUCCUAAUUCUUAACUUCUUCUUCUCUUUUUACUCUCAGGAACAGUAGCCUCAAUUUGUUACUGCUACAGCAAUGCCGAGAUACAAGAAAACAGCAAGCCGCCUCAAAGAUCCGUCACGAUUCUAGAGUUACCACGCUGAAGAAAAAUAUGAAGAAUUCAUAGAGCCGCGUUGGAUUCUGGAAGAAAAAGGGUUUCAAUUUCCACACCAACUCACGGGAAUUGUGCAAACAAUUCAUAAUGAUGUAGCAAAGCGAGGAUGGCUAGAGUUUUGCAACCACCCUUGAGAUCAUGUGCUGCCUGUAGUCAAAGAAUUUUAUGCCAAUUUGGUAAGCCCUGAUCAGCACAACAUUUGGGUAAGAAAUACACUUGUCCCAUUAGACUCCCGAGUUAUCAAUGCUUUCUAUAACUUACCUGCUGAAAUUACUUGUGAGUAUGCUAAGUUGCGUGAUAAGUUAACCCCGAAAAAGUGGAACACCAUUUUCACAACUCUUACAAUCGAAGGGGCAUCAUGGGCUAACGAGAAAGGGCGUAUAGUUAAUAGGAUAGAUUUGAAACCUAUUGCUAAGGUGUGGGUGAAAUUUCUGAAAUCUAGGCUUAUGCCCACCACUCACACUACUACAGUUUCGCAAGAAAAGUUGGUCUUGUUAUAUGUCAUAGUUCGAGGGCUUCCUAUAGACGUAGGUAGCAUCAUUGCGAAAGAAAUCCGAGAUUGUGCAGUCAAAACUCACUGAACUGUUGCCUUGCUAUUUCCCUCACUCGUCACCAGGAUUUGUGUAGUUUCAGGUGUUCGUCUUAACGCUAGAGAUGAACAUGUAAAAAAUGAUGGUGCCUUUACGGCACGUACCAUUGAGCGAGUUGCUGGUGAGAGUGCUGGAACAACCACUGAACCAGCUGUUGUCACAGGAGCAAGACGAGCUAUUGGCUUAGAACAGACUAUCCAGACACUCAGCAACAAUAUAACUCAAUGUGUGGAAGCUCAGCAGAGGGAAAAUGGUCGGUUUUCGAGCUAUCUACAGCACCUGGACAACCAAGUACACCAAUUUGCUCUGUACAUGAAACGCACUCACCGGAACUUCCCUGAUGCACUGCGCCAACAGUUUAAUUUUGACACCCAUACCACAGAUGCUCCAGCGGAGGUUAGUGCAGAAGCCACUGCCACAGAGGAACCAACAGAAGAUGCUGCAGUCGAACCACAAGCAGAGGAAGAAUCAGAAGAUGCUGAACCAUCUGAUCCACCUGAGGAAGAAGGUGACAAGUCUGAGACUGAUGGCUCACCCACAGAAGCAAAGGACAAUUCGGAGAAGGAAUGUGAGGAACCAACCAUCCCAGCCCAGCCCAGAACCAGGAAAAAGCACAUUAUUCAAUAAGAGGAAGAGGAAGACCUUGAAGAUGAGCCGUAUAUUCCAGUCCUCGCGAGCAAGAGAAAGGCCAAGGGCAAAGCAAAAAUGACAACACCUCCAGCCUCUGAAGAUGAAAUGGAGCAAGUCGAUGUUGAGCUGGCUGCUGCAGCAGCCAGAGCUAUGCCUACACCUGAGCAAGCCAAGAAACUACUUGCGGUCAUUGCGGCCAUCACAGCUGAGGGCCAGGCAGCUAAUGCAUUAACUACAAAGCCUCCCCAGCAAACUCCUAGCCAGCCUAUUCGUACCAGUCCAAGACAAUCCAGUAAACGAAAAGGCAGUACAUCUACAGGUACUACUACAGCAACCCCAACCUCAACUCCUCUCGCUAGCCCCAUAGCAAAAAAGACAAAGCCAUUGCCAGCUGCUUCCCCAAAAGCUUCAUCAAAGGAUAAGCUGUGCAGUGCAUCCAAGAAGCGCUGAUAACAUCUCAUCAUGUGCUGCAGUCCCCACCACAGGGGAGUACUAUUUCCUUAUUAGUUUGUUCUUAUAAAAAAAAAUUGUUUGUCAAUUUGUGUGGUAUUUUCUAAGGUCUUCCAUAUCCUUGUCAAGUUGUGUGCAUUUGUUCUGUAUACUUGUGAGGACACAGCAUCUCUCAAGUUUGGGGGGUUGUUACCGAAUGCAUGUGUUUAUGUGUGUGUUUAUGUUUGUGCUGUAUGAAGCUCUUUAUCUAAUAUUUGUGUAUGGAUUUGAAAGCCUAAUGAAGAUAAAUUGAGUAUUAGUCAAUAUUUAUGAGAAUGCCAAGUAGAGACAGUUAUAGAUAGAAGUGAAAUUUUGUCCCAACACUUAGACUUUGGUUGAAUUGUAUGAGAUUGCUAGAGCAGAGCCAAAAGAAUAGAAAAGAUCUUAAGUUUGGGGGGAGAAGCAAGUUGAUUGACUAUGAUAUUUAUGAAAUAAACUCUGCUCCAAUGGCUCCAGUUGCUGAGUAACCAAAUCUGAGUAUGUACCUCAUAUGCAGAAUUGUGUCAAAUGUAACAAGAGUUAUGAGCAAUGCUAUAGUAGUUUAAAAAAAAAUAAAAAAAAAAAGAGAGAAAAAGAAGUCAUCCGUCUAAGGCAUUGAGUAGUCAGGUCUGUUCAUGAGUCCCAUGUUCAGCCUUGAGUAAAAGAUACCUCUAGAUAAUAUUAUACCACAGAUAUUGCUGCAGCAACUCUGAUCUGGGCAUGGUUUAAGUAAUUGGGCGUCAUCAUUACAAGUGAUUAACAUUCACAUGAAAGAUAAAUAUUACAGUGAGGAGGUUGAGUACUCCCCAGUUUAAUCAAUGUUAAAACAAUCAUAGUUUGAGUAUGUGAAAUUUAUGCUACCCCAUUUAUGAAUGAAGUAUAUCACUGCGGAAAUUUAUGCAGUCUUUUGGUAAUGUUACAGCAUAUCUGGAAUUCAAUCAAAGGAAGCACACACACACACUAUGGAUAGAAAGAAGCUUAAAUCUAGAACUGAUUUACUAUGGGCAUUUUGUAUGAUUGGGAUUGUGAUUUGAAGGUGGAAGAAUCCUUGCAAAGUUGAUAAAAGAGCUAAGGUUUUGUGCAUGUUUGUUUGCGGGAAAUAUUAGUAUGUGUCAUUACUUGAAGACAAAUAAUAGUUUAAGUUUGGGGGUGUGAUAACUCUAGGAAAUGAGAGUUAUUACAUCAAUUUUAGACUUAAAUCAAGAUCAUUUAGAGAGCAAAUAAGGUGUUUUUAUUACAUUUUGGUUACAUUUUGCAUAAACAUUCAUUUUAGUUGGGUUUUAAUAAGUUUUGUUUAAAUCAAGUAAUUUGUGCUAAAACCAGGUGCAUAAUUGUAGGUUUUAAAUUCAUAAGGGGAUGCUGAGACAUUAGAUGAGCAAGAGGAGGAAAGAAGAUGGCCACAAAAGAAGAUAAGCACAAUUGGGAAUAAUGCAGUGCUGUUGUGGAUGCUAGGGCAACCAGUGCUUCAGCAAUCAGAGAGCAAUGCGGGAGAAAGCUUAAAGUGUGGGUCAGCCAAAAAAUCGCGAUAUGCAUGUUUCCUAAUUUAAACGCAUGCACGCGCAUGGACUUUGGGUCUUUUACCCUAAUUUGCAAUAUAAAAGGAGGCGUGCACCACAUAGAAAGGCGGCAAGGAAUUAUCAUAAAAAAUAAUUACAAAGGCAAGAAGAAGGAGAUCAAGAUUGAGGAGUGCUAUUCGGAAACAAAGAAAAGAACCGUGCAGAAUUAUUUGUCUUUCAUCGUACUCAACUUAUAUUUUCUCUUCUUCCUUGAAUUGUUUGGAUGUAUUCCGAGAUCAAUAUAUUUGUGUUUAUUUUUCUCAUCCAGAUUAUGAACUAAAUUUACUUGUAGUUGAGUGACAAAUAAUCCAAUGGGUUCGUGACUGUUCUUUUAUGUUGUUAUGGUAAUGCUGUAGCAUUAUACUCUAGUAGUUUUUAUGAAUACAACUGUUAUUUCGGUUGACCACCCAUUUAAUAGUUUUAGUUAAGAUAGAGCAACAAAAGGGCAUGUCUUAGCGGACAUUAUUAUAGUAUUACUUGUUCUUAAGUCGAGUUUCCUGGAUUAGGUUACCUUGAAUCCCAUAAGGGCAAUACUUGAAGUUAAAAUUUGUGACACUCUAGAAAUAGGUGUUCACCUUGUAGGGUGGAGAGAUUUAAGUUUAUAAUUUCGUACCAUAAAUAUAUGAGCAACUGGUCAUUGUUAGUAGAUUUAAAGGUGUGAGAUUUCCAACAUGCGAUAUCUGCAGAUGUAGAUUUAUUCUACCCAUUGCUACAGCACUUAUUGUAACAACUGAUGCUAAUUUGGUAAACAACAGUCACCCCAUUAGGAGCGUUUGAUCAUUCAACUACUAUAUUCUCAAUUGAAUCUUAGACACAUUUAACUUAGUUUAUUUCAUUACAGUAUUGUUUUAUUUCCAUCUCUCACAAUUAUUAGUUACGAUAGAAUUCUUUGACAAUUGUUUGUUUCGGUCUUUAGUUGAUUUGCACUAUUGUGAUUGCUUUAGCAUUUUGGAGCAACAUCAAUUCAUGUGGAGACGAUCUUGAAUACUCAUCACUUUAUUACUUGUUGUGUAUACUUGCACAUUGGCAUUGAUCAUAAUCGAUUAUAGAAAUCAAUCAACAGUAGCCGGUGAAACCAGGGUGGUAUCUAGACAAGAUUAUUAUUAUUUGUCGACGAGAAGUCAAAACAUCCAAAAAAACUAGAGGGGAAGAGAAAAUAAAUUUAUCAAAUAAAGCCCAUGACACAUGUUGAUACUUCACCUUCAACCCAAGCUUAAAAGAAAAUUAGCUACUCAUAAUUGAACAAGGGGCAAAAUGGAAAUUUAUUAAAAUGCGUAGAAAAUACAAGAUGGAGAAGGAAUUACAGAAAAUGGAUCCCAAAAAUAGAUUCAGAGAUAUCAAAUUAGGGGGGGAGAGCCCCAUUUUUAUAGAUACAUAGAGUAAAUCAUGGCCAUCGGAUCAAAAACAUUUCGGACGCUCAGGAUUGCGCCACGUCAUCGGUCAACAGUACGCGGUUUGACCACGCAGUUUGAACAGUAACACGGUUUGACCCGGCUUGAACAGUGACACGGUUUGGUUGAAAAUAAUCCUGUGUAAUGCAUGUACCGUACGCGAGAUUUUUGAUCCAUUGAUAUGUUGUCACGUCAUCGAUCAACAGUACAUAAGAAUUUUAGUCCAACAGGAUCGUGACACCUCAUCAGUCAAUGCCACAUCAUCGGUCAAUACCACGUCAUCGUUCCGUCUGUGUGAACAGUGUCGUGAACAGUACCGUACAUGUGAACAGUGACAUUUUUCCUUUUAUUCUCCUCCUAAGGUUUUCGACUGUCCUAAGUUCAAAAGUGAUGUCUGUUCUUCCAUAUGAUUUCUCAUUCAUUGUGAAAUGACUAUGAUGCCCCUAAAAUACAUAAAAUACUUAAUUAUAAUACAACACACAUAAUUAAAUGACAAGAAGCUUAAAUACAUAAAAGUAAGGGUGCUAGUAAAACUUGAAGUGUAAAAUGAAGAUUUUUUCCUUUAUAAAUAUACAUUUUCUAAUAUUUAACAGUAUUUUUGUGGACCGAUCUGCAAGCUGUAACACCACUGGAGUUGGGUGUAAUUCUCUCAGUCUAAGUUUCACAAAUACUGAAUAAGGCAACAGAUUUACACUAGCUCCUAAAUCCAACAAAGCAUUCUCAAUUGUGUGGUUCUCUAUACUACAUGAGAUAGUGGAGGAGCCUGGGUCUUUGCAUUUUAAAGGAAUUUUGUGUUGGAGUAUAGAACUAACGUUUUCUGUUAAAAAGGCAUUCUUUUGAACGUGAAUGUUUCUCUUUUUAGUACAAAUGUCUUUAAGAAACUUAGUAUAAGAUGAAACUUGUUUUAUAGCAUCAAGUAAAGGGAUGUUAACACUUACCUGUUUGAAGAUUUCAAGAAUCUCACCUGUGGAUUUUCCCUUCUUUCCUUUAGCUAACCUCUGAGGAAAUGGAGCUUUGGAAACAUAUUCUCGUGGGUUGGUUUCUUCUUUCUCUUCCGAUGGUGAGUCCUCAACACUCACAGGUAGACUUUGAUUUUCUUUUGUCACCGGCAUCUCCACUUUGUUGUCGACUUCUUUUCCUUUUCGCAAGGUCAUGACUGCUUUGACCUCUCCAUGCUGUUGUGGUGAACUGGUACUUGCUUCAUGUACUCCUUUAGGAUUAGGUACUGGUUGACUUGGAAACUUGCCUUUCUCAAUAGUCAUUGCCAAGGUCUGAACUGAAGAAGCAAGUUAUCCCACCAUCUUCUCGAGGCCUGAAACUGAUUGGGCUUGUGAGUUGAAGCCUGCUUUCAUCUCAUUUCAUAGUCCAUCAAUGGUGCGGUUCUGUUGCUCAAUCAUGGAGUGAGUAAGGUUCUUGAGAUUCUGGAAUGAAUCCUCCCAGGUCUGGGUUGAGAGUACUGGUUCUGAUUGUAUGGUCUAAAUGGUGGCUGAGAGGCUUGAGGAAUUUAAGGAAUUUGUUGCAUUGGUGGAGCUGGAGCUGCUGGUCCAUUCUGUUGGAAUCCUUGAGACCAUGAAACAUUGGGGUGGUCUCUCCAUCUAGGGUUAUAUGUGUUGGAGUAUGGGUUGUAAUUUGAUGGUUUUCUCAUUACACCUAUGGCAUUGGUUUGAUCUGGGUAUGAGUCAUGGUCAUGUGGUUCUGUUGAUUUAGCAGUCGUUAACGAUGCUAUUUGUCGAGAAAGACCUUCAACCAUCUCCUUGAUUUAUUUGAUUCCCGAAGUUGACUCGCCAAUGUGAACCUCAUUCACUCCUUUAAUUCUUUUAGUGUUCCUGAGCGAUCGACUCCGUUGUUGGGAAUUAUCCGCUUGUCGCUGGAAGAAUUCCCAAAUCUCUGAUGCACUUUUUGACAUUAGCUCUCCUCCACUUGUUGCCAUUAGUCAUUCUUGCACAUUUGGCAAUAAUCUCUCCCAAAAGUAUUGGCAUUGGUGCCAUUUCUCGUACCCAUGAUGUGGACACUUCAAGAGUAGCCCAUUGAAUCCCUCUCAUGUUUCGAAAAACUGCUCGUCUUCUCUCUGGGUAAACUCUGAAAUUUUCCUGCGAAUAGUAUUGGCUUUAUGCACUGGGAAAUAUUUUUAUUCAAAAAUUUAGUUACCAUUUGUUCCCAUGAUGUAAUGCUAUUAGCAAGCAAUGUAUUGAGCCAUGAACAAGCUCUAUCCUUUAAAGAAAAUGGGAAUAGUCUAAGUUUAACAUCAUCGUCUGAAAAAUUUUUAUAUUUAAAAGUUUGACAAAUGGCAUGAAAAUUAUUUAGAUGAUUAUAUAGGUCCUCAUUUUCUAAGCCAUAGAUCUUGGUCGAAGCAUAGUAGAGAGAAAACUACACUUGGUGUAUGGAGGAGGUAACCGAGGGUUAUCAAAAUUGGUCUCAGAAGCUGCUUUUGUCAGAGGAAGCCAAGUGUUAGGCAUCAUCCCAAGAGCCCUAAACCCUUUGGGUAGUUUGUCUGACUCAUCGACUGGAGAAGAGUUAGUCGUCUCAGGUAUGCAAGAAAGAAUAACUGAAAUGCUUAAUCAUGUUGAUGCUUUUAUUUUCCUUCCAGAAGAUCUUGCAACACUAGAGGCACUUAUCACACUAGCAUUUGGGCCCAUCUGCACAUUCAUCAUAAACCCAUCGGUUUGUUAAAUGUCAAUAACUUUUAUGAUGGCUUCAUCGCAUUUCUUAACCAUGCAAUAAAAAACUAUUUCAUUCCUUCCAAUGCGAAAAAGCUUUUUAUUUGUGCUCACACUGCUAAUGAGCUACUUGAUCUGUUACAAGCUUAUAGACCGAAGCCAGACCCCUGGACCUUUGUGUUGGAGUGUCCAAAUAAUGAUGGUCACAGUAGCCGCAGUAAGAAGUACAAAUUAUAUUUAACUCUCUGCCUGUAAAUAUUUUCUUCUGUGUUACACCACCCAGGUGAUGUCUUCUAAACUCUACUUCUUUCCUUUAAAACAUUGAGGACAAUAUUUCGUUCUGGUUGGGGGGAGGGAAUAGUCGACAAUUGUGGAAUCUUUGUUAAGUUUUUACUAAUUUUUUGUUGUAGAAACUAACUGUUGCUAACUUUUUGUGUUGAAGAUGGCUGAAUAUAGAGUGUAGUGACUCUAGAAACGCAUCUUCAUCGUUUGAAAAAAAAAAAAUUCAAACAUUUUCUUUUUCUUUAUUAAGCUUUGAAAUUCAUUUUUCUUCCUCUUUUUAAUUUCUCCUUUAUAAAUAUACAUUUUUAAAUUUUUUAGUCGAAGAUGGCUGAAUAUAGAGUGUAGUGCCUCUAGAAACACAUCUUCUUAGUUAAAAAAAAAAAUCGUUUUCUUUUUCUAUCAUUUUAAGUGUAACUUUUCUAAUUAGUCUUUCUGCAUCAUUUUCACAUUUCUGCAUGCAUAUUUUCCUUUCAUGUUUAGAAUAGGUUGGGGGUAGGAUGUUUCAAAAAAAUAUUGUGUGAUUUGUUUUAACAUUGGAUGACAUGAUGAAUUUCAAAUUUUAGUAUUUGCAUUAUCUUUGGUCUUAAGUGAUGUUACGCUAUGUUUGCUACUCUACAUGUUGAUGUCGGAGACAAAUAUGAGUUGCUUGAAGGAAUGAACAUGUCAUAAUAAGUACCAAGUGAGUUUUUGAGCCUAUCAUUUUUUUUGGAGAGUAACCAUUUUGCCCAUUCUUUAUACAGCUUAGCAAUUUAUUAUUUUACACAUGAUCUCUAGAUUUCUUUUGAGUUAACCCUUAAAAAAAAAUUGUAAAAUUAAAAAAAAAAUGUGUGUUGCUACAUUUGGAGGCUCAUCUAACUAGUAGAUAUGGAAGAUUAUUUAGAGCCAUAAAAGACGAUGAAAAUGCUAUCUUUGAUCCGUUUUAGCCUUUAUAGUCAUCUCUUUUUUGAAAUAUCCAUAGUUAACCAUUUUCAAUCAAACCGCGUUAUUGUUCAAGCUGGGUCAAAUCGUGUCACUGUUCAAACCGCGUGGUCAAACUGUGUACUAUUGACUAAUGAUGUGGCGCAAUCCUGAGCGUCUUAACUAUUUUUAAUCCGAUGGCCAUGAUUUACUCAAUGUUGAAAUGCAAGUUUUGCAACCCAAUAGGGGGGGUGAAUUAGGAUUUUAACAUUUAUGCAAUACAAUUUGCACAACAAUUUAAUCUAUUGCCUUAAUCAAAUCAAAAACAAUAAAUUCAAUUAAGCACAAUAUUAAAAGAGUAAGGGAAGAGAAAACAAAUACAAGGAUUUUUACGUGGUUCGGCUAUCUCCGCUUACGUCCACGCCUCCAAGCUCACCCGGCUUGAGGAUUUCACUAUCCAAGCCUCCCAAGACUUCAAAUGUUUACAAUUGACUUCCAAGGUGUCAAUAGACAUUUACAACAAGAGAUUAUAUCCGCAAUCUCUUCACCCCAAGUGUUUCUCACACUUGUACAUUCACAAUUUGAUAAGAAAUGAAAAUUACAACAAAAACUCUCUUUAAGAGUGGAUAUGCAAAUAAUAGCUCAACAAUGAUUCAAUCUAUGAUGAUUUGCGUUUUGGAAGCUCAAUAUAUGUUGUAUGAUCUUAUAUUUGCUUGCAUUAGUUCUUAGAAUGAAGCUUGAGUUGAGUUUUUAUAGUUAAAGCCCGAAAACUAGCCGUUAUAGGCAAAUUCCCGCGCCCAAAUGGUUAGCUGCUUGAUUUAUUCGGCUAGCCACUCAGGAACAGUGAUAUUACCGUUAUUUUUGAAUUUGCUACAGUAAUACUGUUCACUAAAAUUACACUUUGGCCCAAAACUUUUGAUAAUUAUAUUAUGACCCAAAAUGUCAUAAAACUUUACAAAUAUGUCCAAUUUCAGAAUUUCUUAAAAAUAAUUGACAUUCCAAAACUUUCUGAAAUUAUGAUAUGGCCCUACAGAUAUUAUUAUUUCGCAAAAAUGUCAUUUUCAACAUAAUACCCAUAUUUUUUAAAGUUCUCAAAACCUUACACUUUAGUCUAAAAUAUUCAUAAAUUAUAGUAUGGCCCAAAAUAUUUCAAAUGUUUGUAAAAACGUCCAACUCUGAAAUUUAAUAAUAAUACUUAUUAAAAUCAAAGAUUUCAAAACUUUACAUUUAAGUCCAAAUUACUCAAAACCACAAGGUACUUUAUCUUAUAAAAAUAAAACUUUUUAGUUUAUAAAAAAGUAAUUAAUUAAAUUAAUCUCUUGAGCUUCUCAAAUGCGAAAUCGUGCAUCAAUUAAAUCAUACCAGCUUUACAAGAAUUUAUCGCAUUAAUUUAUUCGUUGAGCUCUAAACUUUAUUCUUGAUUUCGCCGUUGUCCGUUGAGUUGAUUUCACUUGAUUCACUUGCAUAAAUAUUACCCUUCAAAAACUAGUGAAAAUGUGAAAUACAAUAUCUAUUAAAUCACUUAAUACAUAUGUUUGUUAUCAUCAAAAUUACAUUAUGUGUAGCCCUUUAGGCUAACAAAUGUAUCUAUAAAAAAGGGGCCUCCCCCCUUAAUUUGAUAGCUCUUAAUCCAUUUUUGGACUCCAUUUUCUGUAAUUUCUUCUUCAUCUUGUAUUUUCUACGUAUUUUAAUAAAUUUCCAUUUUGCCCCUAGUUCAAUUAUGAGUAGCUAAUUUUCUUUCAAGCUUGGGUUGAAGGUGAAGUCUCAACAUGUGUCAUGGGUUUUAUUUGGUAAAUUUAUUUUCUUUUCCCCUCUAGUUUUUGUGGAUGUUUUGACUUCUCGUCAAUAAAUAAUAAUAAUCUUGUCUAGAUACCGCCCUGGUUUCAUCGGCUCCCUAGUACGAGGUUAUUAUUAUUUGGCAUGAUAAGCCCUUAGUACCAUAUUGAUUAGAGUGUGGUUCAUGAGGUGUGGAUUCCCCCCUCAUGAUUUAAUUGGCAUUAAUAAGGAAUAUUUAGCCCAUGGUGCAUGUUGAUACGGAUCCAUAUACCCAAGUACGUCAUUUCAAUAGAUUUCUCUUCAAUUUAUUCUCGUCAUUUCAAUUCCAAUUUUAGGAUAAUCUAAGUCACUUUCACCACAAAUCUAACAACCCUCAUACAAAAUUAAUUCUACAUAUAAUUAAAAUCCACCUCCUCGUGGGAUCGACACUCGUCACCAUUAAUCUAUUCUACAAUAGAUUUGUGCACUCGAGUCAGCCCUAAAGUCGCAGUCUGUCUUAGUGGACAUUAUUAGAGUAUUACUUGUUCUUAAGUCGAGUUUCCUGGAUUAGGUUAUCUUGAAUCCCAUAAGGGCAAUACUUGAACCUAAUCCAAGAAACUCAACUUAAGAACAAGUAAUACUCUAAUAAUAUCCGCUAAGACAUGCCUUUUUGCUGCUCUGUCUUAACUGAAACUAUUAAAUGGGUGGUCAACCGAAAUAACAGUUGUAUUCAUAAAAACUACUAGAGUAUAAUGCUACAGCAUUACCAUAACAACAUAAAAGAAUAGUCAAGAACCCAUUGGUUUAUUUGUCACUCAACCACAAGUAAAUUUAGUUCAUAAUCUGGAUGAGAAAAAUAAACACAAAUAUAUUGGUCUCGGAAUACAUCAAAUCAAUUAAAGGAAAAAGAUAAAUAUAAGUUGAGCACAAUGAAAAUCAAAGUCAAGUAAUUCUGCACGAUUGUCCAAUGUUGCCGAAACAACACUCUUCAAUUCUGAUCUUCUUCUCCUUCGUUCCUUCUAAUUACUCUAAUGAUAAUUCCUUGCCGCCCUUCUAUGUAGUGCACGCCUCCUUUUUAUAUUGCAAAUUAGGUUAAAACCAAAGCCCAUGAGCGUGCAUGUGUUUAAAUUAGGAAACAUGCAGAUCGCGACUUUAGGGCUGACUUGCGCCUAAAUUUUCUCCCGCACUGCUCCCAAAUUGCUACAGCACUGGUUGCUCUAACAGCCGCUACAACACUGUUUUAUUCCCGAUUGUGCUUUACUUCUUUUGUGGCCAUCUUCCUUCCUCCUCUUGCUCUUCUAAUGCCUCAACAUCCUCUCACGAAUUUAAAACCUAUUUUUAGCACAAAUUACUAUGAUUAAAUCAAAACUUAUUAAAACUCAACUAAAAUGAAUGUUUAUUCAAAAGGUACCCAAAAUGUAAUAAAAAUACCUUAUUUGUUCUCUAAGUGACCUUUAUUCAAGUCUAGAAUUGAUGUAAUAACUCUCAUUUCCUAGAGUUACCACACCCCCAAACUUAAACCAUUGCUUGCCCUCAAGUAAUGACAUAUACUAAUAUUUCCCGCAAACAAACAUGCACACUUUGGGCGCGGCUGUGCCCGGGACGAUAUUUUGGCACACGGAGGGCACUCGCAAAGCCUCGCCCCAUUCCGAGUCCGGCGGACGAAGUUCGCCCGCGCCCCCCACCAAGGCUAUAGUCCACCCGUCAUUUUGGCCAUUUUUCCGCUGGGGGGUUUUGGGAGCCCGACCUUUGGACGCUUAUUUUUUACAACGGCUGUGCUCGGGAUGAUAUUUUGGCACACGGAGGACGCUCGCAAAGCCUCGCCCCAUUCCGAGUCCGGCGGACGAAGUUCGCCCGCGCCCCCCACCAAGGCUAUAAUCCACCCGUCAUUUUGGCCAUUUUUCCGUUGGGGGUUUUGGGACUUGCGAGUUCAAUAAAAUUUGCACAACAUGUAUCAAUUUCCUUUGUAAUAUAUUUUAAAAAGUUUAUCAAAUAAAGAGUAUUGUGUUUUCUUUUAAUAUGAGUGGCUAAUUUUAUUAAAUUGAGGUGAAGGGUGAAGCUCAAUGUUUCAAACUAAUAAAUUUAUUAUUUUCUCAAAUGAGUUUUUAAGUUUAUUUUAUUCUUUUCUAGUUAUUUUUAUGUCAUAUUAAUUUAUAAAUUUGUUUGGAUCUAUAUGGUAUUUUGACAUAAUAUCGACACAUUAAUAUAGUGUGGCACAUUAGGUACUUUAUUCCAUAUUUAUCCACACACAUAGAAUUAAAUGAUAUAAUAAUUAACUAGUAAAAGUGAGGCAAAAUAUAAAUGAGAGAGUAUUAAAAUUAUAGUUUGAAUACUGAGAGUAGAUCUCGUAACCUUAGCAUAUUUUUAAAUUGUUUUCAAAUAAUUUAUUUUCCCCCACAAUUAAUUUUCUUUGUUUAACAAAUUGACAACUAAAUUUUAAAAUUCCUUGUGGUUCGACCCCGGACUCAUCGGGUUAUAUUAUAACUAGACACUUUUAUACUUGAGAGUAAUACACUUUUGAGUCGUGUCACUACUCAAAGCGGAUGAACCUUUCAACCCAAUAGUCCAUAGCAAAAUUGACAUAGUAGGUGGAGAAUAUUUAAUGCAAGUAGCUAGAGUUUCAAGAAGACAGCUUUAGCUACUAAAUAUAGGUGAUACAGUAGCUGACAUAGCAGAGCAAGAUGUGAAGCUAAAUACAAGAGUGAAAAAGCAAAAAGAGUAAGAAAAAGAAGGUGAAAAUGUAAAUGGCAAAUUAAAGUUGCUGGAUAUGGAAUAAAAUUCAAGAAAAAGCACAACACAGCCCAUAUAAGCUCGGAAGAGGAAGUUGAUAAUGGGCCAGUAGUGAGCCAAGUGAAGCCCAAACACAGGAAGUGGAAAUUACAAGCUUGAGAAAUGAGCAAUAACAGUGGAAAUAAAAAUAGGCUGGGAGCUUCCAAACGGCUUGGUGAAAAAAUAUCUUGGAAAAGCCCAAACCGUAAGAAAACAAGAGUAAACAGCCCAAUUGCAGCAACAACCGUACACUUACAUUGUAGCACACCUUCAACAAAAAUGAAAUUAAGCUGGGAGAAUGCAGAUGCAAAGAAACAAGAUGCUACAACCCCAACAAAUGACUUAUCGGCAGAGGCUGGUGGUCAGCCCCACCGAGAGCCGUGAGGACCCUCAACUAGAACGUCAGGGAGAUGGGGAAUGACUGGACAUUCUUAGUACUCAAAACCAUUCUCUAAUUGCACAAACCUCAAAUUGUAUUUUUGUGUGAAACCAAAUUGAUGUCUAUGCAAAUGAACAAAGUUAGCAAAUUAUUGAAGUUUGAUUGUUGUUUCGCAGUCAGUAGAAAAGGAAAGAGUGGAGGAUUAGCUUUGAUGUGGAACUUAGAAAUCAAUGUCAAUAUGACUUCUUUCAGCAGUCGUUAUAUUGAUGCUGAAGCACGAACUGGUGGAUUCAAAGUUUAUGGCACAUUAACUCAUAGAAAAGGAAAGAGUGACAGGCUCGAACCAUAGAAAGGUCUUAUUAAAUAAUUAAUCUAUGUUGAUAUGGCACAUUAACUCAUGUUUGGCAAAACUCGCAUUAAGCAAGAGAAUGAAUGAAAAGGGAGGAAAAAGGAAACAAAAGAUGUGAUGUUGGCAUUACUUUAACAGACAUACGGAUAAAUGAUGUGAUUGUCUUAGAUUAGUAGGAUAUUAGUAUGACAGAUUAAGGUAAAUCAUAAUUUAGAACAGUUUAAUGUAUUACAUGCCAAGAACAAACAUUUCAACCUUUAGCAAAAACAGAGAAUGGAAUACAAGUAAACGAACAAACCCCAUCUGGUCUACUUUAACCUUUUCUCUUUAGUUAUUUUCUUUCCAUUUUGUUUCUGAGUUUCACUUCACAUAAAAGUGAGUAGGACCCAACAAAUUAACAGUACAUAAGACUGAUAGUAAGAACCCUUAGGACAAAGAUAGAUAUAACCUAAAAUUAUCAAAUUAGAGUAAUGCCAAUUCUAAGCCAUUACUUGUGAGUUUUAAUAGCUAAAGAUCCUUUGCAGAUUAGUAGAUUGUAAUAAGUCCAGAACAUGGACCCAGAAAUGAGGCAAGGCCGCUUGGCUAAAGAUUGGUUUGUGUAUAACUUACAAUAGUAUAGUUUUUAAGUUGACAGAAAGCAAUACGAAAACAAGAAUCAUUCUCUGCUAACUUUUUCCCUAGCCAAAAGCAGGCAUCCACAACUACAAGAAAUCAAGAAUCAUUAAGUAAACAGAUUAGGUAACUUGUAGUUUCUUACUAACUUCUAUUAAUUCUCUUACAUCUUAGAAACUACCCAGCAACUUUAAUUACCUCACGCUAUAAUUAACAAAAAUAAAAAAAAAAUAAAAAAUUCUUAGCUAAAUAUCUAAAGUAGGCAAUCGCAUCAGCAAGUUUAAUGGCGCAAAAGAAAUUAAUAUAUAUGUAUAUUUGGAAACUAGAAUGAGUCAUUAAUUGAAGAGAUGAUAUAUGUAGAUACCGUUGAGAAGUGGUGACAGCAAAUUCAGUCCAACCAAGUUCAUCACCUUGCCAUUUAAGAAUACGACCAUUAGCGACGCCAGUGUAGGGGCCGUCUCCAUUGGGAUCGAAAGCAAUGCUCUCAGGACCCAGAGCUCCAGUGACUUGGAUGAUCCUGCUACCUUCCAGAUUAUUAUUGGAUCCUUCUAUGCACGGCGCACAGAAGAGGUUUCUCAGAGUAGUAUUUGUUUGGUUGAUUGAUAUAAUUACAGAGACUAUUGCUAUUACUAUUGCCGCAGAUGCUACGAUCUUUUUGUUUCUGUUCAUGGCUGCUUGUGGGCUGUUUCUUCUUAUCUUUACUUGUUAAAGGACAAGAGCUUCGAUUAUGAGGGCGUAUCUCCUCCUCUGGCUCCUAAUAAAUAAAUUUAAAUUGCUUAGAAAUCGGAAGAAUGUCUUUUCCAUAAUCAUUAUUAUUAUUAUUUUCCACGACGACAAUUUAUUUUGCACGAUAGCUCAACAGAUGUUACCGCACCAAUCGAAUGACAGUACAGCGCCAAUAUUCUUUUUAUUAUUAUUAGAAAAAAAAAUAUCGAUCCCUUUAAAAUUUAAAUAAAUGAUUAUAUAGUUCAUGCGUUCAAUAAGAGAUAUCAAAAUUCUUUUUAUUAAAAUAUCUUUUAUCUCUAUUAAUUUUAAAAAAAUAACUUUAAUGUUUUAUAAUAAAUAAAAAUAUAAUAUUAAAAAAUGUAAUAAUAUAUAAAUUUUAAAAAAAUUCAAUAUUUAAAAAUAUUUUAAUAAUGUACAAUCUUAUAUUAUAUUAAACUAAAAUUUAUAAUAAAUAAAAAUAUAAUAUUAAAAUAAAUAUUUAAAAUUUAAAUUAUUUUCAAUAUUAUAUAAAUUCAUUUUAAUGUUAUUAUUAUUGACCGUUGGAUUCACAUCAAUGGCUUUCAAAAUUUUCCACGAAAAUUGACUGUGGACACUGUGGGGAUAGAUGAUUCACCCUAGGGGAAACAAGAAACAAAAGUCCAACUCUCAUGUAAUUUAGCCCAAUUUUAAUGUCAUUACACUUUAUUUUAAUAAAAAAUUAUUUCUAAAAUAUCCACACUUACUUUAUUGUGGAGGACAAGAGUUCAUCUAAGUAAUGUAAUUAAACAAAUUUUCAUGAACACCAAUAACUUAAACUCCAGUUUCUUUAAGUUAAAUUUUAUGAUUCUUAUGCUUCAUUAAUUUCUCUAACAGCUAAGUUACAUAACCCUCUAUUUCUCUACUCCUCCCUCACAACUUUGUAAUCACGCGCUUUCUUCAACAAACCAUUUGGUCUAAACUCUGGAAAUUGAUGAUGCUCCAGAGUCCCUCUAAACCUCACGGGCUUUGUUAAAAAAAAAAAAAAAAACCACAUGAAAAUAAAAGUAAACUUAAGAAAUACAAGUACCUCCAAAAAGAAUUAUAACUCCAGAAAAUAGGGGUUAAAAAAAAUGAAGCAACGUGUGUGUCCGAGUCACAAUAAUGGACACUUGGCGAACCCUUUAGGAUAAUGAAUUUAUUUCGAGACUUGUUUCUGUAAGUAAGGUAUCACUAACAACUUUAGACACAUGAAAAUUUUGAUAACUUUACUAUCCCAUUAAAUUCUCUCUUUUAUUGUUCUACUUGCAUGCUUUCUUACAAAUCCUAACUUGAGUUUUGGAUAGUCUUUACAAGUACGUCUCCAUGCAUUUUCAUUUAAACUCUUAGGACAGAAGAGUAAAUCCAAUUAGUGAAGGUAAAAAUCAGUCCCUUCACAAGCAAAGAAAGGUUACAAAAGCCUCGAUCAAGUGUUCUCUAAAUAAAACCCCUUGAUCUGCAACUUGAUCAGGUCAAAUCGGAUCCACGAUGCGGAAGAUGCAACAAAUGGCAAGUGUCAAUCAUAAGUUUAAAAACAAUUAAAAGAAGUAGGGCUUGGAAGACAGCCACCAUUAAUAGGGAUGGCAGAUUAACCCGCACCCGGCCCGAACCCGGAUGAACCCGGAAAAUCCGGGCCGGGUUGAACCCGUACCGGAGUGUAAAAAACCCGGUAUCCGGAAUGAAUUUUAAUAACCCGGAUAUAUCCGGGUCCGGUUCCGGGUUGGAGCUAACCCGUAUAUCCGAAACCCGGACCCGAACAUCUUAUUUUUUAAUUAUAUUUAUUAAUUAAUAUAAAUACAAACAUGACUUUCCAAAAAAAAUAUAAAUACAAACAUAAAGAAACCCUAAUUUUAUCAUAUUGAAGUUGAAGCUGCCGCCUACUGCAGGCAAAUUGCCCGUUGCCAAACAACGAUCCAGGUUGCUACCGUCGCAAGUUCGACACCACAUCAAGUUCGCCACCGUCGCAAAUUUGGGUUCACGACACCGUCGCAAGCUUGGGUUCGCGCCACCGUUGCAACUCAUACCCUCGGAUUCACGGUGAAUCGUUCACCACCGUCGCAGCCUCACAGGUCACAACUCGUACUCUCGGAUUCACGGUGAACCGUUCACCACCGUCGCAGCCUCGCAAGCUUGCAGCUCCUCUAUUCAUCAUCGGCUGCCCUUUUUUGAGCUGUAACAGCGCACCUUCAUCAUCAUUUGCCGUUAUUGCUUAGAAAUUUAUAUUGUUGAUGAGUGAUUUACAAUCUGGAUGUGUUGUUGCCUGAAAAUGUAUUAAUAUUUCAUUUUUACAAUUUUAAAAAUUGAUUCAUUGAUCCGGGUUCAAAACCCGGAAUUCGAAAACCCGGAUUUUUCCGGGUUGAACCCGGACCGGACCCGGGUGAAGAAAAUCCGGGUUUUAAUCCGGGUCCGGGAGAAAGAAAAUGGCAUCCGGGUCCGGAACCGGAAAGGCUAAACCCGGACCCGGACCCGGACCCGGAUUUUGCCAUCCCUAACCAUUAACUAUGCCAAUUUAGAAUAUUUCAAUACAUCAUUUCUCAAAUAGUUAAUAUGAUAUUGUAAGAUUCCUGCUUAUUCUCUUUUACUAUACUUUAUUGUAAGAAUAAUUCUUCAUGAUGCUCAUCCUCUUUUACUAUAUUAUAACUGGCUGUCAAAACAGGUAGAAUUUUCCAAUUAUUUAAAAUAUAAUCACUUUCCACAUGAAUCCCACUUACCAAGCCAAGUCCAAACAAGGAAAACUAAAGAGAAAAUCAAAUAAUUGUUUUAUGCAAUAGUUUCGUACGAAUAAGUUCAUAUUUUACGAGGCGAUUCAGAAUCUAAAACUUCACAUUGUGAAAGUUUUAUAGUUUAAAAAAAAAAAAAAAACCCUUUAUGUUAACUAAUCCAUUAAAAAAAAAAAAGGAAAAAGGCCUUUAGAUACCCACCAUUUGAGAAUAAUCCAAAACAUAGAUUUUUCUUUUCCAUAUUCUGGUGACGAGUUGAUGCAGCUUAAUUGGUCUUUUCUAACAGACCCUCUCUUUCAAUGACUAUCACACCUACGAAAUUCAAACAAGAAUAGAAGAAGACAAAAAAAAAGAAAAAGGAAGGUUAGCUUUCAGUAAAUGUUUAACAAAAAAAUAACUUUAAUUUUGCAAAAGGAAAUCAAUAAAUUCUUAUGCAUGCUUUUUCUAAUCAAAGACAGAGAAAUUCCGAAUCUAAAAUCUCAAAGAUUAAACAUAAAUACGUAAAUACGAUAAUUUUUCACAGUUGGAAAAAAAAAAGACAUAGCUAAAUAGCAAAAAUAAAAAGAAUCUAGAUGCAUACUUAACGUUUAAUAAACUGUAGACGCAAUUAAUUUUAACUCCUAAAAAAAAAUACACAAUACACUGCGUUAUCUAAGAAGAAAUUAUUGAAAAAAGAAUUCACAAUUAAUUGAGAUUUGUUUGGGAACUUUUUGUCAACUGAUGAAGACAUGAACCGCAACUUUGACCAUUUUUGAGAAUAGAGAACAACAAAUUAAACUAAUAACAUUCAUUUUAGCUUAAUGUGUUUGGGAUGAAAAAGAGAGCAAAAGGGAGAAAUGAAAGAAAAGGGUAUUUUGGCCUUUUUGAAAAAAACUCGAACAGCUGUGAUGAAACUACAGGACAGAGGUCUUUUUCAAAAAAUGUAAUGACCCCCUCCCAGGAUGAAUAAAAAGCGCCAAUCCGUAAGCGCGUGGUUCCUCAAGUGAACACCAGUUCUAGUAAAUCUCUCUCCCAAAUAUCUUCCAAUCCGAUCUGAAAAUAAACAGCUGCAAACGUUUUCCGAUGGCCACCGAGAACAAAACCAAUCUGCCCUCUGCCUCUGUUGACGCGAUCCCCAAAGACACCUUGGCCGAUGAGUCUGUGAAGGUCGAGAAGUGGGGUACCACCGAGGUUUUACCUUUUCAAGCCACCGCAAGAGCUCCCAAUCGGUCCGAUGCUCUCAAGACAGUCUCUGAUAUGCUUGAAAGCAGAGGGGUCAAAGUUGUUGGCCAGAAGACUGAGAAGAAUGGCUCGAUCUCAAUAAAUUU